CUUAAAACUCUUUCUUUUAUUCUUAUUUUCUUGACAUUUAUCUUUGACUCUAUUUUGAUUCCAAAAGAGGGAUAUGAAAGAAAAUAAAAUGAAGCUCAAACGGGUAAACAAGGGAUAACACAAUGUUUAGAUAGAAGAAUAAAAUGCCUUCAUCAUAUCAAUCUUCAAAAAUGCAAGUACUAAACCUGCAAUAAAAUCAACAAAGGAUCAAAUAUCAUACAUAAUAUCUUUUGACCGCAUCAGCAUUGAUAGCCAUCUCCGCCAUUUUACCUUCAAUAUCUGUCAAAUAUAAGGCUCCAUUGGGCAACACUUUUUUCACAAGAAGGGGACCUUGCCAGUUAGGAGAGAACUUGCCUUUCGCUUCACCCUGGUGAGGAAGGAUACGUCUUAGUACCAACUGACCUACUUCAAAAUUCCUAGGACGGACCUUUUUGUUAUACGCUCGAGCCAUCCUCCUUUGAUACAACUGGCCAUGACACACAGACGUUAGCCUUUUUUUCUCAAUCAAGCUCAAAUGUUCCAGUCGGGUUUUUACCCAUUCGUCAUCAUCAAUCUCUGCUUCUACAAUGACUCGAAGCGAGGGAAUUUCAACUUCUGCAGGGAUGACUGCUUCUGUCCCAUACACCAAUAAAUAUGGAGUUGCCUCUGUUGAAGUGCGAACAGUGGUGCGAUUACCUAGCAAUGCAAAUGGCAACUUUUCGUGCCACUGUUUAGACCCUUGUACCAUUUUUCACAGUAUCUUUUUUAUAUUCUUAUUGGUGGCUUCUACAGCACCAUUAGUCUUUGGGCGAUAUGGAGUAGAAUUUCGAUGUGAGAUCCUAAAUUGUUGACAUACUUGCAUCAAAUAACUAUUGAGAUUGGCAGCAUUGUCUGUAAUGAUCGUCUUAGGAAUUCCAAAUCUACAAAUGAUAUUGGCAUGAACAAAAUCCACCACAGCCUUCUUUGUCACUGACUUGAAAGUUACUGCUUCUACCCACUUUGUAAAGUAGUCAAUAGCUACCAAAAUGAAUCUAUGUCCAUUUGAUGCCUUCGGCUCAGUCGGUCCAAUCACAUUCAUUCCCCAAGCCACGACAGGCCAUGGAGAGGCCAUUCCAUAGUAAGCCAGUAAUAACCUGCUCGAAAAAUCUUAUUUGACAAGACAUGACCGUUGAUGUGCGACCCGCAUACUCCAGAGUGUAUUUCAACCAUGAUUGCCGAGGCUUCUCUUGCAUCUACACACCUUAAAAGUCCCAGAUCUGGGGUUCUCUUAUAUAAGAUUCCCCCACUUAAGAAAAAUCCACUAGCCAAANNNNNNNNNNNNNNNNNNNNNNNNNNNNNNNNNNNNNNNNNNNNNNNNNNNNNNNNNNNNNNNNNNNNNNNNNNNNNNNNNNNNNNNNNNNNNNNNNNNNNNNNNNNNNNNNNNNNNNNNNNNNNNNNNNNNNNNNNNNNNNNNNNNNNNNNNNNNNNNNNNNNNNNNNNNNNNNNNNNNNNNNNNNNNNNNNNNNNNNNNNNNNNNNNNNNNNNNNNNNNNNNNNNNNNNNNNNNNNNNNNNNNNNNNNNNNNNNNNNNNNNNNNNNNNNNNNNNNNNNNNNNNNNNNNNNNNNNNNNNNNNNNNNNNNNNNNNNNNNNNNNNNNNNNNNNNNNNNNNNNNNNNNNNNNNNNNNNNNNNNNNNNNNNNNNNNNNNNNNNNNNNNNNNNNNNNNNNNNNNNNNNNNNNNNNNNNNNNNNNNNNNNNNNNNNNNNNNNNNNNNNNNNNNNNNNNNNNNNNNNNNNNNNNNNNNNNNNNNNNUCCAACCUGGAUCAGCAUCUAUAACGACUUCAUUAACACACGAUACUUCUUCAUCAGGAAAAUAUGUCUUUAAUGGCUCGUACUCUUCAUCGAUGGGUUCUCAGCAAGAUGAUCUGCCAAGGUUUGGGCUUUCAUGGAGGUUCGAGUCACAUAUACAAUGUCGAACUCGGUAAGCAAUAUUUUUCACUUUGCCAAUCGACGUGUCGGCAUAGGCUUCUGAAAGAUAUACUUUAAAGGAUCCAUGCGGAAGAUGAGAUAAGUAGUAUAGGAUAAGAGAUAAUCCUUCAACUUCUGUGCUACCCAAGUUAGAGCACAAUACGUCCUUUCAAGAAGAGUACACCUGGCCUCAUAUGCGGUGAACUUCUUGCUAAGAUAAUAAAUAGCCUGCUCCUUUUUGCCAGUGACAUCAUGUUGACCCAGGACACAGCCGAAAGAAUUUUCCAUUACUGAUAAAUAUAAUAUCAAAGGACUACUAGGCUUUGGGGGUACUAGCACGGGCGGAUUUGACAAAUAUCUUUUGAUUCGAUUGAACGCUUCCUGACAUUCUUCAGUCUAUUUCACCGCAACACUCUUUUUCAGCACUUAAAUAUGGGCUCACAAGUGGUUGUGAGUUGAGCAAUAAACCUGCUAAUGUAGUUCAGUCUACCAAGCAAACUCAUCACCUCCGUUCUAUUCUUGGGCGGGGGCAAAUCCUGAAUGGCUUUGAUUUUCAAGGGAUCCAAUUCAAUUCCCCGACGGCUGACUAAAAACCCAAACAGCUUUCCAGACGAAACUACAAAUACAUAUUUUGCCUGGUUGAGUUUGAGAUUAUACCUGCGCAGCCUUUCAAAGAACUUUCUUAAAUCUUUAACAUGGUCAGCCUGACUUUUUGACUUAAUAAUCACAUCAUCCACGUAGACCUCAAUCUCCUUAUGCAUCAUAUUAUGAAACAUAGUGGUCAUGGCUCUCAUGUAUGUUGCUCCAGUAUUUUUUAAACCGAACGGCAUCACUCGAUAACAAUAAGCCCCCCAUGGUGUGAUAAAAGACGUCUUCUCUGCAUUGUCAUCAUCCAUAAUGAUCUGGUGAUAUCCAGCAUAGCAAUGCAUAAAAGAGGCAACCUCGUGUUUAGCACAAUUGUCUAACAAAAUGUGGAUGUUGAGCAAUGGAAAAUCAUCUUUCAAACUUUCUCUAUUCAAAUUACGGUAAUCAACACACACUUGAAUUUUGUCAUCUUUCUUUGGUAUGGGAACAACAUUGGAUAACCACAUAGGAUAGCGAGCUACUCGAAUUACUUUGGCUUCAAGUUGUUUCAUGAUUUCCUCUUUAAUUUUAAUACUUACAUCCGUUUUAAACUUCCUCAACUUCUAUUUGACCGGAGGGAACGCGGCAUCAGUUGGCAAUUUGUGAGCCACUAAUUCAGUGCUUAAACCAGGCAUAUCAUCAUAAGACCAUGCAAAAAUAUCCUUAUAAUCAAUUAAUGCUUGAAUCAUUCCAUCUUUUAGCUGUGGCAAAUCAUGUACACAGAUUUUAGUUUCCCUAACAUCUUCUUAAUCCCCUAGAUUUAUUGGCUCAGUCUCAUUCAAAUUAGGAUUCGGUUUGUCUUCAAACUAUUCCAACUCUUUGCUUAUUUCUUCUAGUGCUUCUUCUUCAUCAUAUUCCCCAUCUUGCUUCAUUACAUGUUGAUUAGUUUGGAUUUUAAGAUCAGGCAGAAAAUUCUGGUAUCUUUCCCUUCUUCGACCAUAUCAACUUCAAUACAAAGGUUCUCGAAGUCAUCAACCAAUUCAACCUCAAAUUCCACAUGCUUCAUGACACCGCUCUUAACAAAUGAUUCACUGAGAAGUGGCAUUGGGCGAGGGAGUGACCAUGUUUCCUUUUUCCUUCCCUUGGCUUUCUUUAGAUCUUCAGACGUACGCUCAAAUCCCAGACCAAACGUGCCCACAUUCUCACUCGGACAUAUGGGAUGAAGUAUACCGUGCAGAGAUGCUCCCAAACCCUUUCCUGGCUCAAAUCCGUAUUUCUAAAGUUCACUCACCAUCAUGAUAGAAGCAGAAGACAAUUGUGGUCCCGGUAUAGCCUGCCAUUCAAGGAUACAAUUCACUGGCAUUGUAUCGAAAGUUUGAUAGACGAAUGUCUCCUCUACGUUAUUUGCUUCAAUAAGAGACAAGGGAGAAUCUUCGUAGGCUGACAAAUCUCCUUCACCAUGAAUAACUCCUUCUUGCCUGUCAUGCACAAACUGAAUCAUUUGGUGCAGUAUAGAUGCAAUCGCCUUGUGGAUCCACGGCCUUCCCAACAACAGAUUUUAAGAGGAUUCUAUAUUUAAUACUUGAAACUCUAUGGCGAAAUCAACAGGCCCUAUGGUCAAUAUUAGUUCUAUUUUGCCAAUGGAAUUUGAUUUUUCACCAUCGAAAGCCCUAACACAUACAUUGUUGGGCCUGAUCCUGUCAGCACCAAUAUUCAACUUUUGGAAAGUAAAAAUAGGGCAAAUAUUUGCACCUGAACCUCCAUCAAUCAUAACAUGAGUGACGUAGAAAUCUUCACACUUCACUGUAAUAUAAAGGCCCCGGUUAUGCCCUGUACCUUCAACAGGAAAUUCAUCUUCAGAAAAGCUGAUCUGAUUGACCUCAAAGAUUUUUCCAACCAUUUUCUCAAGUUGGUUGAUUGUAAUCUCCCUUUGAACAUAUUCUUCAUUUAAUACCUUCAGUAAAAUAUCACGAUGCUCCUUGGAGUGCAACAACAAAGAUAAAAGGGAAAUUUAAGCAGGGGUUUUCUUCAACUGGUCUAAUAUUGAAUACUCUGGGAACUUUAUCUUCUUCAAAAAUUCUUCGGCUUCCUCUUCGGUGAUAGGGUUUUUGAUAGAUGACGGUCCAUUCACCGUUGGCUUGGACUUUCUUAAGCUUUCAGGCACGAAGCAUCUUCCUGACCUAGUCAAACCUCCUACCUCAUCUACAUCUUCCACAAUCUCUUUCUCGUGAUAGGUCAUCACAGUCCGCCCAUAAUUCCAGGGAACCCUUUUCGUAUCAACUAUCGGAGGUUGGGUCACCGGUUUGAGGACAAUAGGCGCUGCUAGUGCUCCUUUCACCAUCAAAAUGGGCUGACUCAGAGCUCCCACCAUCGUCAACUUAGGUUUAUCCUAACUUGAAUCAACAUACCUUCUGGCGCCCUGUACUGUGAUCAGGGGUUUCUUUGUUCUUUCUUGGGCUUUAUCUUCUCUUAUUUCUUCCUGGCUCAAUGACAUUGCUUUCAAAGACUCCGCUACAUUCAUCGAUUUCUCCUCAAUGGUCUGUAUCUUGACAAUAGGAUUAUAAUCCCUUGAAGACUCUUUCCCGUCAUUUAUUAAUUCUAAUAUAUUGGCUUCAGCAUGAGUUGGCAACGGAUUUUGGUUAAUGUUUGGGCCUUUCGAGGCCUGGACCAGCAUCUGAUUCGUGUCAAUUAAAUCUUGGACAGCUCUCUUUAAAUGCCAGCAUUUCUCAAUAUCAUGGCCUAGCAUAUCAGAAUAGUACGCACACCUUAAAAAAUAACCGAGAUACCUCGGUGGUGGAUUUGAAAGCCUUCCUUGAAUUAGACUCAAAACCUUCAAGUUUCUCAGCCUGUCAAACAAGCUAGCAUAUGACUCACCAAGAGGUGUGAAUUGAUUUUUGACCGCCUUCUCCUUCUUAUACUCGGGCCUACGCUGAAAACUGGUCUAGAGGGGUUUUGGUAAUUUGGUGGAGCGAAUGGAUGAUUUUGUGGAGCUUGCGCGCGCCAUUGCAGGUAAGAAGGGGUUUGGGCAUAUGGCUGCGCGCUAUAUACUGGGUACGGUGGUAGCGGAAUGGAAUAUAAAGGGUUUUGUGGAGGGUAGUAAUGGUGGGGAGGAAUAUAUUGAGCUUGGGUGUAGACUUGGGCUUGGGAUUGGGGAUAGGGACGAGGUGGUCUUUUGGGAUAGGAAUGGGUUCCAGCUACGACAGUAGCCACAUCCUUUUUCUUCUUUUUACCUCCAAAUGCUCUAGAUCCACCUUGAAUUGCUUGUGUUGUGGCUUUUAAUGCGGCAAAACUCACUAUUUGGCCGGUUUUAAUUCCACCCUCUAUCAUCUCCCCUAUUUUGAGGACUCCAUAAAAGACUUUCCCAUUCCCAAAAGUAAAUGUUGAAAAUAGGUCUCAUCCUGCGCCUGAAUGAAAACUUCUACCAACUUACUUUCUUUCAUUGGAGGCUUUUCCCUGGCGGCCUGUUCACGCCACCUUAUCGCAUAUUCCCUAAAACCUUCAGUGCUAUUUUUCUUCAUGUUGACCAAGGAUUUUUCGUCCGAAAUCAGGUUGAUGUUGUACUAAAAAUGUUGAACAAAUUUGGAAGUCAAAUUAUCCCAGCUGUUCCAUUUAUCGAUAUCUCGAUCGAUAAACCAUUCUGAGGCCAAAUCUGAAAGACUCUCGCCAAAGAAGGCCAUGAGCAGUUCUUCCUUUCCUCCUGCAGCCCUCAACUGGUUGCAAUAACGUCUCAAGUGUGCAAUGGGAUCACCGUGUCCUGCAUACUUCUCGAACUUAGGCAUCUUAAAAUCGGGGGGAAGGUUGAUGUCUGGGAACAUGCAAAGAUCUUUAUAGUAAACACUCCUAUAAUCUCCAAUUCCUUACAAAUUCCUCAUAGCUUGUUCUAAACUUUUCAAUUUCCGGGCUAUGAUGUCCUGUUCCUCCGUUGCGACAGGCUUUUCCGUAUCAAAUGGAAAUGUAGGUGGCUGAAUGUACCCAUACGGUUCAUUCAUUUGCAAAGUAGGCUUAGGUGCAUAAUACUGACUAUCUGGAACCUUCAGUACUGGCUCACUGGCAGACCUAGGAAGCCUCAUUGUGGGACGCGCAUCAUAUAUGGGAGUUUCAUGUGGUGGCGGAGCCACGAAUACCGAUGUGAUCGGUGGCGCUGGCUGAGCAGCGGGUCUUGAUUGGGGAGCUGCCAAGGGUACUCCAGAACUGCAAGGAUAAUAAUGUCGCGGAGUGAAUCCUGGCGCAUGAUCAGGUGAUUCAGUAGGAGCAGAAAAUUGCGCCUGAGAGAGCGGUGGGCAAUUAAAGAUACUCCCAAGACCUUCAGGAAGCGGGGGAGGAGGCAUUCCACUGGCCCAUGCCCGGUGUAAAUCUGUCUAUUGUUGCCUGAGCCUUACUACCUCAUCAUUGUGUUCAGAACUUUCUUCCAUGUGAUCCUGAUCCGGGUCAAUGAGCGAAUUUUCAAUCUCCCUGCUAGCCAUGACGAGCUUUGCUUUGGAUCUGGUAAAGUAUGGGUAACUAGCCAGAGUGCUGCAAACCUACCACUGUUAGGAUUAGGGCACACAACAAGCAUGGGAAUCACAUUGGUAAAAUUGCCCUAAAUUCAUGCUCAUUUCUACCAACUUUUGAGAGUAGCGAAGUCAUUUUAACAUCAUCUUGAUUUUGUCUACACUUUUUUUUUACACUUAUUAUUUUUAUUUUUUCGUAUCCCUCUCUGUUAUUUCUUUUCUCUCGUUAUCUACCUUUAUUUUAUCAUUUCUUAUGGCUUUUGUUUUUCUUUAAAAAGAGGAAAAAUAAUGCAAAACAACAAAACAAAAUGAUUAGAUCGAACCCAAAAGUAGGUUGCCUACGUAUCAUGUUGUACAUGAAUCAGAUCUUGCGUAGUUUGGAAAGUCAUGCCAAAAUGGCCAAUUGAACUCUUUUUUUUUUUGAAACUUUAAGAAGAAAUAACAAAUUGUCAAAAGAACUGAUGAAAAUCUUUUUUUUUUUUUUUUUUACAUUUUUAGGCUUAACAUCCUUAUACAAAAAUGGAAACUAUGAUUAACAAAGAAAAAUCUUUUAGGGUUUUUGAUAUUGAAUUUCAUAGGAGAAUGAAACUUGAAACUAUUAAAGAAAAAUCUUUUUGUAGUUUUAUUUUAAAGAUGUAUAUGAAACACCUACUCUAAGUGAAGAGUGAAGAAAAUCUUUUUGAAUUUUCAAAUUUCUGUACAAAAUGAAAUCUACGCCUAUUCAGGAAAAAUCUUUUUUUUUUCAAGAUAUGUAUGAAACACCUACUCUAAAUAAAGAGUGAAUAAAAUCAUUUUUUUUAAUUUUUUUUUUAAAUAAGAUCCCCGAACCAACAAUAGGCUGCCUACAUAUCUCACAUCCCGAAAAAGGAGAAUCAGGGGUGCGUAGUUCGUCCAAAUUGGACAAUUAACAAUUAACUAAUAAAUUGACCCUAACUUAGGAGACACUACCAAAAACAAACGAAAAAAAAAACUUUGGGAUUUUCAGCUAAGACUGACACCACCAAUUAUAAAGGAAAAAAAAAUCUUUUUGGUAUUUUUUUUUUUUGACAAAUAAAUAGAAAAGGCAGACAAAACUUUUUUUUUCUUUUGCUUUUACGGUAUUUUGAGAAGACAAAUGCAAAACGUAAAAAAAAUCUUUUUGAGUUUUUGGAUUGUGAAGAACAAAAGCCAUAAAGAAUUCUAAAAUAAACUACGAAAUUCCUCCUUUUUUUUUUUUUAAUUUUCAUUUUUGCCUACGCACCUUACUCCUAACAAUUAUAUAUUACCCUUAAAGAUGCAACAGUUAGCAUGUAGAGAUGCUUUAGAGGUGAGUCUCCUACAAAGGGCCAUGUGGGUCCCGCUAGGUCUCCGUAUGAUGCACAUAAGCAUGAUCUAAAGGCUGACCUACGUUGUGGUUCACUAACAAGGCUGUUUGGGGAAGCGUAUGGUCGAGAAUGGCUGCUUUACUUUCCACCUACUCCAUAACACCGACGGCUCCCCCCUAAAAUAAGGGUGACUCAACUAGAGGUUGUGUACAACACGUGUACUACGUACUUGUUGCAGAAAGAAGGCCAGGGGUGGACUCAUGAUGCCAGAUAUAAAGCGGUAACACAUAAGAUAAAACUAUAAACAAAGAGCACUAAAAACACAAAAGUGAAAAUAAUACAAACAAUAACCACAAACAAUGCUUAUACACUCGUAAUGCCAAACAAAGCCGAAACGACUCCAAAAAUAGCUCGAAUUCUGAAAACUUGUCAUUCUCCCCAGCAGAGUCGUCAGAAGCUGUCACACCCCUUUUUACGUACUCCAAAAAAAUGUAAUUUUAAAGUUCGAAAGGGCUUUACUAUUUAAGUGACAAGAAAUGAAAAUUUGUUUCGGAAAAGGAUUUUUUUUUGCAUUUUUUAUUCAGAGUCGUCACUUGGCAUAAUCCGGUGUGUCAAGUCAACUUUGGAAAAUCCUUUUCGAAACCAUUUGACUCUUUAACUGGUUUGCGAACAGAGAUUCCGGCUAAAGAAUUCUGUUGACCGAGGGGAAGGUGUUAGGCACCCCUUGAUCCCGUGGUUCAACCACGGUCGCUUGGCAGAGUGUAUCGGCUAAAUUGACGUUACAAAUGCAUAAACCACACAAAAGCACACAAAAUAAUCAAACAAUAACAAAGACAAAACAAAAAUGUAAAGUCCAGUCCAAUUAUUACAACCCGAAAUAAAAAUACUGAAAUAACCUACACUAGUCCUAAACCAUGCUUUACCUUAUGCCUCGGGCCUUGAUCACGAGCAUCCUUAGCAUACAAAAUUCUUCAGGGCAUUCUUCGAUGAGUAAAUAUAAAUUACCUCGAGGCAUUCCCCAGUUAAAUAAAUACACUUUUCAAAUACGAUAAACAAAACAUUCAACAAAUAUUCCAAUCAUUCCCACAUUACACCAAUCCUAAACUUGCCUACCCGAGCUUACUGUUUGCCUACCCGCUCGACAACAUACCGCAUUCAACAUCAACAAUGUAUCAAAAAUAUCAUAAUAUUUACUUUUAUCAAUUUUUGAUUCCCGUCCCCAAAUUUAUUUCAACCAACAUGAUUAAAUAAGUCUCAAUCAAAUCAGCCACGGUAAUCGCGAUUUCUCCAACAUAAUAUCGAAACAUAUCAACAAGUCACAAUCAUCAAACAAACACUAACAACGAAGAUUCAAACCAAAUACACAACAAAUAAAUUAUCCACACCCACAACAUUACAAAAAAAGGUCAAGAUAAAAUAAAGAUUCGGUAGAAGAAAUGGACCUCGAUGAAAUUGAUCCUUGUCGAUAAUAAAGAAAUCCGAAGACCAAAAUACUCGAACGAAGAACCUUAAUCACGAAUCUCCAAAUCAGUGUCCCGACAUCGCCGUCCAAACAGAAUUCAAACCGAGAAGAAAAACCCAAAGCCCCAAAAUCUUGCAUUUUCUGACCAAGAUAUCCCUAAAAUCAAAGGAAGAUCAAGAGAUUUCCGCGGUUAUGAGACUGACUCGACCGAACUGACGACGGGAAAACUAAUUUCGGCGUAGGUGUCACCGAAAAAGCUCAAAAAGGGAUCCGGGUUUCACCGUUUCCCUGUUUCGUCGCCGACGGUGGCUGGCUUUACUGCUAGUGGUCGAUGCACCGCAGCUGGAGCAGCGAAUGUUGGCGGCGUUAUCACCACCGUCAUUGGUCGGACGAUGGUGUCGCCGGUGGGGUGAGCUGCGACUGGAGCAGCGACUGCUGGCAGCGCCGAAGGGGAGAACGGAGGAAGCCGGUGGUGGUUUGAUGGCAUUAUCGCCGGAGAAGGAGAGAAGAGGAGAUCGAGAGAGAGAGCUCGCGGAUGUAGAUCUCUAUUUUUUUUUGUUUUCGAUCGUCGCCCCUUUUUUUGUUACUGUUGAUGCCAAAGAAAAAAAAAUCCUCCUCUCAGUAUGUGUGUAUCUGUGUAUAUAUGUUGUAUUUUUCCCUUUUUGGUCCUUUCUUUUUGGACAAGAAAAAAAAAAGGGGGGGUGUUGUGGGGUAGGGUUAGGUAGGGGUANNNNNNNNNNNNNNNNNNNNNNNNNNNNNNNNNNNNNNNNNNNNNNNNNNNNNNNNNNNNNNNNNNUAUUAUUAUUUUUGUAUUUUGUGAGGGUAUAAUAACAUGGGUGAGGGUACACGGUAGGAUAAAAAUAAAAAUGGGUAAAACGACAUCGGGGAGGGACGAAAUUAGGUGUCUACACUAUCCACUAGCUAUGACCUGCAAGGGCGAGUUCAGUCGAUGUAGCAAAUAACUAAGACAACUAGUGUGGCAUUCUUAUCCCAAACAAUGUGUCAUACCAUCCUUUUUCCAACUUCCCCACCCUUAUUUUCCAUGAAAUCCGCCAAUUCAAUCAUGAUUAACCUUUACUAGUUCAUCUCGCAAGAAAAAAUAACACUAAAGCAAGUACAAUCACAUAGUGAGUAAAUCAACCACCUUACGCAUCAACAAGAUUCUUUUUACCAGUGUCAAUAUAAAUUAUCAUCUUUCAAGUUUCAUUCUACAAUUAGCAAAUUCUACAUUCAUUAGCGUGUAUUAUAACUGAAUAAAUAAAUAAUCACUCAAUAUAAAAGGGCAGCCCGGUGCACUAAAGCUAUCGCUAUGUGCGGUGUCCGGGGAAGGACCCCACCACAAGGGUGUAUCGUAUGCAGCCUUACCUUGUAUUUCUGCCAGAGGCUGUUUCCAAGGCUUGAAAUCAUGACCUCCUGGUCACAUGACAGCAACUUUACCGGUUACUCCAAGGCUCCCCUUCAAAUAAUCACUCAAUAUGCACUCACAAAAUCAACUUGAAUUUUAACUUCAAUUCAGCUAUCACCUGCUCAACAAACAUUAGUGUUUGGGGGCAUCAACAUGCAAUAGGUGAAUACACACAUAAUCAAUUUAGGUAAACCAUAUUCCACAUACGAAGGGUAUACGCAAUUCCUUCUAACUACAACACCAUUAACUUUUUUAUACUUCUCCAUCAUCGUUGAUUACUCCACAUCUACCUCUAGAUUCACUUGAACGUAUGCUGACACAUCCCAUUCCAUAAAUCUCCACCUUUAACUUUAUAGAAAAAUCAAUUAUCACUAAAGAUUUUUAAUGCAUUAACACCAACUCUACUACUACUCAUUUUUGCUUACUAUCAAAUUGGCAUAUAACAAAAGCAUGUAGGCAUAUCAAUGUCACACCCCCUUUUUUACGUACUCAAAAAAAGAUAUGGUUAUUUUAGUUUAAAGUCCAAAAGGGUUAUAUUAUUUAAGUUACAAGAAAAGAAAAUUUGUUUCGGAAAAGGAUUAUUUAUAUUUUUUAUUCAGAGUCACCACUUGGCAUAAUCCAGUGUGCCAAGUCACCUUUAGAAAAUCCUUUUCGAAACCAUUUGACUCUUAAAUUGAUUUUGCGAACAGAGACUCCGGCUAAGGAAUUCUAUUGACAGAGGGGAAGGUGUUAGGCACCCCUCGAUCCCAUGGUUCAACCACGGUCGCUUGGUAGAGUGUAUCAACUAUUUUGGCAUUACGAAAUGUAUAAACCACACAAAAUCAUGCAAAAUAAUCAAAUAAUAAAAAAAACAAAACAAUCCAAAAUGUAAAGUCCAGUCCAAUUAUACAGUCUAAAAAUAAAUAAUGCGGAAAUAUAAAUCUAUUCUAUACUAGACUAAUCCUAUGCUACGCUCUAACGCUUCACUCGAUGCCUCGGGCCUUCACCACAAACAUCUUCCAAAUACAAGGUACUUCGGGGCAUUCCCUGGGUAAAUCAAUACAAAUCCUUCGGGGCAUUCCCCGGCCAAAUGAGUACAAUUUAAAAUUUUUAUGCAAUAAAGUAGAAAGUACAAUUCAUGCAUAUAUUCAAACACUCCAACAAAUCAUUAUUUCUAAAUUUGACUACCCAGCCUACAUUUGCCGAUCCAAGUUCAACAUAUCCCAAUUCUAUCGUGUUUAACAUUAUCCAUGCAUCAAAAUUAAUCGACAUUCAUUUUAGCAAUUUUUAAUUCCCACCCCCAAUUCCAUUUUAACACAAAAAUUUCUACAAUCACGAUUACUAUUCCAACAAUCCACGAUCACUAUAAACUCAAUAUCCAUCAUUCACAUCACACAUAAUCGUAACCAACGAAAUCAACAACCAAUCAAUACAAACAGUUAUUCAUCACCAACGAAGAUCAAACCACACACGAACAUCCAAAUCGAAAUACAAAACAUCCCAAAUAAUUAAAUAGAUAAGAGAAAGUGUAGAAUUGGACCUCGAUUGAAGCUUUUAUUGUUCCAAAAUAUGUGAUCAAAAGACAAAGUCAGAUCUAAAACUCUCGAUUUGAACCUUGAUAACCAACAACUCCAAGCUCGAUAUCGGAUUCAACCAGACAGAUUGGAAAACAACAAAAAAGCCUCACAAUGAAUGACCCACAAACCCGAAUAGAAAUAAAAAAUAACCCAAGAUCUCAAAGUCGAAACCCCAAACCAUCGAUUUUCAACUAACCUUGCAUGAACCAAACCAACUCGAUAUCAAGGAAUAGCAAACUCGGAUGGAUUUAAAACCCUAAGAAAUAAGAAAUAUCAAAAGAACCGAGACUGAAAUAUAUAAAAAUCGAGAAGACCCAUACGCAAAAUCUCGUCGGACCCAACUCAAAUCUCACCGGAAUCGAUGGAAAAUGGGUUGGGUGUCGUUGAUUAGUCACCGGCUUCACUGUUUCUGGUGAGAUUUGGAUUCGCUAGAGAGAGUUCAGGUCGUAUCGGUGCCUGCUAACGUCGUCGGAGAGAGGUCGGGUCGGGUCGGCAGAUGGAGGAGCAACCCAUGCUGGACUUUUGAGGCGGCACCGUCUCUGGCUGGUUGGCAUUUGAGCGGAGAAAGAGGAGGAUGAGAGCAGGAGCGGCGACAGCGCCGGCGCUGUUGUCAUUGAUGGGGGCGGCGGCGGCACUUUUUUUUUAGUUUUGGAGAGAGAGAUGGUAGAGAGAGGGAGAGAGAUGGCUAGUUGUUAAGUUCACCGAACUCCGGCAUCAUUGGCUGCUACUGUUGCACGUAUUUCGGUGAAGCUUUUUUCGAUGAUGAAUGUGCAUAUGACAUUUUAUAUGGUUGAAGAUGAGUAAUCCUAUGUCCUCUUCUCUUUUUGUGUAUAUGGGUGAUUGUAUAUAUGUUGGUGAAAUUGAAAUUUUGAGGUGAGUGAGGGCAAGUGUAGGUGGGGUCACGUGGGUGGGUAUUGGGGUAGGAUAGGUGGGGUAGGGUAUGGGGGCAUGGGGUAGUGAUGUGUUGUCCAAAAUUGAUAAGAGGAGUGGUUAAUUUUGUUACACAAGAAUAAUUGGGGAUUAGGUUUGUUAGUGGGUUUGUUAUUUUUUUUUGUAUUUUUAUGGGAUAUAAUCAUACGGGUGAGGACACACGGUAGGAUGACAUAACAUGGGUAAAAGUGAACAAAAUCGAACUUUAAGUGGACGAAAUCACGUGUCUACAAUCAAUAGUAUACCACACAAUUACAAAACACUAACUUCAUUCACGUCACCCUAUUUUACUUGUUUAAUCCAUCCAAUCAUCUAGUCCACGGGCCUUAUCACGGAAUAUCUUGCCAAUUUGUAUUAUGAGAACAUUUAUAACCAAGCUCCAGUACUCAAAGUAAACUAGCUUACUUAAAUGAUAAACAUCUGCUACAGAGGCAUUAACUCAUAUUCCUCUGUUCUAGCAACUUCUGGUACAAAAAUAACAAGGAACUUUCAAGGAUCACCUGUCUAAGUGUACCUCUUCAUUAUUUUUGUUCUAGGGUCUUGAGGCAACCCUAAGGGGGGUUUUUAGAAAGAGAAAAUAUUUUGGUUUAAAACUGAAAAAAAGGUUUGAGAAUAAUUUGGAUAUACCCCACUAUAAUAGCUAGCAUGCUGCUACUACGGCAUCACCCGCUGUAGAGGGGUGAUAUCAGCGCACUCCUUAAAAUUUUCCUACUCCAAAGUCGUCUAACCAUAAUCUUUAACGGAAUUCUAAAAGACUUUUAAAGGAAGUUUUAUACCCCGUGCCCUUCGAACAUGAUGAUUAGACUAACAAUGAAAUAGAUCGUUAUACCAGAUACCAAUUUACCCGUCGUUCAUUUUCAAAUAAUUACAGUAGGAAAGAAAUUUUGUGGAUGCCUUCCCUCAAGUUAUCAGUACCCGCUUAAUAAUUAGGAACCUCUUACUCUCGGUCCUCACUCACCUACCUUAUGAUAGAAUUCACACGAACUUAUGAUACACCUACUCUCUUUGAACACCCUUACAUAGUAUAUCAUGAUCCAAAUUAGUACAAGACCACCUUUUAGAAAAGCUUAGUACCUAAGAUAAGUAGGGCUUCUCCAAUACGUCUAGUCCAUUGAAUAAACACUCAAAAAAGAACAAAACUUUUGUCCCAAAAAGUUGACUCGUCCUUGCUAUAAGGGGACCCUUACCGCGAUAGCAGUGUUGCAGUAAUGGGAAGUGGGCCACUAUAGCAAGAUAUUGACAAUUUUAAAGCAUGAGAAAUAGGUUUUCACCCUAUUUCUCAUUUUCAAACUCACAUCUCCCCUUCCCUACCUGAUUUACCCCUCUUUCUCAACAUCGAAAUUAAGGUAAAUCUUAUUCUAACUCCAUCUCUUGAUUUUAUUAGUCUUAUUAUGGAAAAAUAAUGCUAAAAACAAAAGAAUAGUGUCAUGACUCGAAAUAGGGCCUGUUCGUGAUGGGUAUCUCAAGUUUGUCAUAGACUGGAGACCACCCCCUUUGCCUAGUCUAACAAAACACAAUACACUAACAGUGGUUGAAUUUUUAACAUAGAACAAGAUAGAUAAAGAUAAGCUCAAGAAGUCUAAGAUACAUCAACAACCAAUACCCAGUCCACAGUAAUCCACAAAGCCUCUAUGAUAAAACUGAAUAUAACCUAAGUUGGCAGAUGCCCCUGAUGAUAGUCAAAACAAGUCCAAAGAAAAGUCUAUGACCAAAGUAAACAAAACCAUGAAAUGAAGCUCUUCCGAAGAAUGGAAGCUCACCACUUCAAGCUGAAUGUUGAUAACCUGAAAUCCUAUCACUGCACAGGAAAAGUAGAAGUGCCUCUGUGUCCUCCAUCAUACGGGAAUAAUUUAUUCAGAGACAGUUAGAGGAUUGAGCGCUAGCAAGUAACUCAGGAUAGAGGAUAAAAUAAUGCCAUCAUUCCAAAAUCAUUUCAAAACCAUUUCACAUGUACACAUACAAAGCAUACACACACACACGCACAUAUAUAUAUGUAGGUAUAAGAUACUGGGAGAAGGAACACGGUUUAGCAUGAGCUUUAAAUUAUUAUCCUAGAUUGUAUAGCUUGACCGUCCUAAUAACAACCCAUGGGUUAUAUGGGUCCAACUGUCACCCUCUGGGCGGGUCCUAGUGUGUGUUGGCCGCAUGAAUCAGAGCUAUCAUAAAAGGCCAAAGAUUCCUUAUACCCUAUGCCAUCCAUGAUACAGAUAUACAUAUAGUGUGACAUAAGCACACGGUAAUCUAGACCAACCCUCAUGUAGGCAAACGUGAGUUUCUAGUAUUAGUACCUCGGGACCUCCACCUUCACGGCUAGCUACACAACCCCCUUUAAGCCCAAUUAAAAUAUUCAACACAUAACCCAUCCAUUAAUUCAAAGAGUCAAUCAUUAAGACAUUAUUAAUUGGUAUCGUCAUCCGACUAUAGCUUGCAAGCUUACGUCGCUAAGCCAUCACUUGGGGGAAUCCUCGUACCCCCAGAUUCCAUUAUUAAAUCAACUUGCGGGAAUCCUUGUACCCUGCAAGGUUUUCAAGAAAAUCAUUCACUUGUGGGAAUUCUUGUAUCCCAUAAGGUUUUCAAUAUCAUUCUUAUCCGUUAUCCAUUUAUGCAAUGCAUUAAGAAAAAUAGCCCAAGCCAAAUGAUUUUUCACAUUCCAAAACCAUUUAUUCAGUGGGUUGAGGUUUUCAUCAAUUUCAACACCAGAAUCUAAUUAUUAUGGGAGAAUCCUUGUACCCCUAGUUAAUUGUUUAUAAAUUUGGGGAAUCCUUAUACCCCUACUUCAUUCAACAUUCCCAUGCACCCCAAUGAGUUCACAAAUCAUCAAUUCAAUGGAUAAUAAAUUCAUAAUAAUCAUAGGAAAAACAUUUAAACAAUUUACAUCCAAAACCCUCAACCUCUUCAUGAGACCCUACGACUCGUAGGGUCCUAGUCAUAACCAAGACAAAAAUAGUUAGGUAACAUACUGGUCACCCUACGAUUGGUAUCUUAUGACUCGUAUAGAGUCAUUAUGACUCGUGACCCCUAGUCAUAGUCACAACAGAAACUUUAGGCUAACACACUGGGCUGGCUAUGAUUGGGGUAUUUAAGACAUUUAUAGAGACCUUACGACUUGUAUAGUCAGUUGUAGUCAGGGCAGUGAACUCAAAGCUCAGGGAUUUUUCAAGGGCUAAAAUCUGAGGUGUUAAAUUAUCCCUCCCUAGGAUCAUUCAUCCCCGAAUGAUGAGACAAGGCAUCCAUUAGUAUGAUUUAGCACAAAAUAGAACCACACUUUCUUUGAACAAAGACAGAAAACAAAGAUAUUAAGGAAUACACAUACCUAAAGCACGAUUAUCCAAAGCGGGAAACAAGAAUGAUAUUUGGACUCCAUUUCCUCUUCAGAUCCCCAAGUAGCUUUUUCAACCUUUUGGUUUCUCCAUAGAAUCUUUACCAAAUCCACAUCCUUUCUGAAAUACCCACACUCUCAAGAGGCACAACCAAGGAUGGAUUACCGAUACACUUUUUCAACAUAUAACAUGGAUCCCCAGAUAAAUAUAACCAAAACUUAAAGGCAAAUCUAACUUGUAAGCAAAAUUUACCACUCUUCUCAAAAUCAAGUACGGUCCAAUAUAAUGAGAAUUGAGCUUCCCCUUCUUUCCAAACAUCAUACCUCCCUUCAUCGGAGAUACCUUCAAGAACACCCAAUCGCUAACAUCAAACUCUAACUCCCUUCACCUUACAUCCGUAUAGGAUUAUUGGUGAAUUUGAGCGGUCUUAAGCCUAUCCCUAAUCAACUUUACCUUCUUUAUGGCUUGAUGAACCAAAUCUAGGCCAAAUAAUAUACUCUCACCAAUUUUGAAGCAUCCAAUAUGAGAAUGAUAUCUCCUGCUAUAAAGAGCCUCGAAGGGGACUAUUUCAAUACUAGAGUGAUAACUAUUGUUAUAAGUAAACUAGAAGAAAGGCAAAUGAUCAACCCAAAUACCACCAAAGUCAAUAACACAAGCCCAAAAUAUUUCUUCCAAGGUCUGAAUCAUCGUUUCUUCUUGUCCAUCCAUUUGAGGGUGAAAAUGGUGCUAAGGUUCACCUUAGUUCUCAAACCUCUCUAAAAUGACCGCUAGAAGUACGAUAAAAAAUGCAUACCUUGAUCUGAGCUAAUAAAAAUUGAAGCACCAUGCAACUUAAUGAUCUCCUAAAUGAAUAACCUCGCAUAAUCCUCUACAACAUAAUUAGUCCUCACAGGCAAGAAGUGAGCACACUUAGUCAUCCUAUUCAUGAUUACCCAAAUUGAAUCAAACUGACUACAAGGCCAUGGAAGACCGAUAACAAAAUUCAUAUUAACCACUUCCUAUUUCCACACAAGCAACUCAAUCUCUUAAAAUAAACCACCAGUCCUCAAGUGCUCAACCUUCACUUGCUGACAAACUAUGUACUUAGCUAUAAAACUAGCCACAUCUUUCUUUAUGUUAUUCUACUAAUACAUCUUCUUCAAGUCAUGGCACAUCUUUGUCGAACCAGGAUCAAUAGUAUACCUCAACUCAUAAGCCUCAGCCAAGAUCCUGUUCCGCAGCACAUCGACUCGAGAACACACAAUCUCCCUUGGUACCUCAAGUUAUUAUCACCACUAAUCUCGAAAGCCAUCACUUUUUUCUGACCUACGUCAUCUGUAAUCUGCAUCAAGAUAGGAUCCAAAACUUGCUUCUCCUUUACCUCAGCACCAAGAUAUGAUUUCACUACCUCUUGAACAAUCACACCUCUAUUCUUGGAAUCUAAAUAUGAACUCUAAGAUUAGCCAACCAGUGAAAUCCUUUAUCAAACCUCCUAUAAUACCUAGCUAAACCUAAGAAGCUCCGAAUGUCAAUUGGAGUCAUGGGUCUAGGCCACUUCUUCAUCGCUUCUACCUUCUGUGGAUCUACCAUGAUCCCUUUAAUAGAGGAAACAUGACCUACAAAAGUAACAACAUUCAACCAGAACUUGUACUUAGAAAAUUUAACAUAUUACUGCUGAUCCUUAAGGGUCUACAACACCAUACGAAGGUAAUUAACAUAAUCCGCCUUGAUCUUAGAAUAUACCAAUAUAUCAUCAACAAACACAAGUACAAACAAAUCUAAUAACUGAUAAAAUACCAAAUUCAUAAGAUCCAUAAAUAUUGUUGGUGCAUUAGUCAAACCAAAGGACAUCACCAAGAACUCAAAAUGACCAUACCAGGUUUGAAAAGCAGUUUUAGGGAUAUCCACCUCCCUAAUCUUCAACUGAUGAUAACACAACUAAAGAUUAAUCUUAGAGAAGUACUUCACACCUUGAAGUUGGUCAAAAAGAUCAUCAAUCCUAAGUAGAGGGUACUUAUUUUUCAUGGUUACCUUAUUCAAUUGGCGAUAGUAUUGCAUAUUCAAAGGGAACCAUCCUUCUUGCGCACAAGGAAAAUAAGAGAACCUUACGGACACACACUAGGGUGGAUAAAACCUGUAUCAAGAAGAUCUUUUAACUACUCCUUAAGAUCUUUUAACUCAGUUAGAGCCAUUCUAUAAGGAAGGAUAGAGAUAAGAUGGGUAUCCAGUAGAAGGUCAAUCCCCAAAUCAAUUUUCUUAUCGGGAGAAAUACCAGGAAGAUCAUCAGGAAAGACCUCAAAAAAUUUAUUAACCAUAAAAAUAGGUUGCAAUGAAGGACCCUCUAUGUUUGAAUCUUUAACCCGAACCAAUGGUAAAGACACCCCUUGGAAAUUAAAUUCUGGUCUCCACGAUAAGAAAUGAACCUUCUCUUACUCACUAGGGAACUCUCUUCCUAUUCUAAAAUUGACUCAUUUGGAAAUUUGAAAAUACUAUCUCGAGAGAUGUAUAACGAAUGGAGCCAAUCCAUCCCCAAGAUAAUAUCAAAUCUAGCAUAUCCAACUCUAUCAAAUCUACUAAGGUUUCCCUACCACAAUUAGAUACAACAUAACCCCUAUAGACUCUUCUAGCAAUACAAAAAUCACCCACCGGGUAGAAACAGUAAAGUGAUCCGAAAUACUUUUGGGACCAAAACCAAAAUGAGUAGCCAUAUAAGGGGUCACAUAAGAAAAAGUAGACCCCGAAUCAAACAGAAAAUGUACAUCAUGAGAAAAGAGUUAUAGCAUACUAGUAACGACAUUAGGAGAGGCCACAGAGUCCUAACGGGUAGCACAAGUAUAAUGAUAAUUCUGGCCAAAAAUAGCCCCUUUUGGUGCAGGAGCUGAAAAAGUAGUAACAAGGACCUUAUUAGCCAUAGAAACAACCUUACCUAUGGUAUAAUUCCUCUGCGUGUGUCCAGGAUGACCAAAAUUAACAUCAGUUCCUUCCUUCACCACAGAAACCAUGAUACACCUGACCACAAAACUGACAAGGAGGAUUGGUUGGGGUUGAUUGUCCUUCACUAGCUUGAGACUGGGCACCUUGUGCGUUAAACCUAUCUUUAGACUGGAAACGAUAAUCACCGAACAACUUUUGAUAAGAGGUACUAGCUAUUGAGUAAGAGUUAGAACUUUCCUAAUUCUUUAUAGACCACUGCUUACCAUCUCUACCACUCUACUGAUGACCUCUAUCCUACUCCAAAUAUCUGAAUUUCUUACUUUGGCUUUCUCCUACAUCUAUUUUCUUCUUCUUUUCCUAUUUGACCUGCUGCAUAUACACCACAAGCCCAGACAUAUCCAUGUUAUUAUUCAGCAGUGCAACUUUGCACUCCAGGACCAAGUCUCGAGAUAACCUAAAAUCAAACUUCCUCAUUAUAGCCCUCAUAGAAGACACUAACUCCAGAACAUAGCGAGACAACUGAUGAAAUUUUAGGGUGUACUUCUUUACACUCAUCCUACCUUUUUUAAAUUUGCAAACUCCUCAUCUUUUAUCUCCCUCAACUCUUAAGGAAAGAAGUGAUCCAGAAAAGCAAUAAAAAAUACAUCCCAUGAUGCCAACUCUGCAUCAUCAUUUCUAGACUAAUCCCACUCCUCGUACCACUGAUAUGCCAUAUGUUUCAAUUGCUAUAUGGAAAAUUCUACGCCCUCAGAGUCAAAAGCAUACAUAACUCGAAAGAUCUUUUCCAUCUCAUCUAUAAACCCUUGAGGAUCCUUAUCAACCUUAGGAUCUAGUAAAGGUCGGAGGAUUGAGCCUCAUAAACUACCCUACUCAUGUAACCUUAGAAGAACUCACAACAAUAAUAAUAAGAUCUGACGUGACUGAGAUAUCACUAAAUGGGUCAAUAGAUGAAUAGAAUGGCAAAACUUGGCAUUAGUAGUAUCUCAUUAAGGUGACUGAGUAUGAGCAUCACCGUCUGUAGAAGGAUUAGUGGGGACUGGUGGAACUCUACGAGGGCAAUCAGAAGCAAUAACCUUAGAUCAGGUUUGUACCCUAUAGGUAUGAAGAGUUCCAUAAUAUUGUCCUUAAGCGGGAUAGAGGAGUUUUCAUGAGCAUCAGUUCUUCUGGGAGGCAUGAUCUGAAAUGCAAACAAACAGGAAUUAGAGGAGAUUUUUGCAUCCUUGACUCUGCAGCCUGAAAGUAGAACACAAAAAAAAAAACAUUUCUAAACGUAUCAUAGCCUCUCUCUUAUAAGUGUUGUGCUACACACCCAUAAAAGAGACUCUACUUGACACGAAUUUGUGGAUACCCAAUUAGCCCUGAACCUAUAGCUCUGAUACCAACUUUGUCAUACCUAAACUAGGGCCUGGCUGUGGCGAGUAUCUUAAGUCCAUCGUGGACCAAAGACCACCCUCUUUUCCAAGUAUAACAGAACACAAUACACUAAUAGUGGCUAAAUUCCAAACAUAUAACAAUAUAAAUAAAGAUAAGAUCAAGAAGUCUAAGAUACAUCAACAACUAAUACCUAGUUCACAAUAAUCCGCAAAGCCUCUAAGACAAAAUUGAAUAUAAUCUAUGUUAGGACAUGCCCCCGAUGAUAGCCAAAACAAGUCCAAAUAAAAAUCUAUGACUAAAGAAAACAAAACCAUAAAAUGAAGAUCUUCUGAAAAAUAGAAGUUGCCCACUUUAAGCUGACUGCCAAUAACCUAGAAAUCCUAUCACGGUAUAAGAAAAGUAUAAGUGUCUCGAUGUCCUACAUUGCGUGGGGAUACAGUUCCUGGAGAUGGUUAGCGGGUUGAGCGCUAGUAUGUAAUUCAGGGAUAGGGGAUAAAAUAAUGCCAUUAUUCAAAAACCAAUCCAAAACCAUUUCACAUGCAUAUAUUCAAGCAUAUACACACACAUAUAUAUAUAUAUAUGCAUGUAUAAGAUAUUGAGAGAGGGAGCAUGAUUUAGCAUGAACUUUAACUCAUUAGUCUAGACUGUAUAGCUUGACUGUUUUUAUAACAAACCAUAGGAUAUAUGGGUCCAGCUAUCACCCCCUGGGUGGGCCACAAUGCAUGUUAGCCACAUAAACCAUAGAUAUCAUAGAAGGAUGUGGAUUACUUGUACCUUACGCAAUUUAUGAUACAAUUAUACAUAUAGUGUGAUACAAGCACAUGGUUAUCUCUACCAAUCUUCACAUCGGCAAAUGUGAGUUUCCAGUAUUAGUCCCUCGGGACCUCCACCUUCACAGAUAGAUACAUAAUCCCUUUUAAACCUAAUAAAACAUUUAGCACAUAAGCCAUCCAUUAAUUCAAGGAGUCAAUUAUUAAAGCAUCAUUAAGUGGUAUUUUCAUACCAACUAUAGCUUGUAAGCAUACGUCAUUAAGACAUUACUUAAUUCAAUGCAUAAUAAACCAUAAUAAUCAUAUAAAUAAUAUUUAAACAAUUUACAUCCCAAAAUCCCAACCCAUCAUUCAAAACCCCAAUAGAAAAACCAUGUGAAUAUUAAAACAAUUCAUGCAAAUAUGAGUUUCCAGUAUUAGUCCCUCGGGACCUCCACCUUCACAGAUAGCUACAUAAUCCUUUUUAAACCUAAUAAAACAUUUAGCACAUAAGCCAUCCAUUAAUUCAAGGAGUCAAUUAUUAAAGCAUCAUGAAGUGGUAUUUUCAUACCAACUAUAGCUUGUAAGCAUACGUCAUUAAGCCAUUACUUAAUUCAAUGCAUAAUAAACCAUAAUAAUCAUAUAAAUAACAUUUAAACAAUUUACAUCCCAAAAUCCCAACCCAUCAUUCAAAACCCCAAUAGAAAAACCAUGUGAAUAUUAAAACAAUUCAUGCAAUAAUGAAAAUACAAGUUUUGGGAGAGAGAUACAUGCCUUAAUUCCUAAGAAAUUUGAAGAAGAAAUCACCCUUAGCGCCCUAGAUGACCAAUUUCUUAAAACCCUAGUCUUGUUUGUAAAUGGAGAAUUUAAGAGAGUAAAAAGAGUAUUUAUGAAUGAUAAAGAUUGGAAAUAAUGAUCCCAAGUUGUUUUAUGUACGUGGGGUAUAAGUGGGGAAUGGGAGAAUUGGCCAUAAUGCCCUUACUUAAAAUGUUGAAAUUUUCUGCCCAAUCAUUACGAGUAACCCUACAACUCGUAACAACUAGCUACGAGUCAUCACUUGACUCGUAGUUAAAGUAGAAUCCUUGGGACACACACUUUUGACCCUACGACUAACACCAUACAACUCAUCAAGAGACCCUACAACUUGUAGGUUCCUAGUCGUAACCAAGACAAAAGCAUUUGGAUAACAUACUGGUUACCCUAAUGACUCGUAUAGAGUUAUUACGACUUAUGACCCCUAGUUGUAUUCAUAACAAAAACCUCAGGCUAGCACACUGGUCUUUCUAUGAUUGGGGUCUUUAAGACCCGUAUAGAGGCUUUACGACUCAUAUAGUCAGUCAUAGUCAUGGCAGUGAACUCAAAGCUCAAGAAUUUUCAAGGACCAAAAUCAGGGGUGUUACAAAUAGAUAAAUAUUGGGGUUGAUUUUUAAAUUAGUUGAUUUUUUUCUAACUAGAAUGAAAUUUUGAAGAAUGUUUACUUCUUAUAAGUUUUCAAAGCUUCUGUGACAUUCUAGGCAUAGGAUUUAUGGAUUUCAUGGCCAAUUUAGAGUUUAUUCGAAGGAUUGAAGGUGAAGGGUCCCUCAUCGAAAGUCUUUUAGCUAUUGGGGCUUGAAUAAGGGUUUAAGACUCUGAUUUUGGUAAUUAGAUGUCAAGACCUGAGACUACCCCUAGUCACAACAUUGUGCCUAAGGUCACAAUUGACCCCAUUCUAAUCCAUGACCUGGCAUAUAUUUGGAUACUGAAGAAAUUAGCAAAAUACUACGAGAGAUUAGAUGAAAUAACUAGUGAAAAUAAUAGUAAUGUAAAAUUAAAUAUCUUCCAAAAUUAGAAAUAGAACUGUCUGACAACCAAUCAUGCUCAAAAUUUAAACAUUUGUAUGAAAGCCUUUAAAUCAUAAUAAGCUGUUUGGACAAACUCCUAACUAACUAAACCUAAAAAUAGACUGAAAGGAAAUAAAUAUCAAAUAUCUAGGCCUUAAAUUAUAAGGACUCACCAAUGGCUGCUACUGAGUGGUACGGGACUGUACUAAUUGCGGUUUGAGUACUGAGUGUUCGAAUCUAUAUUAUGAGACAAUAUAGAGCAGGAAAGUAUGCAAUCAGUGUAUUGAAUUUACUAAGUAUGUGAGACGGAAAACUAACCAGUCAAUCUGAACAUGAAUACAUGAAACAUGAUAAGCUGAAUGCAAGACCAAGUAUGUACAUGUACUAUGUAAAGCUAAAUAUUUGAAUAACAAAAUACAAGGUCAUGCAUAUUUGAGUUGAAACAUAAGCUAAACAUAAAUUGAGUACUAUCGGAGUGUAACGACCCGAUUUGCUGAACUGAAAUGCUACACGGUGCUCAUGACCCCGAAGGACCACAAGCUAACCCAUGACUGAUAUCUGUACCUGUAUACUGCAUAAGAUAACAUAUAAUGCAAAAAUAUGCACUGAAAGGCCAUAAGUUUUGAUAAUAAACAUAACUGAAUAACGUAACAUCUGUGUGGGGUAAUAGAAUACCCAAAACAAAACUGAAGUCUAAAAUAUGAUAGUCUGUAUCUAGUCUGCAUUUAGUCCGAAAGCCUCUAUUGUCUGAAGAAUCUGAAUAAGGAGUUGAUGGGACAUAUCUCUAACAAACUCCAACUAAUAAGCUAUUCAAUGAGAUACUAAAAAAUCAUUAUGUCCUUAAAGGAUGAGGACUCAUUUCUACUCUGACUAUUGAAACUGGAAUCUACUGUUGAUUUAGAACUUGUGUCUCUAAACCUAUGGUGUAACAUAAAAAGAAAGCACCAUAACGCGAAUGCAUUAGUACAUAUGUACCGAGUAUAUAUGUGAGAUGGGCUCUAGCAAUAGUUCACAUGCAUGAAUAAUGCUAACUGACUAUCUAACAUGAACGUGAGAAUACGUGUAUAAAUAUGUAACUAUGACUGAUAACGUGAUUUCAUAAUUUUUGAGCCUGUAUAUUGAUAACGUGACAUGCUAGUAACUGAUAUGACUGAUAACAUGAAGGAAUAUAUCUGAAUAAUGCUGAUAACAUGGGUGACUGUAUCUGAGUAUAACUGAUAAUGCGGGUGAUUGUAGCUGAUAGUCCUAAAUCUGAUGGAACUAUCUGAGUUCUGUACUGUAUCUGAGUUGACUGUAUCUGACAGUUCGAAAAUCUAAAGAAUGAUCUGAGUUCUAUUACUAAGAAUAAUUGACUAUAUCUGACAGUCCUGAUUCUAUAACAUGAAACUAUAUGAAGUAGUAUCUAACCGACAUGCCCCAAAGGUGCUAUAAUAGCUGAGCUGGGGUCCAAUCUAUGCCCUGAUUGGAAGGGUGUCAAUACCGCUCCACUGGUAAGGACAACAUGUGAGUAACCCUCAUAUAAUAGGUAACUCUAGCGGGAAUGGUGGGAACCCUUACAUAACAGGUUAACAUACCUCAUUUACCCUCAUAUAGGAGGGUACGAUGUCUUAACCUAUGCUGGCUACAUAGUUCUGGAAUGCAAGGAUUGCUUCUAGGAAUCACACUCUCAUAUAACAGGUGAUUUACCAUCCUUGAGUUCACUCGGUGCUAAUUCCUACUCCCAUCUGAAUAGACACUAAAUAUGAUUUACUGAACUGAACUGAGCAUGGACUGAGUUACUGAAUUUUUGUGGCUGACGGAAUACUACUGAUCUCUGACAACUGACUGAGUCAUGAGAUCAUGGAGAUUUUUCCUGAGUCAUAAGACUAUCUGAAGUCUAAGAGUUCAAAGAUUAACUGAGAGUAUCAUAAAACCAUGACAUGGAUCUAGGCAAACAACUAAUAUUUUAGGUACAAGUACCCCCAAGACUCGAUUGAAGGGAAAUAACAUAGCAUGAUUUACUUGAAGACUUGACUAACAUCAUAAUACAUACUACAUUCAUAGGAGUCUUUCAUCAAACAUGUAAUGGGCAUAAACUUGUACAUACCUGGAGAUCUCAUGAUAUCAUGCUAGUUAGACAAUUUUCCUUCAUUUAGGCAUUUAAUCAAACAUUUGUAUGCAUAGUACAUGUAAACCACAUCAUACAAUAAUUAAACAUCAUGCUUCAAUUCCAAUUCCAUCAUACAAGGUUUUAGUCAUGAGAUUUCAUAAAUCUUUAUCUAUACUAAUCAACCCACAUGGAAUUUAUCAUUAAAUCAUGGAAUAGAAAUCAAUUCCUCAUUUAUCAACAUAAAAGAGAACAUACAAAGCAUGAAAACAUGAAGAAAAUCCAUAACUUAUAGUUAAAAGGGAUUCUUGGACUUCACGGAUGAAAGGAGUCCAUGAAUGAACACUAUGCAUACCUCAGUUCGUGAUUUCAUGAAAAUUGAUGGUGAAACCUUCCUGAAUUUGAAUCCCCAAUAAAAACCCUAGUUUGUUCUUGAGAUAAACUUGAGAGAAACUAAUAUGUUUUAGGUGAAAAGGGGUUGAAUCAUGUGUUAAAGGGAUUAUAUAGGGGUAGGAAGUUGACCCUUUUAACCCUGGAUACGUCAUUAAAUUUUUAGUAAAAUUUCCCGAGUUGGGCCUUUGGCGCGAUGCGACGCUAUCUCGCCGUGUCACUGGAAAUUGAAAUUGGGAAACUGUACGAUGGCGUGAUGCGAAGCUAUCAUGUUGCCAUCUUAUCUAUGACCUAGAAGUUUGUCAUGACACACCAGUAUCGCGGAACAACACUGGAAUUUGACAAUUGCCAUUUGAGCUAUUUCCGUGACGCGCUGAAGGGUCAGGUCAAACACUGUCUCACUAAUAAGGCUCUAAUUCUUCACCCGGGUGUCAGAUUUGGGCAAAUUAUAUAUCGUUGGAAAGAUUAUUCAAUUUCUCACAUGAUAGGAAGUGAAAACUAUGGAAAUACCAAGUGAAUAAAAAUUAAUUCUUAUUUCAAAGUAAGUUCUAACAUCCUUGAGAUGGUUUUAAAGCUAAGAAAAAGCACUGAUAUUACAAUAUCUCCCUCUUGAGAACAUUCAUCCUCGAAUGAGACUGACAGAGAGGUGAAAAAAUCAGAUGAACAUGAAUAACUAGAACAUUAUCUCAUGACAGACGUGACUGAUAAGGCGAACAUAACAUACUGAACAUGCAUAUCUGAUGCAUGCAUAACUGAUUCAUAAAUGCAUAACUGAAAGUUCUGAAGAACUAAGUUUUCUCAUAAUGAGAAUGCAUGUCUGAUGCAUAACUAUAUAACUGAUCUGAUACAUGAAUGCAUGAAUGAAUAUGCGGUGGUACUUGAAACCAAGCUUAUCAUGGGAACAUAAGCAUGAGACUGAAUACUAAGUUGGUGAUGCACACUAAUCAUGAAACUAAGUAAGCUUAAGGAGAACUGUUACCUUGAGCUUGAUCUGAGUUGGUAGGGAAGAGGUGAGGAUACUUGGUAUGCAUAUAUGCUUCUAUUUCAAAGGUAGCUCCCUCGAUGGACUGAUUUUGCCAAAGAACUUUAACUAGAGGGACUUCUUUGUUCCUCAAUCUAUGAGUCUGAUAGUCUAGGAUUUCAACUGGAAUCUUUCAUAAAUGCAUAACUGAAAGUUCUGAAGAACUAAGUUUUCUCAUAAUGAGAAUGCAUGUCUGAUGCAUAACUAUAUAACUGAUCUGAUACAUGAAUGCAUGAAUGAAUAUGCGGUGGUACUUGAAACCAAGCUUAUCAUGGGAACAUAAGCAUGAGACUGAAUACUAAGUUGGUGAUGCACACUAAUCAUGAAACUAAGUAAGCUUAAGGAGAACUGUUACCUUGAGCUUGAUCUGAGUUGGUAGGGAAGAGGUGAGGAUACUUGGUAUGCAUAUAUGCUUCUAUUUCAAAGGUAGCUCCCUCGAUGGACUGAUUUUGCCAAAGAACUUUAACUAGAGGGACUUCUUUGUUCCUCAAUCUAUGAGUCUGAUAGUCUAGGAUUUCAACUGGAAUCUCUUCAUAAGAAAGGUUGUUCGAAACAUCUAUGAUCUGAAUAGGGACUACGACUGAUGGGUCACCUAUACACUUCUUGAGCAAAGAGACAUGGAAGACUGGAUGAACUGAGGCUAGAUCUGAAGGCAAUUUGAGCUCACAAGCUACCUUGCCGAAUCGACUGAGAAUCUUGAAGGGACCGAUAUAUCCGGAAUUGAGCUUUUCCUUCUUGCCGAAUCUCUUCACUCCCUUCAUAGGAGAGAUAUUGAGGUAGACAUAGUCACCAAUCUCAAACUCAAUAUCCUUUUUACAAACAUCUGCAUAAGACUUCUGUUGACUCUGAGAAGCCCAGAGUCUUUCUCUAAUUAACUGAACUUUCUCUAAGGAGUCGAAUACCAAGUCAAGCCCUAUGACUGAGGCCUCAAUAACUUUGAAUCAACUGAUUAGAAAUCUAUAUCUCCUACCAUAGAGAGCUUCAAAUGGAGCCAUCUGAAUAAUGGAAUAAUAGCUAUUGUUAUACGCAAAUUCAAUCAAAGGUAAGUGGUCAUCCCAACUACCCUUGAAAUUAAUUACACUCACCCUUAGCAUAUCUUCCAAAGUCUGAAUGGUCCUUUCUGCUUGACCAUCUGUUUGAAGAUGAGAGGUUGUACUGAGAUGAACUUGGGUACCAAGACCCUUUUAGAAUGCUUUCCAAAAAUUAUAGGUGAAUCGAUUACCUCUGUCUGAGAUAAUUGUCAAUGGAACACCAUAAAAUCUGACCAAAUCCUUAAUGCAGAGCUUGGCGUAAUCCUCGGCUGAAUAAGAGGUAUGAACUAGAAGAAAAAGAGUUGAUUUGGUCAUUCUGUCUACAAUGACCCAGACUGAAUUAUGUUGACGACAAGUUUGAGGCAAACCCGUCACAAAGUCUAUGUUCCCAACUUCCCACUUCCAAGUAGGAAUACUGAACUCCUGCAUAAGACCACUAGGCUUCUGAUGCUCUAUCUUAACUUGCUGACAUGUAAAGCACUUAGCCACAAACUCUGCAACUUAUUUUUUCAUCCCACUUCACCAAUAGAUUUCCCACAAGCCGCAGUACAUCUUAGUGGCCCCUAGAUGAAUAGAGUAACGCGCACCAUGAGAUUCUGCAAGAAUUCGCUGCCUUAUGUCAUCUACACCUGGAACACAUAGACGACCCUGACAACGGAGGACGCCAUUUUCCCCUUGGAAGAAAACCUCUAUUUUUUGAUUAUAAACUGACUCUUUUAGCUUGACAAGGCUAGGAUCCUUAUCUUGCAUUUCUUUCACCUCAAAAACUAGAGAUAAUUUUGAACUACUCUGAACACAUACACUGCUCUCUGAAGAGUAGACUAAGCGAACGCCUAGCCUGGAAAGCUGGUGGACUUCCUGGACUAACAACUUCUUAGUAUCAUCGACAUGAGAAAUACUACCCAUGGAAAGUCUACUGAGAGUGUCGACCACUACAUUGUCCUUGCCCAAAUGAUAAAGGACACUCAUGUCAUAAUCUUUUAAGAUCUCUAACCACCUUCUCUGAUGAAGAUUCAGAUCUUUUUGAGAAGACAUACUGAAGGCUCUUAUGAUCUAUAAAUACGUCUACAUGAACUCCAUAGAGAUAAUGCCUCCAAAUCUUUAAGGCAAAUACUACAGCUGCUAACUCAAGAUCAUGAGUAGGAUUAUUCCUCUCAUGGGGUUUAAGCUGUCUGGAGGCAAAGGCUAUGACCUUACCAUGCUGAAAACUCCUGAAAACUCUUCUUGUAAGGGUCUGACUACUAAAACUUGACCUACUUCUGAGUCAAUCUGGAAAUAGAGGAUAUAAUAGAAGAAAAUCCCUCAAUAAACCAUCUGUAAUAGCCAGCCAAACCCAAGAAACUCCUGAUAUCUGAUGGAGAAAUAGGGUGAGGCCAGUUUCUUACUACUUCGGUCUUUUGAGGAUCUACUCUAAUGCCAUCACCGAAAAUAAUAUGACAAAGAAAUGCUACUGAUCUUAUCCAAAAUUCUCACUUACUAAAUUUGGAAAAUAACUAAUGAUUUCUAAGAGUCUGGAGUACUAUUCUGAGAUGGUCUGCAUGAUCGCGCUCAGUGCAGGAAUAGACCAGAAUAUCAUCUAUGAAGACUAUGACGAGCAUGUCCAAGAACUGCUUGAACACACGGUUCAUAAAGUCCAUGAAAGCUAUUGGGGCUUUGGUAAGACCAAAUGACAUGACUAGGAAUUCGAAGUGACCAUAUCGUGUACGAAAAGCUGUCUUCGGGAUGUCAUAUUCUCUAACUCUGAGCUAAUGAUAGCUGGAUCUGAGGUCUAUCUUAGAGAAAUAACUGGCACCCUGAAGUUGGUCAAACAAGUCAUCAAUUAUGGGCAGAGGAUACUUGUUCUUGAUGUAACCUUAUUGAGUUGACGAUAAUCUAUACACAUUCUAAGAGAACUGUCUUUCUUGCGCACGAAUAAGACUGGUGCGCCCCACAGGAAAAUGUUGGGUCUGAUGAAUCCCUUAUCUAAGAGAUCCUUCAACUGAUCUUUCAGUUCUUUGAGUUCUACUGGUGCCAUUCUGUAUGAUGGAAUAGAGAUAGCCUGAGUGUCUAAAAGAAGAUCAAUACCGAAGUCUAUUUCCCUUUCGAGAGGAGUUCCUGGAAGAUCUUCAGGAAAGAUAUAUGAAUAUUCAUUCACUACUGGGACUGAUUCAAGACUGGGAGCCUCAUAACUGGAAUCUCUAACAUGAACUAGAUGAUAAGCAUAUCCCUUAGAUAUCAAUUUCCUUGCCCGAAGGUAGGAAAUAAGUUGACCACUAAAAGCAGAUAUACUACUCUUCCACUCUAGGACGGGUUUAUUUGGGAACUGAAACUAAACUAUUCUGUUUCUAUAGUCGACUGUGGCAUAGCAAGAAUGAAGCCAAUCCAUGCCGAGAAUGACAGCAAAAUCAUUCAUCUCUAAUUCGACUAAGUCUGCUGAAGUGGCUUUCUAAAAUAUAAUAACCGAGCAGUUCUUGUAUACCCACUGAGCUAUGAUUGUUUUACCCACUGGGGUAGAGACUGAAAAGGGAUCUGCUAGAAUUUUAGGACUGGUCCGAAAUCAACUGCUAUAUAAGAAGUUACAAAAGAUAAGAAAGCUUCUGGAUCUAACAAAAUGUAAACAUGCACAUAAAAUAUCUGUAACGUACUGGUAAAUACAUCAGGAGAAUUUUUCUGAUCCUGUUGAGUCUGAAAAGCAUAGAGACAAUUUGGGUGUUACCCUCUAGUAGCACUUAAAGUGGAAUCCUAUUAAUUUUGGUGACCGGACUUAGUUGAGGAGCGAUUCUAUUAAUCCUGAAGACCCGGCUAACCCUGAAGACCUGGCUGCGAACAGUCUCUAACCCUAUAGCCUGGCUUGCCGUAACCAAAACAAAUGCCACUACCUGCUCUACACACACCCUGAUAGUGCUUACCGCAAGUCUGGCAAAAAGGAUAGGUGCGGGCACUGCUAACACUGCCCUAGGUCUUAGAACUUGGCGCUCUAUCUUUGUUACCCUCUCUGAACUUAGGAACUGGAACACUGGCUGUAGAGGGAGCUGGAACUAAUGACUUAGGACGACACUGGGAAUGGUUUUCUCCUUCUGAUUUAGGUUGAGUGAAGUUAAAACUACCUGUCUUCACUCUCUUAUUCUACUUUUCCUUCUGCUUAACCUUCUGUUCCUCUAUCUUCUGAGCAUGGUUCAUAUGUCUGGCUAAUGUCAUGUCACUAUUUAGCAUGGCAAAUUUACACUCAUUAACCACGUUAUCAUUUACCCCUGAAGAGAACUUACUCAUCUUGGAUCUACUGUCUGCAACCAUAUGAGGGUCAUACCUGGCUAAUUGAGUAACUAUUGGCCAUUCAUUAUGAGCAGCGACUGAUUGAGAAAGAGUGGUAAAUACGGUCAUGAACUCUGCAUGAGAAACAUGAUCGCCCAAAAGUUCUUCGAACGGAGGGGCUGACUGAUUUCUUCUCUUAGGAGGCAUGUUCUGAAAUAAAAGAAGAAGCGGAUUAGACUGAGAGACUGACUUGUGAUUAUGCUCAUUGGCACGACAUGAAUUUUGAAAGAAGGGAAACUAUUCUUAAACAUCUCAUAGCCUCUUGCACAUAAAUGUGGCGCACAAUACACCCAUGCACAAGACUCUAAUAGAUGUGGCUUUCAGACUUCCUAGGACUCUAUUGAACCUUAGGCUUUGAUACCAAGUUUGUAACAACCCAAUUUGUUGAACUAGAAUGCUACAUAGUGCUCAUGACCCUGAAGGACCAAAGCUAACCCAUGACUGAUAUCUUUACUUGUAUACUGCAUAAGAUAACAUAUAAUGUGGAAACAUACACUAAAAGGCCAUAAGGUUUUAUCAUGAAUAUAACUAAAUAACAUUACAUUUGUGUGGGGUAAUAGAAUACCCAAAACAAAACUGAAGUCUAAAACAUGAUAGUCUAUAUCUAGUCUGCAUCUAGUCUGAAAGCCUCUACUGUCUGAAGAAUCUGAAUAAGGAGUUGAUUGGACAUGUCUCCAACUAACUCCAACUAAUAAGCUAAUCAAUGAGAUACUAUCAAAUCAUUAUGUCCUCAGAGGAUGAUGACUCACUUCUACUGUGACUGCUGAAUUUGGAAUCUACUACCGAUCUGGAACUCGUGUCUCUAAACCUAUGGUGUAACAUAAAAAGAAAGCACCAUAGCGCGAGUGCGUUAGUACAUAUGUAUCGAGUAUACAUGUGAGGUAGGCUAUAUGCAAUGGUUCACAUGCAUGAAUAAUGCUAACUGACUGUCUAACAUAAACAUGAGAAUAUAACCAUAAAUAUGUAACUACAACUGACAACGUGAUUUCAUAAUUUCUGAGUCUGUAUACUGAUAAUGUGACAUGAUAGUAACUAAUAUGACUGAUAACAUGAAGGACUAUAUCUAAAUAAUGCUGAUAACAUGGGUUACUAUAUCUGAGUAUAACUGAUAAUAUGGGUGACUGUAGCUGACAGUCCUGAAUCUGAUGGAACUAUCUGAGUUCCAUACUGUAUCUGAGUUAACUAUAUCUAACAAUCCUGAAAUCUGAAGAAUGAUCUGAGUUUUAUUACUGAGACUGAUUGAAGCACCAUAGCGCGAGUGCGUUAGUACAUAUGUAUCGAGUAUACAUGUGAGGUAGGCUAUAUGCAAUGGUUCACAUGCAUGAAUAAUGCUAACUGACUGUCUAACAUAAACAUGAGAAUAUAACCAUAAAUAUGUAACUACAACUGACAACGUGAUUUCAUAAUUUCUGAGUCUGUAUACUGAUAAUGUGACAUGAUAGUAACUAAUAUGACUGAUAACAUGAAGGACUAUAUCUAAAUAAUGCUGAUAACAUGGGUUACUAUAUCUGAGUAUAACUGAUAAUAUGGGUGACUGUAGCUGACAGUCCUGAAUCUGAUGGAACUAUCUGAGUUCCAUACUGUAUCUGAGUUAACUAUAUCUAACAAUCCUGAAAUCUGAAGAAUGAUCUGAGUUUUAUUACUGAGACUGAUUGACUGUAUCUGACAGUCCUGAUUCUGUAACAUGAAACUAUGGGAAGUAGUAUCUGACCAACAUACCCCAAAGGUGCUAUAAUAGUUGAGAUAGGGUCCAAUCUAUUCCCUAAUUAAAAGGGUGUCAAUAUCGCACCACUGGUAAGGACAGCAUAUGAGUAACCCUCAUAUAAUAGGUAACUCUAGCGAGAACGGUGAGAACCCUUAUAUAACAGGUUAAGCCACCUCAUCUACCCUCAUAUAGCAAGCUACGAUAUCUCAACCUAUGCUGGCUUCAUAGUUCUGGAAUGUAAGGAUUACUUCUAGGAAUCACGCCCUCAUAUAAUAGGUGAGUUCCCAUCCUUGAGUUCACUCGGUGCUAAUUCCUACUCCUAUCUGAAUAGACACUGAACAUGAUUUACUGAAUUGAACUGAGCAUAGACUGAGUUACUGAAUUUCUGUGGCUGAUGAAAUACUACUGAUAUCUGACAACUGACUGAGUCAUGAGAUCAUAGAGAUUUUUUCUGAGUCAUAAGACUAUCUGAAGUCUAAGAGUUUAUAGCUUGACUGAUAGUAUCAUGAAAACAUGACAUGGAUCUAGGCAAACAACUAAUAUUUUUGGUACAAGUACCCCUAGGAAUCGAUAGAAGGAAACUGACAUAGCAUGAUUUACUUGAAGACUUGACUAACAUCAUAAUACAUACUAUAUUCAUAGGAGUCUUUCAUCAAACAUGUAAUAGGAAUAAACUUUUACAUACAUGGGGAUUUCAUGAUAUCAUGCUGGAACUCAAUUCUUGGAGGGAAAUUAAACUUAAGGCUUAUAAAUUUUUUGGGACUCAAUGGGUGGAAGAGACCCAUUAAUGAAAUCCUUGGAAUUGAACUUGAGAUGGAGAAACCUUAGAUUGCUUUUGGAGAUGUGAAAAUCAUGUAUUUUCUUGUUGUGGAUAGAUUUUUAUACUAAAUGGUGAAUUUUGGGAAGUUUAGGCUUAUAUACCACUCUUCGGGAAGCCUAAAUGACGUGGGUUAUGAGUUAAUAGAAUUGGAAAAGACUGAAUAGUCCAUUUAAAAAUGUUUAUGAAUUUCUAAGAAAUAGUCAUCACGACUCAGGUAACAACUCGUUAUGUCAGGUCAUGAGUCGUGACCUGAGGACCUCAGAUUUGGAAACUUUCUUCUAUAAAAACGACUUUCCUCCUGAUGACUCGUUGGGUCUGGUCACGAGUUGUUAGGAGUAGCCAUUGUCAGGGUCUUGAUUUCUGGGUUGCUUUUUGUUGUGAUGAUAGGUCCACCAAAUAACUCAUUUGAGCUAAUAAUGAGUUGUAUGCUGGACUCUUCACCACUGGGCUGAAUUUUUGGGAUCCCUUACUACUCUAACAAUAACUCCACACAAUGACUCAUUGUGUCUGACAACGGGUUGCUUAUAGAGUUGUUGUCACUGGAAGUUGUCAGUCCCAUAGGCAAAUCUUCCAGAACUUCUAAAACUUGAAAACUUGGGUAUUUCAAUAUCACCUCGUUGGGAUCAUUCAUCCUCGAAUGAAACUAACUAAGCUGAGAGGCUAGCGAAAGCUGAAAUAUUAACUAAACUCAUGAAUACAAACUAUGACAUGGAAAUAGUUAGAUGGCCUGAGAUAGAAAUAAAAAAAUUAAUUAAUUAAGUAAACGAUUACCUCCCACUAGAACUGGGUUGGAAGAGAAAAGAUAGGGGUACUUAGUCAUCAUAUCUGUCUUUGCUUCCCAAGUUGCUCCCUCAAAUGACUGGUUUCUCUACAGAACCUUUACUAAAGCCACUUCUUUAUUCCUCAACCUACGAAUAUGAUGAUCAAGGAUCUCAACUGGGACCUCUUCAUAAGAAGGACUAUUUUCCAUGCCAAUCCUUUCUAUAGGGACUACUGUUGCUGGGUCACCAAUGUAUUUCUUCAUUAAGGAAACAUGUAAAACUGGACACACUAAUGCAAAUGUUGCAGGCAAUUCUAACUCAUAGACUACCUUACCAUAAUGACUUAAAAUCUUGUAAGGACUUAUGGAACGGGGACUAAGUUUCCAUUUUUCCUUAACCUCUUCACCCUUUUCAUGUACAAAAGUUUUAGGUAGACGAAAUUGCCAAUAUCAAACUCAAUCUCACUUCUCCUUAUAUCUGCAUAAGAUUUGUGAUAACUCUGAGUAGUUUUCAGCCUUUCUCUCAUUAGUUGUACCUUUUCCAUCACCUCAUGCACUGAAUUUGGACCUAUCAACAUAGUUUCACCUAUCUCAAACCAACCAAUAGGAGAUAUACACCUCCUACAUAAAGAGCCUUAAAUAUGGCCAUAUGAAUACUGGUGUGAUAGUUAUUAUUAAAAGCAAACUCAAUCAAUGGCAAGUGAUCAUCCCAACUACCCUUUAAAUCAAUCAUACAUGCCCUAAACAUAUACUUUAAGGUCUAAAUAGUCCUCUCUGCUUGACCAUCUACCUACGGGUGAAAAGUUGUACUAAUAUGAACAUGAGUACCAACACACUUUUGAAAAGUCUUCCAAAAUCGAGAGGUAAAUUGGGUAGCUCUUUCUUAAUGAUGGUUAAAGGGAACCCAUGUAGUUUCACCAACUCCUUAAGAUAGAGUCUAGCAUAAUCCUUGGCUGGAUAUGAAGUAUUGUCUUGAAAUAAAUAAGCCAGCUUAGUUAUUUGGUCCAUGAUAACCCAGAUAGAAUCAUAAUGUUGGCGAGUAUGAGGCAACCCUUUAACAAAGUCCAUAUUCACCACUUCCUACUUCCAAGUUGGAAUAUUGGAUUCCUGAAGUGUACCUCUAGGCCUCUGGUGCUCAACCUUAACUUUCUAUCAAUUUGGACACAACCACGAAUUCUGCGAUAUCUUUCUUUAUGCCAUUCCACCAAUAGACUUCCCACAAGUCAUGGUAUAUUUUAGUGGCUCCUAGGUGAAUAGAAUAUUGGGAACCAUGAGCUUCUGCUACUAUUUUCUGCCUCAAGUCUUCCAUAUCCAAAACACAUAAUUUACCCUGACAACGAAGAAUACCUUCUCCCCCUUGGGGGAAAAGUGUAACCUUCUAAUUUCGAACUGUCUCUUUCAAUUUUUUCAAAAUAAGAUCUCUAUGUUGCUUCUCCUUCACUUCAACUACCAAAGAAGAUUCUGACCUAUUUUGAACCCAAACAUAGCCUUCUGUUAAAUUAGCCAAACGAACUCCCAACCUAGCAAGCUGAUGAACCUCUCAAACUAACUCUUUCUUAUUAUCCUCCACGUGGGCAACACUCCCUAUAGACAAUCUGCUAAGGGCAACAGCCAUAAUAUUGACCUUUCCUGGAUGGUAUAAGACACUCAUAUAUAGUCUUUCAAUAACUUUAGCCACCUUCUCUGAUAAAGAUUUAGACCCUUCUUACUGAAUAUAUACUUAAGACUCUUGUGAUCAGUGAGCACAUCAACAUGAACCCAUACAGAUAAUGCCUCCAAAUCUUUAAGGAAAACACACUGCUGCUAACUUAAGAUUAUGAGUUUGGUAGUUCUUCUAAUGAGUCUUGAGUUUCCUAGAGGCAUAUGAUAUAACAUUUCCCCGCUGCCUUAAUACAUAACUAAGGCCAACUCUAAAAGCAUCACAAUAUACCACAAAACCAUCUAAACCCUCUGGUAAAGUCAAAGCUAGAGAAGAGGUAAGUCGAGUCUUUGAGUCGAGCCUUUAACUCUUUAAAACUCUUCUCAUAAGAAUUGGACCAUUGGAAUUUGACUUUCUUCUAAGUCAGUAUAGACAUGGGAGAAGCAAUAGAGGAAAAACCUUCAACAAAUAUCUGUAGUAAUGGCUAAACCCAAGAAACUCCUGAUGUCUGAUGGAGAAAUAGAUCCAGGCCAGUUCCUUACUACCUCAAUAUUUUAAGGAUUAACUCGAAUACCUUUACUAAAAAUGAUGUGACCAAGGAAUGUCAUUGAUUUCAACCAGAAUUCACACUUACUGAACUUAGCGAAUAACUGGUGGUCCUUAAGAGUCUACAAGACAAUCCUGAAGUGAUUUGUAUGUUUACCCUCACUCUGAGAAUAAACGAGGAUGUCAUCUAUGAAAAGUACAAUGAACAUUUCCAGGUACUGCUUGCACACUCUGUUUAUUAAGUCCAUGAAAGAUGCGGGAGCAUUCGUUAGUCCUUCUUUGGAAUGUCAGAAUCUCUGACUCUAAUCCGAUGAUAGCUAGAUCUGAGGUCUAUUUUAAAGAAAUAAUUUGCACCCUAAAAUUGGUUGAACAAGUCAUCAAUCCUAGGAAUGAUAUACUUAUUCUUGAUUCUGACUUUGUUCAACUGACGGUAGUCGAUGCACAUUUUAAGAGAACCGCCUUUCUUGCACAUGAAAAAAAUUGAAGCACCCAUGGAGAGACACUUAUUCUGAUGAAACACUUGUCUAAGAGAUAUUUUACCUUUUAUUUUAAUUUCUUAAACUCGAUUAGAGCCAUUUUGUAAGGUGGAAUUGAAAUAGAUUGGGUAUUUGGAAGAAGAUCUAUUCCGAAGUCAAUUUCUCUCUUAGGGGAAACUCUAGAAAAAUCUUUAGAAAACACUUUUGGGAAUUCAUUUACUACUAGAAUUGACUCAAGAUUUGGGAUUUAGAACCUUGAGUCCUUGACUCAAAUAAGAUGAUAGAUACACCCUUUGGAGAUCCUUUUCUUUGCCUUGAGGAAGGAGACAAACCCAUAUAUAGGCACUGAGGUACUACCCUUUCACUCUAAUACUGGAUCAUGUCUAACUCAACAAGAUUAAAUAAAGUGACCUUCUAGGAUACUAUAACUGGGAAAUGUCUAUAUACUCGUCUGGCCAUGACUAAACUAUCGACUAAAGUAGAAAGAGAAAAGGGUUCUGCAAGGAUUUUGGGGUUGACACUAAAAUCUACUUCUAUAUAGGGAGUCACAAAGGAAAAUAUGGCUCCGGGAUUUAAUAAUGCAUACACAUGAAUAUGAAAAACUUAUAACAUAACCACAUCAAGAGAAUUCUCCUGAUGCUGUCAAGUCUGAAGGGCAUAAAACCAAUUCUGAUAUUGUUCACUAAUUGUACUAGAAGUGCCACCCAGCUGAGUCGGGCGAACUGUUAAAACUGUUAAAGAUUUAGUUCGACCCUACUGACAAUCAUUCCUACCUCUCUGCUCAACCCCUAGGUAAUCCUUUAUUUUGUGGCCUAACUUGACACAUCUAAAGUAGGCAUCACUACCAGCCAUGCACUCACUCGUGUGGUUUCUCCCAUAUUUAUUGCAAAUUGGGUUGGUGCGAAGACUAUUCAUACUACCCUGGGACUUAGAGCCUGGCACUCCAUCUCGAGUAUCCUAUCUGAACUUAGGCACUGGAGCACUAGUAAAAGAUGAGGCUGAAGGUGGAGGUUUCUGGUGGAACAAAAAGCGAUUUCCACCAUCAGACCUCUGCUGAGAGAAAUUGAAGCUACCAGUUUUAUCCCUCUUAUUCCCUCUUUCCUUCUUUUAAAUAUUAAUUUUCAGCAUACAACAUCAUGUUCCAUCAUAUUAAUAUCAAUUUACAACAUAUAAAGUCAUUUUCUAGCAUAUUAAUUUUCAUCAUAUAAAAAUAAUGUUCCAGCAUAUUAAUAUCAAUUUUUAGAAUAUAAAAUUAUUUUUCAGCAUUUUAAUAUUAAUUUCCAGUAUAUAAAAUCAUUUUCUAGCAUAUUAACAUUGUUCUCUAGCCUUGAAAAAUUAAUUUUCAGCAAUUGAAAAAUUGUUUUCAGUAUUAAAAAAUAAUUUCCAGCAUUUUCACUUUUCAGCAUAUUGAAAUUGGGUUUUCAAUAUUAAAAAAAGUUUUUAGCAUGUUAAUUUUAUUGUUAGCACAUCUAAAAUAAGGGCUACACAUCAAUUUAUUGCAUAUUUUCGGUUAGUUUUAGAACAUUUGAUUUGUUUGUGGACAUGACAGUCAAUUCCUAACAUGUGCAGGAUAAUUUUUUAACUAGAAGUCAUUUUUAUAAAAAAUUAUGUAAAAUUUUCAGCUUGUUAUUUUGACUGAUUUUAUUCGAUUUCAAUGAGCCCAUCAUGUUUGUUUAUAUCUUUAAUGUGUCAAAACACCUUAACCCGUCUUCGAACACUAGACAUCAUGUCUAUAGGUUUUAACUAUAUAAAAAAUAGAUAAUUAUUUUUUUUGGCAUGUCUAUCACUUGAUCAACUUUUAAUCAAUUAAGAGGCUUGUUUGAAAUCACUAUGUGCUACGUGUUAGUCCAACGUGCUUUGCUUAGCCAGCUUUGAGUCCAAUUAGGUAACAUAGUUUUUCCUUUGUCUAGACUCUCAAUUCAAAAAUAGAAAGUCUAAAGUUUCUUGGACAUUAAGUUGGGGCGGGUAGGCAUCUUAGGGAACGCUAGCUUUUUUUGUCAUUCUUUGAACGCUUUUAAGUUUGAUAAACAAACUAGGUAGGGGGUAGACAUUCAGAAAUUAUGGAAGUUGACCCGAGCAUAAUUCGACAAUGCAAUAUACAACAUUGUCAUCUGUUAAUAAGUCGGGUGAUGAUCCAAAUAAAAAUAAAUAAAUUAUUUGUCCAAUCUUGCGAAUUUGUUUUUCUCCUUUCUUUACUUUAUAUAUUUAUUUGCUCGGGGUAGUUUAGGUUCUUUAAUUUAAUAUAAAUAUUUCAUUAUAAAAUAUGCCAUUUAUAUAUCCUCGCUUAUCUGUUUUACGUGGUUUCUUGUCUUAUUUUAAUCAUCACUUAGAUAAUUAAUGACUAAAACAAUAAUUAAAUUACAUAUUUUUCUAUUCAUAUUUUGCCACUUAGUUACAUUAAGUUAGUAACAAGCAACCUUUGAUUAUCACAUACAAUCCCAUGUAAAAUAUGAAUUUGAUCAAAAACUACAUUUGUGGACCUCUAAAGGGUGUCUAACACCUUUCUUUCAAGGUAAUUUGACUUCUUAUCCAAACUUCUGGUAACGUAGACUAAUUAACUUAUUUAUAAUUAGCCUAUAAUGGUGCCCUAAUGCACCUUAAUUCAUUAGUUGACGACUUUUCACUCUUUAAAUAUUUUAAAAAAGAGUUUUCAUGUCGAAUCUCAUAUUUCACGAGAAAAAUGGGGCGCGACAGAAUGAAGACUCUGUUGGGGAUACUUAGUUUCUAACCAUUACGAAUUUGUAUUUUAUGUGGGAUUCUGUUAUUUGUCUGAAUUUUAUUUGUUGAUGUUUGUAUUUUUUGGUAAUAUUAUAUGUUUUAAUUUCAUGAUUUAUUUUUCUACAUGUUCAUAAUUUCUCCUUUUCCUUUAUGUGUUUUUAUAUAUCUCUCCAUGUUUAUCCUCUUCCUGCUUUAUCUUUAUUGUUUGACUAUAUGUUGUUUUAUUUUUGUAUGUACUUACUUUUUAUGUUGCUAAAUAUGUUAUUGUACUUCUACUUAUGUGCUAUGUACAAAUGCUUUAUAUAAGUGGAAUUUCACUCACAUCUUCUUCCACUUGGAACCUCCUUUAUUUUUCUUUUUAAGAAUGGUUGUGUGGUUGCACGGACGUUCAUUUUUAAAACACCUUAUGGAAAGUGCCUCGUGAAUCAAUCGAUCAGCGGUGCAUCAACAAUCAUGAGCUAUUCUGCUCACAAAGUUUUUGUUUGAGGGGACCUUGUCAAAAACCACUCUUAUUCUCUUUAGAGCUUAAUCGUAUCUUUCUUUACUAAGAAAUAUACAUCCUAAUAAAUCUAGCAUGUCUUUAUGACUUAUAUGCAUAUGACUGAUGUGGCAUGGAAAUAUGGUACUUUCGAUGCCUAACACCAUGAAAUUAUGCUUGAACUUAUGUCAUUUUAGUAGAUAUGAUGUGCUUUUGUGGUUAUUUUAAGUAAAACAGGUCUAGCAUAGUGUUGGAAAGAAACUGGAAUAAAAAAACCUGAAAAGACCAAGUAGCAGCAAGGUACAAGUCUCCUCAAGAGUCAUCAACACCUCAAAUAACUCAGAAGAUGACUCAUAAGAUCAAUAGAAACCAAGCACAACAAGAAAAAAUAAGUGUAGAGAAGAUAUGUCUGAUAAUAUGAGCUGUAUGAUAAGGGUACGCGCCGUAUCAUGAAGUCGUACAUAGAGCAAAACCCAAGAAAGAAAUUUAGAGUUGAAGUGUCAGAAGAAUAUGAGUCGGAAGUCUGAGUACGACCCACAUGAUCCAACUGUAAAUAGACUAGUGUUCAAAAGAAGAAAAGAAGGAGUUCCAGGUAGAUACGUGUGAAGGCGACGAGUCGUAUGAUCACGGUACGACUCAUAACCAGGAAUCGUAUGCAAAAUAGAAAGUUGAAUCCUGGAAAUAUUUCGGUAUGAGUGAAUGAGCGAGUCGUACCUUGUGCCGAUGUUACUUUACCUUUUCCAUUUUUAUUAGGAUUUCUAAGUAUUUUUGAUAUACUAUAAAUACCUUAGGGUUUAUCUUUUGUUGGGUUAUGUACUUCAACGUAUUGUUUACAUUAUUCUUACAGUACUCAUGAGAUUUUGAGUUUUUAUUCAAUUAAAGACUUGGGAUUUUAUUCAUCUUAUUCUUGUGCAAUUAAUUACAUGUAUUCUUCAUUGAUAAUCAUAAUUUUUUGCAUGAACAUGAGCGGGUAAUAUCCCAACUAGGGUUGUGGGAACCUUGGCGGAUUAGAUACGUAAAGAAAGUGGUAGAUUUAUCUAUUUUAGGGUUUAUACAUGUAUCUUAAUCUUCUUCACAAUAAUUGACCUCAGAGCUACUGCAGAAGCUUGGGGAUAGACUGUAUUUGCAUACGUCCUCACAAGGGAGUUUGUCAUUAGGAAAAGAAGAUUAAGAUAGUAAUUUGAGAUUCACUUCCAUUAUACCAUUCCAUCAUCUCAUCUAAUCACUUGAUACUCAAAAGGUGAAAGUGAAAUAAAGUCGUAAGCAAUGAGCAAGAAGACGAUGCCCUGAGACUCACAAUAUAAAGGGUGAGAUUUAUCCACAUGUUCACAAGACAGUUGAUAAUACAUAUCUUGUUGACUUAACAUACAGAGUAGUAGAAUAGGUGGAUUAAACAUGAGAAAUUUAUGAAAGUGAGAAGCCAGAGGUAACACAAGCCUAUUGUUUGUCUUCUAUUGUCUAUAACUCAAAAGCAUUCAAGAUUUGGUUACUUGUUACCGAUAAUUCCAAAUUCUCCCCAUUUACUUUCCGCACUGCUCGUGAAUCACACCAAGUUAAGUAACUAUUCCACAUUUUCCUUAUGUGUUCGACCCUGACCCAGUUGGGUUACUAUAUUUUGCAUCGACCGUAGCAUACUUCUUUUGGAGGUUAUUUUUGGGCAACAUCAAAUUUUAGAACCAUUUCUGGGAAAGAUAGUUUUAGUAGUUGAUUUAAUUUUUGAAGUUUGUAGGUUCUAUUUUCUAUUUUAAUUUAGCAUACGCCGAUGUAUGUCAAACACUAGGAGAAAAGGCAAUCCCUUACUCCCUUUUGAUCUAGAUCCAGAGAGAAUUCUUCAAACACCAUAAAGAAUGUCAGGACAAGAUUGUGAUGGGGUUCAAGACCCUCCACCUGUUGAUCCUAAUGAGUCACUCAUGCAUGCUCUAGUUGAUCUAUUGAAUGUUGCAAAUUUAUAAAUGCAACAACUAAUAGUUGCUGCUGAAAAAGAGAAAAACGUAGCUGAAAAGGCCCGAUUAGCUAAAGAGGUUGGGUUAGCUUUGCAAGAAGGACUAGUCAGGCCUAAAUAGGUAGCUGAGCAUAGAAGACAAAGUUUAGAGAGGCAGAGCUUCAUUGAUUCCUGUAUAUCAGAACCUACACCCAUACGAUAAUAAAGAGAAUACGGGUUAUAUUGAACCUACUGAGUUGGAGACAUCAUUCCUCCUGCUUUACCCCUAAAUAUAAAGUUUGAUAUUAUAAGCUUUAUGAUCUAAUUGAUGCACUUAAAGGGUGUAUUUUUGAGAUAAAAUACUGAUGAUUUAAAUAUGCAUGUUUCAAAUUUUACUGGGAUCCGUACAUCAUAUACUAUUCCAGGGGUAGAUCAAAAAGCUUUGAGAUUGAGGUUGUUCCCAUUUUCAUUGAUGGGUGAAGCAUCAUAUGGUUAGGGGAGCUUUUGAGAGACUAAAUCACUACUUGGCAUGAGUUGCGUAUACAGUUUCUAAAUAGAUUUUUCCCUCAUACAAGGAUGCUACAGUUGAAAGAUGAGAUUUAUAACUUCAGACAAUUACCUGUAGAAUCCUGUUAUGAGGCGUGGUUCAGAUUCAAGAAGAAGAUGAGAAUGGUACCUAAUCACAGAAUCAGAGGAUCAAAUUUGUUGGAAAUCUUCUAUGGAUCAUUGAAUGUCAGUUCAAGAGUAAUGGCAAAUAUGAUUUUGGGAGGUGCAUUCAUGUGUCUUCCAUGGGAUGUUGUGUAGGAUAUGUUGGAUAAUAUUUCAGUGACUAAUAGAGGCUAACAUACUAGAGAUAUAGAACGUGGUGCAGGUACUUAAGCUAAAAAAUUUUAAGCUAAAAAUUGAACCAUCGUUCCUAUGUGUGUAAGAUAUAAUCCCAUGAUUAUAUUUGAAUUAAUGUGUUAUGAUCAUUAUCAUAGUGUGUAAAGUGCUUUAGAGGUGAAAAAUGUUCAUAGGAAUCACUUAGAACAAAGUUGAGCUAAGAGCCUUUGAUUCGUCCAAAGUUUGGUAUUCGAUUCUAAAAAGUUCUACUUUGAACAUGUAUACCUUUUGAUAUACUUCGAAUUUUUUAGAUCAAGACCCACCAAAUUAUAUGUAAUUAAAUCAACUUUUCAAUGAUACCAAUUUCUCCUUAAUUCAAUAUUCGAGCAAAAAGUUAUGGCUUUUUCCAUGAGAGGCAGUAAGUGGAGGCGAUAUGCCCAUGCUAGCCGGGUUAUUGCAUCAGGACAGAGGGGGCAUCAUGGGAUAUACUCCCUUGCGCUAAUGGGCGUGAUGGCUGGUCCAUUCCCACGCUAUUUUAAACUUCUUAAGGGUCAAGGGGAACUUUGGUCCUUUCCCCUCAACCCCAAACGUCCAAGGAACGGUUUAUAGCAUCCAAAAGGGCAUUAUUUGCCCAUCUUCUUCAAGAUUUAUUCUCAAGAGACUCUCAUUCUUUCCCAAGAACAAUUCAAGCUUCAUUCUUAAGAAAGUAAAGGAUUCAACCUCUUAAUUUCAAGAAACCCUUAAGAAAUCUCCAAGAAAUCAUCUAAUUAAGAUAUGUGGGAGUUCAUCCAUGGGUCCCCUUUCACCCAUGGAGACCAAAAACCUGUUUUCAAGUUUAAAGUUAUGAUCUUUACAUGUUAAUAUAAAUUAUUUCCAUGAAACCUCCAUGAAUUUAGUUAUGUAUCUUGUUUACGAAUGGUUUUCGUUUAAAUUGCCUUGAUAUGUUUGAAUGGUGAUUUUCACAUGUUUAAUCCCUGACCCAUGUUUUAACUAUUGAAAUUUAUGUGAUUUCAUAGUUUAAAUACUCCCAUGUUUUAUCUCAUGAUCCUCAUGUGACUGAUUUCAAGUUAAGAGCAUAUGUGUUUUCAAGUGGAAUGAACCAAUACAUAUUUUUAAUGUUAUGAUCAUCAUAUAAAAUCCCUAAGUUGUGAAUUAAUUCGUGUAACCGUAAUAUUUUUGCAUUCUUGUUAAUUCACAUGCAUAAGUUUAGGGUCUCCACAUGUUUAAUUAAAUUCCCAUAUCAUGUUCAAUCAACUUCAAGAUUGUAACACCCCAAGAGUACACACUAGGCAUCACACGGUGCUUACAGUUCUGAGGGACCAAAAGCUAACCCAUGAGCUGGUACCUGUCGUGAGCACUGAAUAAUAAUAUCAUAAUUGCAGAAAACACCUGAUAUUUCCAUAAGGUUUUAUCACUGAAUCAAUACUGAAAUAUGAAUCUAUAGAAAAACUGACUGAAUCUUAUUAAAUACUGAUAAACUGACAUGUCAACUGAAAAUCCAAAUAUUGUAUAAUUGACUCUAACGUUUAAAAAGCCUCUAAAACUGAUUGACUGAAUAUGAGUUGAUAGGACAAGCCCCCAACUAACUGUGCUAACUACUGAAAUAGAGAAGUGAAGUCUAAGCGCAGUUUGAGAACUGAGCGUCAGCAUCUAUGAUAUAAUACAUCAUAGUGUAAAAGAAAAGUAUGCGAUCAGUACUUUGAAUGUAUUGGUAUGCUAAAUAAGGUAAGAUGAUAUGCAUGGUUUCGUGAACAGAACUGAUAAUUUACUGAAUAUGCAUGUAAAGCAUAGACUACUGGUAGAGAACAUGGAAUUUGUAGAUACUAAAAAUAUGGAGAAUUUGUAAAUACUGAGUAUGCCUGACAGUCUGUAAAUACUAAAGAUACGUGAAAAUUCGUAGACACUGGGAUGCAUGACCAAGCAUAUAACAUGGACUGAGUAAAAUCUAUAAAUCAAAAUACUAAAAAAUACUGAUAUUUGUAUGCUUUGGUCAAACAACUCUAAGACUACAUAACCGAACUGGGACUAUAACUGAGAAUGUGGGAGGUAUCAUCUAACCGACAUUUCCUAAUUUGAGCUAAUCGGGGUCCAACCUGUAACUCUAGUUGGAAGGGUGUUAAUACCAUGCCACAGAUACUAACGAUGGUUGUGUGGAUCCACUAAACUAAUAUAAUGUCCAAAGGACUAAGGGUGUCAAGUCUGAACUGACGGGUGACCCCUGCGAGAUAGUCAAGCAUAAUCUGACAGGUGACUUCUCAUAUCCAAUGUUGGCAACAUAGAUCUGGAGUAUAUGGACUGAUACUAACAACUUUGCCUAUCUAACGGGAAAUCCGCCAUCCCUACACUCGCUCGAUGCUAAAUCCUACUCCCAACUGAAAGACACUGAAAUAUUAGACUAUUUUGAGUUUAACUGACUGUAACUGACUCUUCUGAUAAUGCUCAUAGUAUAUUCUGAAGACUAUUUUGUAAUGUACUGAGACUAGAAUAAAUAAAUAACUAUGGUUUUCGGGUAUUCAAUCUCCCCAGGACUCAAAAACAAUAAUGGUAAAAUGACACUAAAGCUUAGAAGACAUAACAUGAAGGUUUUUAUUAAAUCAAUCACUCUUAUAGGCAUUUUAUCAAACAUUUGUAGUUUAUGGUUUAAACUAAUCAUAGGAAUACUAUGGAACUUGUAUAAAUAACAUGAAUUUAAAAUCAAAAGCACUAAGUCAUGGUCUAAUUCAAUAAAUGAUAACAUUAAAACAUGGAGAAUCUAAAAACAACAACAAUUCCAUUGGAACAUGGUAUACAAACAUAGUUCAUGGAGAUUUAUGGGUGAAAUCAUAAUUUAAAACAUAAUAACUUGAAAAGAUUAUAAUUUGGUAAUUAAAAUGGGAUACUUAGACUCCAUGGGUGGAAGGGACCCAUGGAUGAACAUUUAAUAUACCUGGGAUGAUGAAUUUCCUGAGGUUCUUGGUGAGUUUUUGUGGAUUGGUCUUGAAUUUAAGAGCUAGGGUUUCUUGUUCUUGAAAAGGGGAUCUUUAACUUAAGAGGAAUUGAAUAAUGAUGACUACUUAGGGUGUUUAGGGUUAAAUUUUGUGUUAUAGGAUGAGUUUAGGGCUUAGGAAAAAGACCCAAAUACCCUUAAACGGGUUUAAAAUGUAAGUUGAAAAUUGAGCAUUUCGAUUUUUGGCAUUGGCGCGUCACGCCACUAUCGCGACAAGCUACUGGAUAUGGACAAUUGGGACCUGGUCAAAUACCGCGAUGCGGAUCUAUCAUGUUAAUCCUUUGAAGCUCCAAUUUGGCCACCUCCGCGACGCGCCACCAUCAUGAAGGCCCACUAGAAAUUUCCAAAGUUGAAAUUGGCCUGCUCCGCGAUGCGCUAACAUCACGGAGUCACACUGAAAAUUAACAAUUGUCAUUUGAAUAUCUCCAUGAUAUGUGAAGGGUUAAAUUAACGAUGUUUAACAACUGAAACUUAAAAUCUCCAUAACUUCUUACCCUAUUAUCGAAUUUUGAUGAAUUUUAUAUUGUUUGAAAGCUAAUUAAACUUUCUUACGCAAUGCAGGCUCUAAACUGAAAAAUAAUGAGUGUUUCAAAAUUUUUAUUUAUGAGUACACAUGCACUGGGACUUAGAUUAUGCUAGGGAAUAUGGGGUGUUAUAAUAUCCCUCCUUUGGGAUCAUUCAUCCUUAAAUGAAACUAGUUAAGUUGAGGAAAAACUGAUGGACUGAGCUUACACACUCAACAUGCAUAUAUGAUACAGGGAUUACAUGACUGAACUGAUUUGUAAAUACAUGAUUUACAUGAACAUGAUAUGCAACUGAAACUGAGUACGAUAGAGAGAAAUCUUAAGAAGAUUGUUACCUUAUACUGAAUCUGAAUUCGCAGAGAAAAGAUGAGGGUACUUGGUUCGCAUAUUUAAUUCUGCUUCCCACUUGGCUCCCUCAACGGACUAAUUUUGCCAAAGAACUUUGACCAACGGAACUUCUUUGUUCCUUAGUCUACGAACUUGAUGAUCAAGAAUUUUGACUGGAACUUCCUCAAAGGAAAGACUUUUCUAAAUAUCUACACUUUCUAAGGGAACAACUACAGCUGGAUUACCAAUACACUUUUUCAACAAUGAGACAUGGAACACUAGGUGUACUGAGGCUAUAUCCAAAGGCAACUAAAGAUCGUAAGCUACAUUUCCAAAAUGACUAAGAAUUCUGAAGGGACCUAUAUAUCGGGGACUGUGUUUCCCUUUCUUAACGAAUCUCUUCACUCCCAUCAUAGGAGAGAUUUUCAAGUACACAAGAUCACCAACCUCAAACUUGAGAUUCUUUCUCCUCACAUCUACAUAUGAUUUAUGUCAGCUUUGGGCAGCCCUGUGCCUUUCUCUAAUCAACCGAACCUUCUCUAAGGCAUCAACUACCAAUUCAGGUCCUACUACUACGGCCUCACCCACUUUAAACCAACCAAUUGGAGAUCUACAUUUCCUACCACAGGAGCCUCAAACGGAGCCAUAUGGAUACGAGAAUGAUAGCUGUUAUUGUAUGCGAAUUCAAUCAAAGUCAAAUGGUCAUCCCAGCUACCUUUAAAAUCAACUACGCAUGCUCUCAGCAUAUCUUCUAAUGUAUAAAUGGUCCUUUCUACUUGACCAUCUGUCUGAGUGUAGAAAGUUGUAUUGAUAUGGACUUGGGUACCAAGACCCUUUUGGAAUGGUUUCCAGAAGUGAGAGGUAAAAUGGGUACCUCUAUCUGAGAUGAUAGAUAAAGAAAUACUGUGCAACCUGACCAACUCUCUGAGAUAGAGUUUGGCAUAGUCCUUAGCUGAAUAAGAGGUAUAGACUUGCAAGAAAUAAGUUGAUUUCAUCAUCCUGUCUACGAUAGCCCAAAUAGAAUCAUGUUGAUGAUGAGUACGAGGCAAAGCCGUCACAAAGUCCAUGUUCACUUUCUCCCACUUCCAAGUGGGAAUACUAAACUCCUGCAUGGACCCACUAGGUUUGUAGUGCUUAAUCUUAACUUACUAGCAUGUAGAGUACUUAGCCAUAAACUCUGCAAUAUCCCUCUUCAUCGCACUCCACCAAUAGAUAUCCCGCAAAUCACAGUACAUCUUAGUGGCACAUGGAUGAAUAGAGUAACGUGCACCAUGCGCUUUUUCAAGGAUUCAUUGCCUUAAGUAAUCUACACCAGGCACACACAAUCUACCCUGACAAUGCAAUACACCAUCUCCCCCUCGGGAGGAAACCUCUACUUUCUGAUCUCUGACUGAUUCUUUCAACUUAAUUAGACUGGGAUCUCUAUCCUACUUUUUCAUCACUUUGGAAACUAGAGAUGAGUUUGAGUUACUCUGCACCCACACACUACCCUCUGCUGAGUGACUAAGCAAACACCUAGUCGGGUAAGCUGAUGGAUUUCCUGAGCUAACUACUUUUUACCAUCCUCAACAUGAGCUACUCUACCCAUGGACAAUCAACUGAGAACAUCAGUCACUACAUUGGCCUUGCUCGGAUGAUACAGAACACUCAUGUCAUAAUCCUUCAAUAAUUCUAAUGACCUUCUCUAACACAGAUUUAAAUCUUUCUUAUAGAACAUUUACUGAAGGCUCUUAUGGCCAGUGAACACAUCAACGUACACCCCAUACAAGUAAUGCCUCUAAAUCUUUAAGGCGAAUACUACUGCUGCUAACUCAAGAUCACAAGUCAAAUAGUUCUUCUCAUGGGGUUUAAGUUGUCUGAAGGCAUAGGCUAUGACCUUACGUCUCUGCACGAGGACACAACCCAAACCUACAAUGGAUGCAUAACAGUACACAACAAACCCAUCUGAACUAUCUAGCAAGGUAAGAACUGGGGCUGAGGUGAGUCGAGUCUUUAACUCCUGAAAACUCUUCCCGUAGGAAUCUGACCACUGAAACUUAACUUUCUUUUGAGUCAAUUUGAACAUAAGGGAAAAAAUAGAAGAAAAUGCUUCACCAAACCGAUGGUAAUAGCUAGCUAAACCCAAGAAACUCCUGAUAUCUGAUGGAGAGAUAGGUCUAGGCCAAUCUUUCACCACUUUAGUCUUUUGAGGAUCAACUCUAAUGCCAUCACCAAAAAUAAUAUGGCCAAGAAAAGCUAUAGAUCUUAGCCAGAACUCACACUUACUGAAUUUAGCAAAUAACUGGUGAGCUCUAAGAGUUUGUAACACUAUUCUGAGAUGGUCUGUAUGAUCAGUUUCACUAUGGGAGUAAAUAAGAAUGUCAUCAAUGAAGACUAUGAUGAACAUGUCCAAGUAUUUCUUGAACACUCAGUUCAUCAAGUCCAUGAAGGCUGCUGGGGCAUUCGUGAGACCAAAGAACAUGAUUAGAAAUUCGAAGUGACCAUACCGAGUUCAAAAAGUUAUUUUCAGAAUGUCACAUUCCCUUACUCUAAGCUGAUGAUAACCUGAUCUGAGGUCUAUCUUUGAAAAUUAGAUGGCACACUGAAGUUGACAAAUAAGUUAUUAAUUUUAGAAAGUGGAUAUUUAUUCUUGACUGUGACUUUGUUAAACUAACGGUAGUCUAUGCACAUUCUGAGAGAACCAUCUUUUUUACGCAUGAAUAGAACAGGUGUGCCCCACGGGGAGACACUGGGUAUGAUGAAUCCUUUAUCUAGAAGAUCCUUUAACUGUUCUUUUACCUCCUUGAGUUCAGAUAGAGCCAUUCUGUAUGGCGGAAUAGAUAUGGACUGAGUAUCUAGAAGAAGGUCUAUUCCAAAGUCGACUUCCCUUUCGGGAGAAACUCUAUGAAUAUCUUCAAAAAAUACAUCUGAGAAUUCAUUUACUACUAGAACUAAUCCAAGAGUUGAAAUUUCUGAAUUAAAGUCUUUGACUCGAACAAGAUGGUAGAUACACCCCUUCGAUAUUAUCUUUCUCGCUCUAAUGUAUGAAAUCAACUAACCCCUAAGAGCUGUGGUACUAUCCCUCCAUUUAAGGAUUAGUUUAUUUGUAAAAUGAAAAUGAACUAUUUUAUUUCUACAAUCAACUGAGGCAUAGGAUGAGUGAAGCCAAUCCAUGGCAAGAAUAAUGUCAAAAUCCAUUAUCUCUAGCUCUACUAUAUCAACUGAAGUAACUUUUUGAGAUAUUAUGACCGAAUAGUUCCUGUAUACCUGUCUGGCUACAGUGAAAACACCUACUGGGGUAGACGCUAAAAAGGGCUCUGCUAGAGUUUUAGGAUUGACUCUAAAAUUGACGGCUAUGUAUGGAGUUACAAAAGAAAGAGAAGCUCCAGGGUUUAGUAAAGCAUAAACAUAUAAGUGAAAGACCUGCAACGUACCAGUAACUAUGUCAGGAGAAUUUUCCUAAUCUUGGCAGGACUGAAGAGCAUAUAAUUUGUUCGGACGCUGACCACUGGUAGCACUAGAAAUGGCACCUCGCUAAUUUGGGUGACUAGAUGGAACUAACGACUGAUGGGACUGGCCCUGUUGGUGCACAUCCCUUCUUUUCUAAGAAAUUACCCAACACUCCCAAAUCCGAUGGCCUGGCUUGCCAUACCUGAAGCACACAUCACUACCCACUCUACACUCACCCUGAUGGUGUCUUUUAUAUUUCUAUCAUAGAGGAUUUGUGCGAGCACUGCUAUUAUUGACCUGAGACUUUGUAAUGCCCCAAAUCUGGCACCCAGAAUGCUACACGGUGCUCAUGACCUCGAAGGACCACAAGCUAACCUAUGAGUGAUAUUUGUACCAGAACACUGCAUAAUAUACUAUAUAAAUGUGGAAAUAGUAGGCUGAAAAUGCCAUAAGGUUCAAAAAUAAUAAAUAUAUGAUAAAACCAUAUCUCAAUAAUGUGGUACGACAAUACCAAAACUAAAACAAUGUCUAAAACUAUCUAGUCUAAAAACACUGUAGUCUGAAAGCCUCUAAACUAUCUGAAUAAAGAGUUGAUGGGAUAUGUCCCCAACUAACUUCAACUAUUGAAAUAAACUAAGUAAUGAAGAAAUAAAGUAAUGAUCAUGUCCUCAAAGGAUGAGGACUCACUACUAACUCUGACAGCUAAAAUUGGAAUGCUACUGAUGCUCUGGAGCUCGUGCUUCUGAACCUAUGGUAUAAAACACCAUAGCGUAAAUGCGUUAAUAUGUUUGAAUAUACUGGUAUAAAAGUGAGGUAGGUUGAAUGCAAAGGGUUCAAAUGAAUAAACAGUGCUAACUGACUGAAUAACAUGAAUAUGAGAAUACAUGCAUAAAUAAGUGACUGUGACUGAAUUCGUGAUGGUACUGACUACUAAGUUUGAUUACUUAUAGCAUGAGUCACUAAUAACUAAUAUAACUGAUACUGCAUGACUGUAUCUGACAGUUUACAUUCUAAUAGAACUAACUGAGUUCCAUACUAUUUUAAGUGGACUGUAUUUGACAGUCCUAAAAUUCUGUAAAACAAUCUGAGUUUUAUUACUGAGACUGAGUCUGAAACUGUAACUAUGGGAAGUAGUCAUCUAACUGACGUGCCUCAAAUAACGUAAUAUAGCUUAGUUAGGAUCAAAUCUGUAACCCCAAUUAGAAGGGUGUCAAUACCGCGCCACUGGUAAGUACAAGCUGUAGGUGACCAUCAUCUAAUAGUGUCCCCAAAGAAAAAUGGUGGGACCCUCAUCUGAUAGUGUUUAUCCACCUCAUCAACCUUUAUCUGUCAGUGUUGAUGUCUCAACCUAUGCUGGCUACAUAGUUCUAGAAUGCAAGGAUUGCUUCUAAGGAUCAUACUUUCAACUGUCAGUGUGUUUCCUCAUCCUUCGGUUCACUCAGUGCUAAAUCCUACUCCCAUGUGAAUAGACACUGAACAUGAUCAACUGAACUGCACUAGACUGAGUUCAUUGAGUUCCAUUGACUAACAAAAUACUGUUAGAAUUACUGAAGUACUGAGCUUUCUAAGAUUAUUGGGAUUACUGAGUUUACUGAGUUUUCCUGAGUCACCAGACUAACUGAAUUCUAUUGAACAUAGCUUGACUAAGAAUAUCAUGAAAACAUGACACUGGCUCUAGGCACACAACUAACUUGUCGGGUACAAGUACCCCCUGAACUCGAUAGAUGGAAACUGAUAAAGCAUGAUAUUCUUGAAUACAUGACCAACAUCAACAAUUAAUAAUAUAAUAGGUUGGGGAUUUCAUGAAUACAUGGUUAUCACAAAUUUAUACAUGAAUAGGAUUUGCAUGUAAACAUGGUAUAGUUUCAUAAGGCUAAUUCAUGAGCAAUCCAACAAAUAUUUACAAGGCACAUUUAUAGCAUAGGAGUUCUUUGAACAUAAGGGUAAAACAUGAAUCCAUCACUUAAGUCACAAUUUGAACUAUAUUACAUGAUUUCUAGUCUUCUAGGCAUUUUAUCAAACACCUUACAUGCACCACUUAGGGCAUGGGUAUAAUCAUCAAUUAACACAUCAUAAACCACUCAAUUCAUGGAUUUAAACUCAUGUACUAAUGUAAUUUCAUAAAAGCACAUAAAGAUUCCAACUUGGGAAUCAUACAACAACAAUCACAUAAACAUAAUCAACCCACAACAUAAUAUUCAUAAUACAUGAUUUAAAACUUGAAUUUUUUGGGACUUCAUGGAUGAAAAAAAUUCAUGAAUGAACACUAUGCAUACCUGAGUUAAUGAAUUUGAAAGUAUUGAUGGAGAGCUCUUAUAAUUUUGCCCUUGAAUUUAAGAGGUAGGGUUUUUGGUUUGAGAGAGAGCAACUCAAUUUGGGAAAAAAUAGAGUGAAUAAUGAUAUCCUUAGGUCAUGUAGGGUUAAAUUUCAUAUUUAAGGCUGAACUAAAAUCAUGGAAAAAGACCCAUUUAACCCUGGAUGCAUCUUUUAAAAUUUUGUAAAAAUUUCCUGACUUAAACUCCUAGCGCGACGCGGUGCUAUCGCACCGUGUCACUAGAAUUUGACAGCUGGGGAAUUGGACAUUGGCGCGACAUGGGGUCAUCGCGGAGCUUCACUGGAAUUUGACAAUUGGGAUUUGGGAGCCCUCCGUGAUGCGGUGAAAUCAUGGAAACUUACUAGAAAUUAACAAAUGUCAUUUUAGCUUAUGGCGCGAUGCACCACUGACUGAGAUAAUGGUGUUUUACGACUGAAACUUUACAUCACCAUAACUUCUUACCCGAUUGUCGAAUUUAGGUGAAUUUAGUAUCAAUGAAAAGUUUAUUCAAUUUCCCAUAUGAUAAAAUAAAUCUUGAAAAAACCACAUGUAUAAAAGUGGAUUCAUCUUUAAAACAAAUCUUUGACACUUUUGGGAUAAAUUUAAGCUAGGUAGAAGUACGGGGUAUUACAGACUUAGAGCCUGGUGCUCUAUCCCUAUUGUCGUUUCUGAAUUUGGGUACGGGAGCACUGGCUGAAGAGGGUGCUGGGGCUGAAGACCUCUAACUAAACUGAGGACGGUUUCCACCCUCUGACUUUGCCUGACUGAAGUUAAAACUACCCAUCCUAGCCCUCUUAUUUCCUUUCUCCCUCUCCUUAAUCUUUUGGUCCUCUAUCUAUUGAGCAUAGACCAUCAGCCUAGACAAGUCCAUAUUACUAAUCAGCAUUAUAGUCCUGCACUCCUUGACCACACUAUUAGAUAUGCCAGACAUAAACUUACUCAUCUUGGACCUAUUAUCAGCUACCACAUGAGGAACAUAUCUAGCUAAUUGAGUAAACUUGAGGGAAUACUUUCUCACACUCAUAUUUCCCUGCAUCAAGUUAAUAAAUUCUAACACCUACGACUACCUUAAAUCCAAUGGGAAGAAUCUGUCAAAGAAAGUUGUGGAAAACUCUUCCCAUUCUACAGGACCUACAUCUACACCCCUAUCAACCUUCCACUACUUAAACCAAGUAUUGGCUAUAUCCUGCAAUGGGUAUGAAGCCAACUUAGCACUCUGACUAGAUGUCACCCCCAUAGCAUUCGUGACUUGCUGGACCAUAUCUUAGAAUUCCUGUAGAUCCUCUUCAUACUUGGAUACCAUGAAAGAAGGAGGAUUCAUCCAGGUGAAAUUCCAAAUUCUAGUUGCAGCAGUAUUGGCCACUGGGUUGGCUGAAAUAGCAUAUGGCAAUUUAUUUUAUGUUGCUACAAAAUUGGCUAGAGUAAUGAACGUAACCUUGAAUUUUGUUGUGAGAGACGUGCUCAUCCAGAGGAUCUGCCUGGAUGAGCUGGGGGGCUAGCUGAUUUCUUAUUCUUCUUCCGUUCGUCUUGAAAGGUAUGUUCUAUAAGCAAAAGGAAGAAAUAGAUUAGAUAGGGAGAUUAACUUGAGCUUAUGCUCACUUGAAUGACAUGAAUACUAAAAGAAGAGAAAAAAUUUCCUAAACGCCUUAUAGCCUCUCAUCCAUAAGUGUGGCGCGCUACACACCCAUGCACAAGACUCUACUUAACGCGACUUUCAGACUUCCUAGGCCACUUUAAAACCUUAGGCUCUGAUACCAAGUUUGUAACGCCUAGAGAGUACACCCUGGACGUCACACAGUACUUACAGUUUUGAGGGACCACAAGCAACCUAUAAGAUGGUACCUGUCAUGAGAGAUGAAGAAUAAUAUCAUAAUUGUGGAGAACACCUGAUAUUGCCAUAAGGUUUUACCACUAAAUCAAUACUGAAAUAUAAAUCUAUAGAAAAACUGACUAAAUCUAAUUAAAUACUAAUAAACUGACAUGUCAACUAAAAAUUUGAAUAUUGUAUAACUAACUCUAAUAUUUGAAAAGCCUCUAAAACUGACUGACUGAAUAUGAGUUGAUAGGAGAGGCCCCCAACUAACUGUUCUAACUACUAAAAUAGUGAUAUAAAGUAAAAUAAUCCAUCCUUGAAUGAUGAGGCUCACCACUACUACUGUACUGCUGAUAGCCUGAGAAGUAAAGUCUAAGCGCGGUAUGGGAACUAAGCAUCAUCACCUAUGAAAUAAUACAUUAUAGCACAAAAGAAAGGUAUUCAAUCAGUACUUUGAAUGUACUGGUAUGCUAAAUGAGGUAGGCUGAUAUGCAUGGUUUUUAGGAACAAAACUAAUAAUUUACUUAAUAUGCAUAUAAAACAUGGAGUACUAAGUAAAGAACAUGGAAUCUGUAGCUACUAAAAAUAUGGAGAAUCUGUAAAUACCGAGUAUGUAUAACAGUCUGUAAAUACUGAAGAUACAUGAAAAUCUGUAAGCACUGGGGGAUGUAUGACCAAGCAUAUAACAUGGACAGAGUAAAAUUUGUAAACCAAAAUAUUGAAAAAUACUGAUAUCUGUAUGCUUUGGUCAAACAACUCUAAGACUGCAUAACUGAACUGGGACUGUAACUGAGAUUAUAGGAGGUAUCAUCUAACCGACAUUCCCUAAUUUGAGCUAAUAGGGGACCAACCUAUAACCCCAGUUAGAAGGUUGUUAAUAUCAUGCUAUGGGUACUAACGAUGGUUAUGUGGAUCCAAUAAACUGAUAUAAUGUCUAAAGGACUAAGGGUGUCAAGCCUAAACUGAUGGGUGACCCCUGGGAGAUAGUCAAGCCUAAUCUGACGGGUGACUUCUUAUAUCCUAUGCUGGCUAUGUAGUUCUGGAGUAUAGGUACUGCUAUUAAUGACUUUGCCUAUCUGACGGUGAAGCCUUCAUCCCUACACUUGCUUAGUGCUAAAUUCUACUCCCAACUGAAAGACACUGAAAUAUUAGACUAUUCUGAGUUUAACUGACUGAUAACUGACUAUUCUAAUAAUUCUUAAAGUAUAUUCUAAAGACUAUUCUAUAAUGUACUAAGACUAGACUAAAUAAAUAGCUAUGGUUUUCGGGUAUUCAAUACCCCCAGGACUCAAAAACAACAAUGGUAAAAUGACCUUAAUGCUUGGAAGACAUAAUAUAAAGGCUUUUAUUAAAUCAAUCACUCUUGUAAGUAUUUUAUCAAACACUUGUAGUUCAUGGUUUAAAACAAUCAUAGGAACAUUAUGGAACUUAUAUAAAUAACAUGAAUUUAACAUAAAAAUCACUAGGUCAUGGUUUAAUUUAAUAAAUGAUACAUUAAAACAUGGAGAAUCGAAUAACAAUAAUAAUUUCAUUGGACCAUAGUAUAAAAACAUAGUUCAUGGAGAUUCAUUGGUGAAAUCAUAAUUUAAAACAUAAUAACUAGGAAAGAUUAUAACUUGGUAAUUAAAAUGGGAUACUUAAACUCCAUGGGUGGAAGGGACCUAUAGAUGAACAUUUAACAUACCUAGGAUAGUGAAUUUCCUGAGGUUCUUGGUGAGUUCUUGAGGAUUAGUCUUGAAUUUGAGAGCUAGGGUUUCUUGUUCUUGAAAAAGAGAUCUUUAAUUUGAGAGGAAUUGAAUAACGAUGACCACUUAGGCUGUUUAGGGGUUAAAUUUUGUGUUUUAAGAAGAGUUUAGGCCUUAGGAAAAAGACACAAAUACCCUUAAAUGGAUUUAAAAUGUAAGCUAAAAACUGAGCAUCCCAAUUUUUGGCAUUGCCACGAUGCGCCACUAUCACGCCAAGCCACUAGAAAUUGAAAAUUGGGACCUGAACAAACACCACGAUGCGGAGCUAAUGUGUUAUUCCCUUGAAGUGCCAAUUUGGCCACAUCCGCGAUGCGCCACCAUCGCGGACGCCCAUUGGAAAUUGCAAAACUAAAAAUUGGCCUGCUCUGCGAUACACCAACAUUGUAGAGUCACACUGAAAAUUGAAAAUUGUCAUUUGGACUAUCUCCGUGACACGCUAAGGGUUAAAAUGACGAUAUUUAACGACUGAAACUUAAAAUCUCCAUAACUUCUUUCUUUAUUAUCGGAUUUCAGUGAAUUUUAUAUUGUUGGAAAGCUAAUUGAAUUUUCUACUCAACGGAAGGAUCUAAAUUGUAAAAUUAUAAGCUUUUUAAAAAUUUUAUUUAUGAAUACUAAUGUACUAGGACUUAGAUUGUGCUAGGGAAAUACGGGGUGUUACAAAGAUAAAUCCCCAAGUUAUGAAUUUUUCCAUGUAACUCUAUUAUUCCCUUAUGUUUAAGACAUUCUUCUAUUCAAGCUAUGAUCGUUGCAUGUUUUGAUGAAACUCCCAUGUCCUAUUCCAAGUAAAUUUAAUGCAAAUGCCCUAAUACAUGAUCUUAGUCAUGUAAUUUUGUUAUGCUUCAUGUUUAAGACAUUCUCAUGUUAAAGUUCAUGAUUCCAGAGUGUUACAUAAAUGACCUAAUGAUUGGGUUUUGAAUAUUGACUACUUAUUAUAUCCCGAAGCUUUAGUAUGUCCUACUGUUAUUGUUAUCGAGUCCUGAGGGUUAUGCAUACCCAAAAUUUAGCUGCUUACCUAGUUUUCAGUAUCUACAGAAUAAUUUUAGUUAUACUAUAAGCAAUAUCAUUCAGUCAGUAAUAUGGUUAGUUAUGAGUUCAAUUAAGCUAAGCUUAGUCCAGUUUCAGUUCCAGUAUCAAUUUAUACAUUAAUAAUUACCUCAAAAUUUGUAUGCACUAUUAGUUUUAGAAUACCAUGAUCUGAGAUUAUCAGUUAUUAGUUAUCAGUGCAUAUACCAGUUAGUAACUCGUAUCAGUUCAGUUGGGAGUAGGAUUUAGCACCGAGCGAACCCAGGGAUGGGGCUCACCUGCCAGUUGAGGGUGUGACUCUUAGUAGCAAUCCCUGCAUUCUAGAACUACAUAGCUAGCGUAGGUUUGAGAUGUUAACCUACCAGUUGAGGGUUGAUACAUAUCUCACCAGAGCAUCUGCCAGAAGAGGGUGACUCUUUAGUCCUUCAAGACUUUAUUUUAGUGUAUUCACAAAGCCAGUAUUAUUACCCAUUGCACGGUACUAAUACCCUUCCAACUGGGAUUAUAGGUUGGACCUCGAUUAGCUCAGAUUGGGGCAUGUCAGUUAGAUGAUACCUCCCAUAGUCUCAGUAUAGUAUUUAGUAUCUCUUCAGUUCAGGUUUGCUUGACUAAGUGUACAGACUUUCAGAUAAUCAAUUUUAUAGUUUUUAGUCUUUCAGAUUAUAAAUUAUCGUAGUACCAUAACAGAUAUACACUUAGUCCUGUGUUCUCUGAUAUUACAGUUUUCACGUAUUCAUUCUAAGUUAUCUCAUGUUGUUUAGUUAGUCCUUACCUCAUAUGUAUUGUACUCCACAGUUUCAGUCCAGUUGUUCAGACUAAGUGCAGUACAAUCUUACAUGACCAGUAUCCAGCUAUUAGUCAUUCAGUUCAUCAAAUAAGCUUAGUAUAUUUUAUGUUUGGUUUUGUAUGUUUAUGCAUCCGUGCUUAGUAUAAUUGUAUAUUAUGACCCUCGAAUUAUGUCAGUCUCCAUCACAUAGUUUCAGACCCAGUAUUCAUACAGUACCCAAGUUUUACGAUUUUCCUAGCUUUAGUUCUACUUAUAUUAUAAAAGGAAAGUUUUAAGAAACUAAGUGUAGUGAUUCACCAGCUUAUCAGAUUAUGUUUUCUACUCAUGUUUUAAGAUAUUUUAGCUUUCAAUUUAUUUCGGUCUCUUGGUGAGUCUAUUAAUACCUAGUCAUGCAUGUUUUAAGAUUACGUAUAAAAUCAGUUUUACUUAUUGCAUUCAACCCCACUUACUCAGUAUAUUCCAAAAGUACUAAUCUACAUAUACAUUUAUGUGCUAUAUUAUCUCAUAAUGUUGAUACCAAGCCUACGUAUCAUAAUCAAAUAGUUGCAGUUUCCCACCAACAGGUGAUGAGUUCUCCUAUUUUGGGGACUUCAGUCAGAUGUUGUUUAUGUACUUUACUUUAUUACUCAUAUGUAUUGAUUAGUGGUAGUUGGAGGUAUGUCCCAACUAUCUAUAGUCAGUAUAGUAGAGGCUUCAUAGAUGUCAGUCAGAGUUUGUCAUGUAAUUUUAGUUUCUUCCUUCAGAUUUAUAAGAUUAUAAGACUUUAUCAGUUACAUACUAUUUUAGAUCUUCAGUAUGAUUAUGUUUCUGCACCACAAAACUUGUUAUUUAAUGUAUUAUAAUUCAGUUGCUUAACAGUAUGCCAGUUCAUGAGUUAACCUUGGAUCAUUUGUGGUUUCUUGCAUUGUGUGGCGUCUAGGGUGUACUCCCGGGGCAUUACAGUAGUUGGAGAAACAAUUUGGUAAGAUGUAGACCACAUUAAAUCAAAUACAACCUGUCACUCUCCCGAGUAAAACGGUGGCUAAUCCAAAGAAUAAUGGUCACUACUACACCAUGACUACUCAAAGUGGUAAAUCCACGAUAUAUCCACCUGUACCAUUUGUAGAUGAGUAGAAGAAUGAUGAGGAUCCUAUUGAAGUUGAUAUUAGUAGCAAGCAAGAUGAAGUAGAAGAUAAGGCCGGGGAUCCUGUUUAAAGCCUAUCCUGAGACAUCAUCCUCUUUUUCCUCAAAGGUUGAAAAAAAUACAAGAAGAUGGUAUGUAUCAAAAGUUUUUAUCAAUGCUAAAAGAGCUAUUAGUCAAUAUCCCACUUAUAGAGGCAUUAUAGCAAAUGCUAGAAUAUGUAAAAUUUAUGAAAUAUUUAAUCACCAAGAAGAGGUCAGUCAGUUUUGAGCCAGUCGAUAACAUUCAUCAUUAUAGUGCAGUAGCUGCUAGAUCAUUGGUAGAGAAGAAGGAGGAUCCUGAUGCUUUCACUAUACCUUGCACCAUUGGACCCUCCAACUUUGCUCGUUCAUUAUGUGGUUGGUGCUAACAUCAACCCUAUGCAAUUUGAAAUGUUUAAAUAGUUAGGGUUGGGGGCUCCUAAACCAACCACCAUGAGAUUAGUGAUGGUAGAUAGAACAAUGAAAAAGCCAGUUGGUAUUCUAUAUGAUGUAUUGGUAAUGGUGGCUUCUUUUAUUUUUCCUAUGGAUUUUGUAAUAUUGGACUGCGAAGUGGAAUUCCAAGUCCCAAUAAUUUUAGGAAGAUCAUUCUUAGCUACAUGAAUAGUAUUGAUUGGUUUAGAGCCAGGACAUCUGAUGUUGAGACUCAAUGAUGAACAGGUAGUGUUCAAUAUAUGUAAAUCCAUGAAGCAGCCUGAUGAGUUAAGAAUGGUAUCCGUGAUUGAUAUGUAUGAUGAUAAAAUGGAUUCAUUCUUUGAUGUUGAUUCUGUUAAUCAUUGGGAUAAUGGUUCUAAUAUUGUUGUUUCUAUUGAAGAAAGGUUGGGUGUUGAAUCACUAGCAACAGUGAUCAUGAACUUUGAUAGUGAUGAUAUCAUCGACAUGAUUAGAUGGUAUGUGCACUCUAUGGUAGCGGUUCUUACAAUUAUGCACCAAAAAAACUUAAUUUGGAUUUAAAGAAUAGAACCACUCCACCUGCUCGUCCAUCUAUUGAGGAGUCACCUGUCUUAGAAUUGAAGACUCUCCCUUCUCAUUUGCGAUAUGCAUUUUUGGGAACCAACAACACUUUGUCGGUAAUCAUUUCAGCUGACUAGGGAAAAAUAGAAGUAGAAGCUUUGUUAUCAGUAUUACAGAGAUUCAAGAAGGCCAUAGGUUGGUCCAUUGCAGAUAUUGUAGGUAUUCUGCCUAGUUUUUAUAAUUAUAAAAUUCAACUUGAGUUGGAUUUUAUUCUAAGUAGAAAGCAUUAAAGCCAACUCAAUCCUCCUAUGUAGGAGGUGGUGAACAAAGAGAUAAUCAAGUGGCUGGAUGUUGGUGUAGUGUAUCCUAUUACUGAUAGUUUGGCCUGGUAUAAUGUGUUCCAAAAAAGACGAUAUUACUAUUGUGCCUAAUGAGAAGAAUGAGUUAGUGCCAGUGGGACUAGUCACAGGAUGGAAAGUAUGCAUGGUUUACAGAAAAUUGAAUGCAUGGACUUAGAAGGACCGUUUUCCCAUGCCCUUCUUGGACCGAAUGUUAGACAGGUUAGCAUGCUAAAGAUGGUACUAUUUUUUGAUGGUAUUCAGGUUAAAACCAAAUUACUAUUGCACAUAAAGGUCAACAGAAGAGAACCUUCAUAUGUCCUUAUGGGAACUUUGCAUUCAGACGUAUGCCAUUUUGGUUAUGUAACGCUCCAGCCAUAUUUUGGAGAUGUAUAAUGUCAAUUUUCUCUGACAUGGUAGCAGACACCAUCAAAAUAUUUAUGGAUAAUUUUUCAAUUAUUGGCAAUUCUUUUUAUGACUUCUUAGUUCACUUGGCGAAUGCUCUUAGAAGGUGUGAAAAAUGAAACUUGGUACUUAACUGGGAAAAGUGUAAUUUUAUGGUCAAAGAAGGUAUUGUGCUUGGGUACAAGAUUCAAAAAAGGGCAUAGAGGUUGAUAGAUCUAAAAUAGAGGUGACUGAGAAAUUGUCUCCACCAAUUUCUGUAAAGGGAAUUCAGAGCUUUUUAGGGUAUGCAGGUUUUUAUAGGCAUUAUAUCAAGGAUUUCUCAUAGAUUUCUAAUCCUUUUUGCAAGCUUCUUGAGAAAGAGGUGAAAUUUAUUUUUGAUGAUGCAUACAUGAAGUCUUUUGAAAGCCUAAAAGAGAAGUUGGUGUCGGCUCCAAUCAUUAUGUCACUUGAUUGGUCCUUUCCUUUUGAGGUUAUGUGUGACACAAGUGGAGUGGCUUUCGGUGUUGUCUUGGGCCAAAGAAAGAAAAGAUUGUUCAUCCCAUCUUCUAUGCCAGUAAGGCAUUGAACCCUAUGCAAAAGAACUACACAGUGAUUGAACAAGAGUUGUUAGCAGUGGUGUUUGCCUUUGAGAAAUUAAGAUCUUACUUAAUUGGGACAAAGGUAGUUGUGCACACAGAUCAUGCAACAUUGUGAUACUUGAUGACAAAGAAAGAUGUAAAACCUAGACUAAUUAGGUGGGUACUUUUUCUGCAAGAAUUUGAUUUUGAAGUCAAGGAUAGAAAAAGGCAUAGAAAACCAAGUUGCGAAUCACUUGUCUAGACUUGAGGAGGAAGCUAUGCAGAAAGUGGAAGAUGGGUUAGAGAUUGAUGAUAGUUUCGUAGAUGAGUAGUUAUUGUCAUCUUCCCAAGAUCUAAUUCCAUAGUUUUCAGAUUAUGUAAAUCAUCUAGCUAGUGAUCUAGUCCUAGAAGAUCUUUCCUUCAAACAAAGAAAGAAAUCCAUACAUGAGGUAAGAAAAUUUUUCUAGGGCUUAUAUUUUUUUCCGAUUGGGGGUCAUUAUGAAGGAACCCGCACAACCUACGAAAUCUUGCAAUAUGGGUAUUAUUGGCCAACAAUCUUUAAAGAUGCAUGUGACUUUGCUUUUUCUUGUUAUCAAUGUCAAUGGCAAGGUAAUAUCUCCAGAUGCUAUGAACUUUCUAUUACUCCUAUUUUAGAAUUGGAAUUGUUUGAUUUAUGGGGUAUAGAUUUCAUGGGACCUUUUGUGAGUUCGUUUAGCAUGAAGUAUAUACUUUUAGUUGUGGAUUAUGUAUCCAUAUAGGUGAAAGCAAUUGCGCUCCCCAAUAAUGAAGCACGUAGUGCAAUCACAUUCUUGAUAAAGCAUAUCUUUUCUCGAUUUGGCACCUCACGUGCUAUCACUAGUAACGGUGGGACACCUUUUUGUAAUUGCCUAUUCUAAAGUCUGCUUGAGAAGUAUAGAGUGAAACACAAGAUGGCAACACCUUAUCAUCCGCAGACUAGUGGACAGGUUGAAGUGUCCAAUAGAGAAAUCAAUUCCAUCUUGGCAAAGACAGUGAAUUCCAAUAGGACUAAUUGGUCACAAAAGUUAGAUGAUGAAUUAUGGGAUUACCGAACAACAUUCAAGACCCCAAUAGGUGCUUCACCUUAUCAACUAGUGUAUGGUAAGGAUUGUCACUUACAUGUUGAGCUUGACCAUAAAGCACUGUGGGCCUUUAAUGAGCUGAAUUUUGAGUGGGAAGAUGCAGCCAAGUCAUGGUUGAACAAAAUAAAUGAGUUGGAUAAAUUCUGACUCCAAGCUUAUGAAAGUUCUAUACUUUACAGAGAAAAGAUGAAGCUGUAUAAUGAUCACAACAUUGAGAAAAGAAUCUUCGAAAAAGGUAACUAAGUAGUGCUCUACAACUCAAGGCUUCGCUUGUUUCUAGGUAAGUUAAAAUAUAGAUGGUAUGGUCCCUUUACUAUGCUAAGAGUAUUCCCGUAUAGUGCCGUGGAAUUGAAGAGGGAUGGUGAAGCCUCAUUCAAGGUGAAUGGGAAAAGAGUCAACCAUUAUAUUGGAAACACUAAGAAAAUAAAUGUGAUUUUUAAAAUUGACCUUAGUGAAGUCUGAGUACCUAAGGUAAUUACGUCGUGCCGCGACGUUAAAUUAAGCACUGCAUGGGAGAAAAUCCAUGAGGCUGAUAAGUUCAAUCUAAGCAUCCAACUCAGCCUCGUCAUGCCGCGAUGUUAAAUUAAGCAUUUUGUGGGAGGCAACCCAUGUUUUGUACUUAUUUACUUAUAGGGUAAUGUUUUUGUUCAAUGUGCAGGGCUAAACAUUGCAGAAACAAGACUAAAAGUUUAAGUAAAUAGGUCAUACGAACUCUUUACGAGUCAUAUCUUAUUGGUAUAACUCGUGAGUAAGAGUCGUAAGGACCUUGGAGACUAAGCAGAUUUAGGUAAAAGUUUCUGGAGUAGAUACGACUCUCAAAAUGAGUCAUACCCAAAAGGUACGACCCGUCACAUUAAAUUGUAUUAACUUCAGAACCCAGGUAAGGUUCCAGGUCUUUACAAGUAGAGGAAAAAACCCGUAAGCCUGGGUAUGAGUCGUAAACACGACUCAUACCCAAGCUUACCAUGUUAGGGGUCACGGGUUAACCCAGCCCAGAACUUGAUUUUAAAAAAAAAGAGCACCCGAUAUGGGUAUCCAAGAUCUGAAUUACUCUCAAAUCGUAUUACCUCCAUUAUUGCACAAAUUAGAAGCUCCUAAAAUAUGAUUUAACCACAAAAAGACCUACCAACUUGCUCGAAUUCUACACGUUGCUCAAGUUAGCCACAGGUUUAGGGAAGAACAUUUAAGUUCAAGCAAAUUUAGUAUUUCACCAAAUCAAGCAGGCUUUUAAACUUAAUUUCAUUAUCUAUCAAGUUGAAAUUGAAAAUUUCAGAUAUUCUAGACUUACUUGAAGUUGAAUUGAGUUGUGGGUUGAAUUUUGGUACCCUAGUUCAUAGGUUUUAAGUUAAAGAUGAAAAUUAGGGGUAAACUUGGUUUUGGGUGUUGAUAUUGUGUAUUGUUUUGACAAAAAUUGGGUGAUAUUACUACAUAAUGUAAUGGGUAGUUUGGGAAUUUUAAAUUGAAGUCAACUCUAAAGUUGAAAUUUUACAUUAUAGUGGAUAUGAGACUCCUUAUGACUCAUACCCACAAGUAGCAAGGUCAUAAUGAGACUCGUACCCACUAAUAAAAUAGAAGUUUAUUUAAGUUUAAGUUCUGGUAUGGGUACGACUUGCCUAAAUGAGUCGUACCCAAUCCAUAAAACUCGUACACUUAAGUCGUAAGGACCUGGGUAGAUAUCAUCUGUUAGGCCUUUGUUUCUGACCUACUUUUGGGUGUUGGUAACGAGUCAUACCAUAGAUUUCGACUCGUUAUUAGGACUCAUAAGCAAUCCAGUGAACACCCAUGUAUACACUAAGUAUCAUACGACUCGGUCAUACGAGUCAUACCCAGUUGAUACGACAAGUACCCCUGACUCAUACCUUGUCCAGAAUAUGUACACUAACAGUUACUUUCUUAUAUUUUGCUUUAUUUUCCUUAUUUAAUUACUAAUGUAUGCUUGUGUUCAGGUGCAAUUCCUUCCAAAGGUACAUCUUCUUCCAAUCAAGUGGCUAAAAAGGGAAACAAAAACAUAACAUCUUCAAGUUCUGAGGCUACUAAGUCAUCUAACAGUAGCAGUGACCUGUAGGAAUACCCAAUGAAGGGAAAGGUUGACCCAAAAGACAAAAAAGCUGCCAAGGGGAACAAAGUAGAAGCCUCAAAGGACACAUCUCCAUGGAGAAUAAGGAGAAAGAAUACAAGUAUCUCCCCUCCUCACUCACCUCAACCUUUAAAGGCUAAAGAAGAAGUUAAAUCUAGUUCUGAGGUAGAGAGUUUAAAGAAUGCUGCAGAAAAAAUUAACAUGCUCUGAUUUAUGUACAACACCCUUCACUUGCUCUUGCAUCUGCUCUGAUGCCCACUUUUGAAUGGUGGGGGUACCUCGAUAUGCAGGCUACAUAUAAUGAUGGGUUGAGUAGACUCUAGAAUGAAAAGUCUAAUGGUGUCUGUACCUUGAGCAGAGGUUAAUUACUAUGGGGAUGACUUAGCUACCCUGGUUCGGGGAGCAAUUUAGAUAGUAUGGAUUCAAGUGAAUGACAGGGGCAUUCGGUAAAUACACUGUAGCACUGGCUUGAGAGUUCUACGUGGCAUACAAGGGUCAGUUACAGAGACAGUAUCCGCAAGGCCAACUGUAGAAAGGUUGUGACCCCAUUGCCUUGUUAUUUACUUAGGGUGUGCGAGUUAAUAUCUUACCACAUACUAUUUCUAGAUUCUUAUACCCGACAAAGUAUCAGCCUUCGGUGAAAACUGGUGAGAUAGGGUACAGACUUGAGAAGAUACAGAAAAUCACUAGGAAGUAGAUGGGAAUGAAGGACAAGAUAGGGUAUUUUAGGUGGAUUGCCAGCUUUAUAGCAACAAAUAGUGAGAAUGCUACUUGGGUAGUCGGAGGCCCAGGCGUGGUCUCCAGAAGAUAGAGAAGCAUAGUCUUAACUUUGAGGCCAUGGCAUGGUGGACACUGGCCCGACAUCGAUUGUGUCCUAUUACUAGGGAAAUGUGUUGAGCCUAGUGCGUACUGCUUUGAUAAUCGGGUUCAUGGCCAACUACAAGUUUGAUAUAGGAGAUUUAUUAGCUUGAGAGAUAAGAGAUUAGGAUGUAGGAGGAUAAAAAUUGGUGUCGGUGUAUCCAUGUUUGAUUACGCAGUUAUGUUUGGCUGCGGGGGGUACAGAAACUCUCAGGUAGGUAAGGCAGGGAGAAGAUAUAGUUACAGAGAUGUUUAGACAGAGUAGUUAGACUAAGGUUGCCGAAGCUGCCAAGACAGGUGGAUAGACUGCAACCUCACAGACUUCAGCUGCAGAGGGUACAUCUAGUGUCCUACCUUUAGUGCAUUCUAUACCACCAUACCCAAAAAGUAUGCCUUCUGUCUUUAUUAUGACUUCACAGGUAGCAUGGACUGAGGCGACUACUAGACUGGGCACACUAGAGGCCAAGGUUUGAAACAUGAAAGGGGGCGUAAAGCCUUAGGUUGAUACGCAGUUAGAAAACUAGGAUAGAUGGGUAAAGCUGUAGUAGGAUACAUUUGAGGCAAGGAUGAUAUGGCAGUUGGGUAGUGGCUAGACCCUAAAUAUUAUGAAGGUGAAGGCCCAAGUAGCCAAGAUAAAGAGGAUAGUGGAUGAGUUGUACGAUAGAUCAAUUAUCCCAAACCUAUGGUAAUCAUAGUCAUGCCCAAUAUUUAUGUUGAUAAUAUUUCAGUUAUUCCAAACCGGUAAGAGAAAACUCAAGAUGAAAAAAGGGAGAGAAAGAGGAGAAGGCGUGAUGAGAAAGAGGCUACGAACAAAGAUAAGGCUGAUAACGUACAAGAUAAGUUGGACCAACAUGUGAGGGUCCAGGAGAUGGCUGAUGAAGCUAGUGGUUCUAGGUCGCUGGUUGAUGAUGCUGAGGGAGGCGGUGUUGCAAACCCGGGAGAGUACUAAGUCAUCUCGAGCUAUAUUUGUCGUGUUUCAAAGCCCGAGGCCAUAUUCUAAAAAAUUUGAAGAACUGGCAUGUUUUGUUUAUGUUUUUGUGUUGCUAUAUGUUUUUGUGUGUAUUAUGUGUUGGGAAUAGCUGAGAUUGAAUGAAUAUGAUGAAAAAUGGUUUGAUUUGAAAAAAAAUUAUGCUGAAAACUGACACCCUUCCUAAAUUUUUGUGUUAAUUAUGUGAUCUAUAUGUGUGUGAGACAACUGAGAAUCUGAUAAUGGCAUUAGGAUUAGGGAUAGAACAACUAGUGAAAAUUUUGCAUAAGCAGAUAAGUAGUACCUAGCAGUAUAACCCUGUGCGAGUGUGUGUGAGGUAUUGCGAGUUCCCGAUGUAUCAGAAUCGAGAACUUGCCCGGUUGCUUUUACCUAGGCCUAGGAUAGUUGAGUAGGAGAUGAUCAUAGGCCAUUUUUGUUAUAAGUAAACUUAAGACUAAAUGCCCAACCAAAUAAAUGAAUCCCUUUGAUCAAAAUAUUUGAGCCUUAAUCGACCAAUUUUGUUGUUUACACAUAUUUCACCUGCCUAUUUUUACAAAGAACCUGUAUCAGUCUUGGUCCUCCUUGGACACUAUGCACCUCAACUCAGUCAAAUCACCUAAGUUGAGGGUGGCUAUUAUAGGGGUGAGUUGGAAAAACAAGUGUGAAGAAAGAAGUGUGCAAGAAAAAUGAAAAAGGACAGGUGCGGUAAAUAUAAGAGAAAACAAAAAAAAAGAAAAAUUUGUAAGAAAAUAAAACGAAAAAGAAAGUUAGAAAAGAAAACCGCAUCAGGAUCAUGAAAUCUGUGUUAAAAUAAAAAGGAAAACAUAAGGGCGAAAAUAAAAGAUAAAUUAAAAAAAUAAGUGGACCCCAAAAAAAUGUGUAGUGUCAAGGAGGUUUAGUCACUAAAUAAAAUCCCAAGAUGAUACCAUACCAACCCCUAACCUACGUUACAAGCCAAAUAUAGUCCUUUAGUGAUCCUACCUCGACUGUCCGAAAACUUAGAAAGAGAGCAUAUGGGAAAGGCUACGGCAUUCUGUAUACAUCGGUGAAACUUUCUUGUGAGCGAGAGCAUUGUUUGAUACAUCCCUGAAUAAUUUGAUUGAUCACAACCGAAAGUGAAUGGAAUUUCUUUUAUUGUGAAUGCACAUGGGUUAUGUUGUUAGGUUGCUAGACUGUUAGGUUAAUGUGGUUAAUGUCUAUGCCCUGUUGUCUAUUGAUAACGUAAUGCCAUCAUCAUAUUACUUUUUCUCAUUCUAUGUACCAAUUCGUAUACACAGUUCUUCUUUGAAAAGUCAAAAUUAGGAGGAGAAAUAAAAUUGUUGAAAACUAAAUUGGAAGUUCUCUGCCAUAGGUAUCUUAGGAUCUUCCCGUUUAAUCGUGUUGUUUGGUGAUAGUUUUUUGUUUUUGUUUUGCCUGAGGACAAGCAAACUUAUAAGUUGAGGGUGUCGAUGUGGCAUCGAAACACGACACAUUUGAUGCUUAAAAGAAUGAAAUUAUGCUUUAACUUAGGUUAUUUUAGUAGAUAUCAUAUACUUUUGUGGUUAUUGCAGGUAAAACAGGUCUAGCAUAGUGUUGGAAAGAAUCUGGAUAAAAAAGACCUGAAAAGACCAAGUUGCAGAAAGGUAUGAGUCUUCUCACGAGUCAUCAACAAUGAAUACAACUCGGAGGUUGACUCGUAAGAUCAACAGAAAUCAAGCACAAGAAGAAAAAACAAGUGUAGAGAAGAUACAACUGAGAAUAUGAGCCAUAUGAUGAGGGAACGUGUCGUAUAAUGAAGUCAUACACAGAGUAGAACCUAAAGAAGAAAUUCAGAGUCUAAGUGUCAGAAGAAUAUGAGUCGAAGCUUUAGUAUGACUCUUAUGAUCCAACUGUAAGCAUACCAGUGUUCAAAAGAAAAAAAUAAGGAGUCCUAGGUGUUUACGAGUGAAGGCCACGAGUCGUAUGAUCAUAGUACGACUCGUGAGCAGGAAUCAUAUUGUAAUUCCCCAAUAGUACACCCUGGGAUUCAUACGGUGCUUACGGCCCUGUGGGACCACAAGCUAACCCAUGAGCUGGUACCUGCUGUGAGCAUUAAGCAAAACUGAUAAACAACAUAUGUGGAAAUUAUCUGAAAAUGCUACAAGGUUUUAGUAUCUGAAACAAUACUGAAUCAUAGUUUUAAACGUCUGAAAACAUACUGGAAAUACUGAUAAAACAAUUGAUGAUAACAACAAAAAAUAGACCAAUUAUUUGUACUAGUCUGAAAGCCUCUAAACUAACUGACUGUGAAGCUGAUGGGACAAGCCCCCAACUAACUAAAUAAUUGAACUACUAAUAUAACUGAAUUUAAGAUAACUCAUCCUCGAAGGAUGAGGACUCACCCCUGCUUCUAUUGCUAAUGCACUAAAACAUCUAAGUACUAUCGGGAAUCCGAGCGUCUGGACCUAUGAUAUAAGACAUCAUAGUGCAAGAAACGAGUAUGCGAUCAGUACUUUGAAUAUACUGGUAUACUAAAUGAGGUCAGUCUAAUAUGCAUGGGUUCAUGUGCAUGUAAUGUGAAACUGAAAAUACUAAACAUACAAGACCAAGCAUAUAUCAUAUAUUUAAAAUAGUCUGAACUAUAGUACUAAUAUCUGUAACUGAAUAACUGAUAACUGUAAGUUUAGGCUAAAACUAAAGUACUGAAUUUCUAAUAACUAAUAACUGUAAGUCAUGAUCGUGUAGAAUUGAACUGAGUUCUGUACUGAAUACUAAAUACUGAAACUAUGGGAAAUAUCAUCUAACUGGCAUACCUCGAUUAUAGACUGAUUUGGGGUCCAACCUGUAACCCCAGUUUAAAGGGUGUUAGCACUGUGCCACGGGUUACUAACACUGGUUGUGAGUGACCCUAACUGGCAGGAAGAUAUUUUGUCAACCGUCACUGGCAAGAAAACUCAUACGAGAUAUAUCAACCCUUAUUUGGCAGGAAGAUAUCUUAACCUACGCUGGCUACAUAGUUCUGUAACUCAAAGAUUGCUACUAAGGGUCGCACCCUAACCUGGCGAGAAUGACCCCAUCCCUGGGUUCGCUUGGUGUUGAAUCCUACUCCAAACUAAACCAACACUGGAACUGUCACUAGACUGGGUUAAACUUGAUUGGAUUCACACUGAUCCUGUUAACUGACUGGAUGCUACUUCUCAUGAUACUACGGGGACCAUUCCAUAACAACUGGAACUAAGUAAACAGUUAAUUUUAGGUAUUCAAUACACCCAGGACUCAAUAGCAUAAUAAUGGAUCCAUAUCUCAACUUUAAAAGCAUCACACAUAGGUCACCAUGCAAAAUUCGUUCACUUACACAUUUUGUCAAACACUAAGGAAGCAUAACCUUGUACAUGGGAAUGAACAAUAUGUUAAUGCAUCAUGACUACAAAAAUCAAUUCACAAUUCAAGGGUUACACAUGAGAUCUACAUCAACCAACAUACCCACUGAUUUAUUUUACAUAAAACUCAUAUUUUCUUAACUUGAAACUCAAAUAAUAAUGCAUACAUGGACAUAAUUCAAUAUAAAUCAUGUGAAACUCAUAAAUUGAAUUUAAAAAAGAUUCUUGGACUCCAAGGGUGGAAGGGGCCCAAGUAUGAACAUCUAACAUACCUUGGUUUCUGAAUUUGUGAGAAUUGUUAGAGAAUUCUUGAGACUUGGACAUGACUUUGAUGAACCUAGGGUUUUGUUCUGGAGAGGUUUUGCGAAGAAUGAAUGUGUCUUGCCCUUUCCCAUGCUUAAUUUCAUGUUUUUGAUUGAUUUAACGUGAGGGAAAUGAGACAACUACCCCUUUGGACUUGGGAUAAUUGUACAAAAUGUGCCCAAUGACUCUGUAGACGAUGCAUUGCUCAAUGGUGUUGACACGAUUGACAACGCGACGCGUCGAUGGUGAUGACGUAAUGGCCAAUGCGACGCAUCCUGAUUGCGUUGGCUCACUAUUUUGGUCAUCCAAACAUGUCUCAAAUGAUGUCUAAAAAUUCCAAAACUCACCAGAUAUGACCAAUAAAUUAUUCUGAUCAUGAAUCAAUUUAAAAAUCAACAAUCUAAGGUCGAAAAGAUCAGAAAUAAGACCAUUGAAAUAUCGAGGCCAAAAAUAAGACUAAGUCUUAACACUUAGCUAAAUUUUCUAAGUAUUGGACCCUCAUGGCAUGUAAUAUAAGACUGAAAUGGCCUAGGAUUUUCACGGGGUCUUACAAUAUCACCCCUUUGGGAACAUUCGUCCUCGAAUGAGACUGAGUAAACUAAGAGGCACUGAGGUACAGAGAUUACAUGUUGAAUAUACAUGACUGAAGUGUGACUACAUGACUGAACCUGAAACAUGGUGACUGACUGAACUGACUCAUGAAUACAUGAAUGUUAUAAGAAGGAUAUGCAGCUAAAACUGAGUAUAGAGAAGAGAGAUUCUAAGGAAAAUUAUUACCUUAAGUUGAGAAUACCGAAGGAUUUGAGAUUAUUUACUGGACAUGCAUGCAUGGGAACAUGAGAUCCUAACUGAGUCUGAAACAUGAUACAUGAACUGAACUAAUUUCUUGACACAUGCAGUGACAUGAGAAUGGUUAUAAGGCUGAGAUGGGAAUGAGAUAAUCAACUUAUGAGUAACCAUUUCCUCCGAUUGGAUCUGGUUUCAUAAAGGAAAGAUGAGGGAUUUAGUACAUGAAAAAAAUUGGGGUUAUUAUAUCUCCCCCUUAGGAUAGUUCGUCCCUAGAAUAAUAAUGCCUUGGCUGAAAUACUAGGAAAACUAAGAUGAUGCACGAAACGCUUAUGAACUGAACCAUGACCGAAUAUCUGGAUUCUAAAAUUGAUGCCUGAUAUAUGAGCUGAGUUGAAUUCGUAGUUUACAUGGAUGGGAACAGAUUGCCCCUUAAAAUGGCCACACUCAAUUGGAGCAUUUAUUAAAUGCUCUUUCUAAGAAGUUCUAAUAACGUUAGAGAGCAACAUGUGUAAACUGAACUGCCACUACCUUACUCUAAAAUCUGGGGGAUAAUAAUACGCAUAAUAUAAAACUUGCUGCUAGUACUUUCUUCUGAGAUACAACUCUUAGCUUUCUGUGGUCCCAACAAUCCUCAUAUAACAACUUUAACACUAACUUAGAAUUUCCAACUCUUCUUUCUACUAGCUCAAUCUUUAAAUGUUCAAACUUAGAUUCUAACACUUAACAUGGAUAUCCCCAAAUAUUUAAUAACCACACUACAUUUAUCAUAGCCUACAAAUAUGACAUCCCUAACAUAUGUUUUGAAUCAACAAACUUAAAUUCUUGCAUACACUGCUUCAAGCCUACUGAUUCACCUUUCAUAUAACUAUUCCCAUGGACUAUAUAAUCUACUCAAAUUCAUAUAACACUAUCCUAACUCUCCUACUGCUGCUAAACUCCAGGUUUCAUGCUUCCAAUUCUAGACCAUAUGCUAUUAUAGGAUUUUGAGAAGGAAAUCUAAAAACACAUAUGUCUCCUAAGAACAGACGUACUACCCCUUCAUUUAAUGACUGGUUCAUCGGGACACUGAAAAAAUAAACAACCCUGUUUCUAUAAUCAACUGAAGCAUAGCAUGAAUGGAGUCAAUCCAUGCCAAUAAUGACAUCAAAAUCUGUCAUCUCUAACUCUAUAAGGUCUAUUAAAAUAACUUUCUGAGACACCGUAACCGGGCAGUUCCUGUAUACCCGUUGGGCUAUGAUAGAUUUACCCACUGGGUAGAUACUGAGAAUAGAUCUAUUAAGGUUUCGAGACUAACUCCAAAGUAGACAGCUAUGUAAGGGUUUACAAAAGAAAGAGAAACUCUAGGAUCUAGUAAAACAUACACAAAAUAGAGAAGGCCUGAAGCGUACUAAUAACCGCAUCAGGAGAAAUUUCCUGAUCUUAUUAGGACUGGAAUGCAUAAAGUCUAUUCUGACGUUGACCACUGGUAGCAUUGUAAGUGGCGCCCUGCUGAGUCGGGCGACCGGAUAAAACUAGAGGAUGACUGUGCUGACUCCGCAGACCAGCCUUAGGACAUUCUCUGACUCUGUGUCCUGACUCGCCACAUCCAAAACACACAUCACUGCCCGCUCUACAUACACCCUUAUGAUUUCUACCACACUCUCCACAAAGUGGAUGGGUACGAUCACUGAUCAAACUACCCUGGGUUUUAGAGCCUGGUGCCCCAUCCCGAUAAUUACGCCUAAACUUUGGUAAUGACAUAAUAGUUGAGGUCGAAACUAGGGCUGAACACUUCUGUCUGAACUGAGAACGGGUACCACUCUGACUGAGAAAGAUUAAAACUACCUAUCUUAGACCUCUUACUCUCUCUUUCUUUCUCUUUAACCUUCUUCUCCUCAAUUUGCUGACCAUGGACCAUAAGUCUGGACAAGUUCAUUUCCUUAGUCAACAUUGCAUUCCUACACUCCUUGACCACACUAUCAGAUACUCCAGACAUGAACUUGCUCAUCUUAGACCAGUUAUCUGCCAUCACAUAAGGAGCAUACCUAGCUAUCUGAGUAAACUUAAGGAAAUACUCCUUCACACUCAUGUUACCCUACUUCAAGUUAAUAAACUCUAACACCUUAGCUUCCCUCCGCUCCAGAGGGAAGAAUCUAUCUAAGAAGGUUGUAGCAAACUUUUCUCAUUCUAUAGGCCCUGCAUCGCCUCUAUUCCCUUUCCACUACUUAAACCAGGUGUGAGCUACAUCCUGCAACUGGUAAGUAGCCAACUCUGCACUCUCACUAGGCGUGAAACCCAUGAUAUCAGUAACCUUCUGAACCAUAUCAAAAAAAUCCUACAGUUCCUCAUCAGACUUGGAUCUAGAAAAUAAAAGAGGGUUCAUUCCGGUGAAAUCCCGAAUCCUAGCUACAGCAGUAUUAGCCACCGGAUUGGCUGGGAUAGAAGCCUUUUGAUUGUUCUGAGCUACUACUGAGUGAUCUAAGAUAGUGAAGGCAGCUCUGAACUCAGCGUGAGAGACAUGCUCAUCCAGGUGAUCUUCCUAAAUGGGCGGAGGUGUGGUCUAAUUCUUAUUUCUUCUUCUGCUAGUCUUUUUAGGAGGCAAAUUCUAUAAACGGAAGGAAGAUUGGAAUUAGACAGAGAGUUUAACUUGAGAACAUGCUCAUUUUCAUGAUAUGAACACUGAAAGAAGGGAAACUUUUCUUAAAACAUCUUGUAGCCUCUUGUCUAUAAGUAUGGUGCGCUUCACACCCAUGCACAAGACUCUACUCGAUAUGGCUUUCAGACUCCAUAGGACACUUUAAAACUUUAGGCUCUGAUACCAAUUUUGUAACACCUUGAGAGUACACCCUGGGCGUCACAUGGUGCUUACGGCCUCGUGGGAUCACAAGCUAACCCAUGAGCAGAUACCUACUAUGAGCACAUAAUAAAACUGAUAAACAACAUAUGCAGAAAUUAUCUAAAAAUUUCAUAAGGUUUUAGUAUCUAAAAAUAAUACUGAAUCAUAGUUUUAAACAUCUAAAAAUGUACUGCCAAUACAAAUAAAAAAACUAAUGAUAACAACUGAAAACUGACCAACUAUCUGUACAAGUCUGAAAGCCUCUAAAUUGACUGACUAUGGAGUUGAUGGGACAAACCCUCAAAUAACUCUAACCGACUAAAUAACUGAACUACUGACAUAAUUGAAUAUAAGAUAACUUAUCCUCAAAGGAUGAGGACUCACCCCUAAUGCUACUGUUGAUACACUAAAAUAUCUAAGUACGGUCAAAAAUCCGAGCGUCUGGACCUAUGAUAUAAGACAUCAUAGCGUAAGAAAAAAGUAUGCAAUCAGUACUUUGAAUGUACUAGUAUGCUAAAUGAGGUCAGGCUAAUAUGCAUGGGUUCAUGUGUAUGUAAUAAUAACUGGCUGAAUAAAAUAAGGUAACUGUAUGAGAGUACAUGCAAAUCUAAAAAUACUGAACAUGCAAUACCAAGCGUAUAUUGUAUAUCUGAAAUAGUCUGAAACUAUGGUAAUGAGAUCUGUAACUUAAUAACUGAUAACUGUAAGUUUAGACUAAAAUUAAAGUACUUAAUUUUAGAUAAUUGAAUAACUGAUAACUGUAAGUCAUGAUCGUGUAGAACUAAAUUGAGUUCUGUACUAAAUAUUGAAUACUGAAACUGUGGGAGUUAUCAUCUAACUGACAUACCCCAAUCAUAGACUGAUUUGGGGUCCAACCUGUAACCCCAAUUAAAAGGAUGUUAGCAUCGUGCCAUGGGUUACUAACACUGGUUGUGAGUCACCCUAACUGGUAGGAAGAUAUUUUGUUAACCCUCACUAGAAAGAAAACUCAUACGAGAUAUGUCAAUCUUUAUCUAGCAGGAAGUUAUCUCAACCUACACUGGCUACAUAGUUCUGUAACUCAGGGAUUGAAAAAAAACCUCACCUGGCAGGAUUGCCCUCGUCCCUGGGUUUGCUAUGUACUGAAUCCUACUCCCACUUGAACCGACACUGGAAUUGAUCACUAGACUAGGAUAAGCUUGAUUGGAUUCACACUGAUUCUGUUAACUGACUGGAUGCUACUUCUCGUGAUACGAUGAGGACCAUUCCAUAAUGACUUGAACUAAGUAAAUAGCUAAUUUUGAGUAUUAAAUACCUCCAAGACUCAAUAUAAUAGAUAAUGGAACCAUAUGUCAACUUUAAAGCAUCACACAUAGGUCACCAUGAAAAUACUUUCACUUAGACAUUUUUUCAAACACUUAGAAGAAAUAACCUUGUACAUGGGAAUGAACAACAUGUUAAUGCAUCAUAACUACAAAAAUCAAUUCACAAUUCAAAGGUUUGACCUAAAAUUUACAUCAACCAACACACCUAUUGAUAUAUUUUACAUGAAACUCAUAUUUUCUUAACUUGAAACUCAAAUAACAACACAUGCAUGGACAUAAUUCAAUAUAAAUCAUGUGAAACUCAUAACUUGAAUUUAAAAGAGGUUCUUGGACUCCAAGGGUGGAAGGGACCAAUGAUGAACAUCUAACAUACCUUGGUUUCUGAAUUUAUGAGGAUUGUUGGUGAAUUCUUGAGACUUAGACUUGACUUUGAUGAACCUAGGGUUUUGUUCUUAAGAGGUUUUGUGGAGAAUGAAUGUGUUUUGCCCUUUUCCAUACUUAAUUUCAUGGUUUUGACUGAUUUAACGUGGGGGAAAUGACCCAACUACCCCUCUGGACUCGGGAUUAAUUGCACAAAACAUACCAAGCGAUACUACAAAUGACGCAUCACAUCGAUAGUAUCAACGUAAUUGAUAACAUAUCGCGUCGAUGGUGACGAUGCAAUGGCCAACGUGAUGUAUCCUGAUCGCGUUGGCUCACCGUUUUGGUCAUCCAAACAUAUCUCAAACGAUGUCCAAACAUUUCAAAACUCACCCGAGAUGACCUAUAUUUAACCCUGAUCAUGAAUCAAUUUAAAAAUUGAUAAUCUAAGGUCGAGAAGAUCAGAAAUAAGACCAUUGAAAUAUCGAGGCAAAAAAUGAGACUAAGUCUUAACACUUAGCUAAAUUUUCUAAGUAUUGAACCCUCAUGGCAGGUAAUAUAAGACUAAAAUGGACUAGGAUUUUCACGGGGUCUUUCACAUAUACAGAAUAGAAAGGUGAAGCCUAGAAAGAUCAAACACUGGAGUGGAUACAAGAGGCACAGUACGACUCGUAUGAUGUCAUUACAAGUGAGUGAGCGAGUCGUACAUUGUGCCGACAUUACUUUACCUUUUCCAUUUUUAUUAGGAUUUCUAAGUAUUUUUAAGGUACUAUAAAUACCUUAGGGUUUAUAUUUUAUUGGGUUACGUACUUCAAUAUACUGUUACAUACUGUUUACAUUAUUCUUGAGAUUUUUGGUUUUUAUUUAAUUGAAGUCUUGGGAUUUUAUUCAUAUUAUUCGUGUGCAAUUAAUUCCAUGUAUUCUUCAUUGAUAAUCAUGGUUUCUUACAUGAACAUGAGCGACUAAUCUCCCUGACUAGGGUUAUGGGAAUCCUGGAAGAUUAGCUACGUAAAGGAAGUGGUAGAUUUAUCUAUUUUAGGAUUUAUGUAUAUAUCUUAAUCUUCUUCACAAUAAUUGACCUCAGAGCUACUACAGAAGCUUGGGGAUAGCCUUAAUUUGCAUAUGUGCUCACAAGGGAGUUUGUGAUUGGAAAAAGAGGAUUAAGACAGUAAUUUGAGAUUCACUUCCGUCAUCUCAUCUAAUUACUUAAGACUCAAAAGGUGAAAGUGAACUGAAGUCGUAAAAAGGGAGCAAGAAGGCGACGCCCUGACACUCACAAGGUAAAAGGUGAGAUUUAUUAAUACAUUCACAAGACGGUUGAUAAUACAUAUCUUGUUGACUUUACAUAUAGAGUAGUAGAAUAGGAGGAUUGAACACGAGAAAAUUUACAGAGUUGAGAAGUCAGGGGUAACAUAAGCCUAGUGUUUGUCUUCUAUUGUUUACAACUCAAAAGCAUUCAAUAUUUGGUUACUAGUCACCGAUAAUUCCAAAUUACCCCCCCCCAUUUACUUUCUAUACUACUUGUGAAUUACAUCAAGUUAAGCAACUGUUCAAUGUUUUCCUUGUGGGUUCGACUCUAACCUAGUUGGGUUACUAUAUUUGGCAUCAACCGCAGCAUACUUUUUUUGGAGGUUAGUUUUGGGUGACAUCAAUGUCGAAUUUGUUAUUUUCCUUAAUUUGUUCUUACAUUUGUAUUUUAAAACAUUCAUUGAUUAUUUCAUCUUUAAUUAUCUCCACCCCACUAUUCAAAUUUUUAUAAGUUUGAAAUUUUAAACUACAUCUAACCUGAUUCUUGUUCUAAGAAGAUACGUAGGCAAUCCUUCAUAAGGAUGUGGUCUUUCUUUUCCCUUUUUCUUACAAAAUUUCCUAAUAUAUGAAAAUAUGAAACAAUCUUUAUCAAUCAAAUAGUUUUUCUAUUAAGUCAUAUUCUCCAUUUCUUUCACCUUUCCAUAAUGUCAUAGGAGUGAAAAUUAGAGGUUCCUUUGAUUAUUCAAAUGACGUUUCACAAUCUUUCAAAUUCUCAAAUGUUUCAAACUAUAUACUUCAAAAUUUUCAAAACUUUUCAAAUCUUCAAUUCUCCCAUUUAUCCAAAAUAAAUUUUUUAAACAUUUUUUAUGCAUCUUUUAAACAGCUUAUCAUUAUUUACUUGUUCUCUCCAUCAACUUCAAGUAUGAACUUAGUACCUUUUGUUGAUAGCCUAUCUUCUAUCUCUUGAUAUCAAUUCGCUUCUCAUGAUUAAGUUCUAACCCACCCAUUUAUCCUAAAGUCCUCUUCGACAAGGUGACUCAUAUUGUCAUAAUAUAUUUGUAUUGGGUGCACUAACUCUUGUUUUGUUCAAUUUACUAUUUUUUAAGGUUGUCUAGUAUUUGAACAUCGACUCAAUUAAAGAUCUACAAUAUAACAAAUAUGCUCAAUAGCUAGAAAGAUUCCAUCCUUCUUUCUUCUCAUCAAGUGCAAAACAUUAUUUAGAUUGUACCUCCCCAUCCUUGCCUUACUCAAGCACCUGCUUAACAAUUACCCUCAGCACGUACCAAUCUUAAAAGUGAGAGAGUUGAUUAAGAUGAACGUCAGCAAAAGCUUCGUAACUUAGAGAAAAGGUUGGAAGAGAAACUGCGUUCUAAAGGUAUUCAUGACUUGAGGUAUGAGAAAUUAUGUCUACAUCCAGAAGUUGAUUUACCUCUAGGAUACAAAGUUCCAAAGUUCAAUAUGUUUGAUGGACGUGAAGAUCCAAUCACACAUCUAAAAGGACUAUUGUGGAAUACUAAUUGGUAUAGGACAUAAAGAGGCUCUUCUAAUAAGAUUGUUUAUUCAAAGUUUAUCUGAAAUGGCGCUCACCUAGUUCGCCUAACAAGAUUUUGAUAAAUGGAACACUUGGGAAGUCAUGGCUCAAGAUUUUGUGAGGCAAUAUAAGUUUAACAUCAAUGUUAGUCCAACAAUGUGGGAUUUCUUUGGGGUAAAGAGAAUAACCCAUGAAUAUUUUGAGGAAUAUGCAAUAAGAUGGAGGUUAGAAGCUUCCAAGAUAGUCAUUCUUUACCUGAAAAGGAGUUGGUCCAAAUCUUCAUCAGUUCACUAAAUGGAUUAUACUUCAAAAAUAUAUUCUUCCUAGACAUCCACAAUUUUGAGAGUCUAAUUUCGAUUGGGAAAGAGGUAGAAUAUGGCAUUCCCAUCAGUUCAGUUAGAAUAUGGCAUUCGAACUAGGAGAAUCAUUGAUGUUUCUACAAUGGCAACCACUUUUUAGACACCAAAGAGUCCAUUCGAAGAAAGCGAGGAGGAUUCAUCACCCACCAUACCCCAGACACAAGGCUAUUAGAAUAAUGAAGAGUCUCAUGUUGUUUUUGGUUCUCGCGAUGUGCAUAUUAAACCUUAUGAUUCACAAGAUUCUCAAAGUAAAGCCUACCAGAUUCAACCCUACGUUUUCCAAUGAGGUUCCCAAAAUGAUAUUUUUCAUACAUAACCCAGCUUUCAACAUAGACCUUGCUCAGAACAAAGUGUUCUUCACCAACCGAAGAGAAUGAGGCCUCGUACCUUUACUCUUUUGACUUUGUGCUUGGCGAACAUAUUUGAAAGAUUGAGGGCCCAAGGUAUUUUACAACCAAGGCAGGGAUAGAUUCAUGUACAUCCACCUCUUAACUUUGAUCCAACUAAAAAUUGUGCUUAUCACUCAAAUAUUCAAGGUCAUGAUAUUUAGAAUGGUCGGCACUAAGGUACAAGAUCCAUAAUCUGCUAAAAUAAAAAGGAUAAAAAUGUAACGAGGCCCAAUAAGCAACACCUAUGAUCUUGUCACUAUGAGUGAAGUAUUUAUCCAAGAUGAUCCAACAAAAAUAUUUCCAAGACGUUCGUGAAAGAAGAGAAAAACACCUCACAUGAACUCAUGAGGAUAGACCCUCAUCCUCACAAGUAAAAUUUCAUCAUUUUCUCUUUAUCCGCUUUAUGGCUAAUAAUAUUUUCUUAUUUUAUCUACCUUUCUUUAUUAAUCAUGAACUACGUUUGACCUGACUUUUAUUUGGAUACAUAGGUAGCCCAUUUUAGGUUCGAUCUUAAUCUAAUAAAAUUGUUCUUUCCCCUCUUUAUCCAAUUUAAAAAAUCUUCUCAAAUUUUUACACCUCCAAAGUAUCAAACUAACAGGCCGAACUCUUAAGCAUAUAAAGGCAGACUCAAAUUGAGAUGACGAUGUUCAAAUGUAGGACAACCAUUUCUCUUAACUAAUGUUUUCUUUGAGUGGCUCAGGAAUGUAAGACUCCAAAAGUAAAUGGGGCAAAAAUUUUGAGAUUUUGAGAGAACCUCAAAAAUUCUACAAAGAAGCAGUACAUAAAUUUACAAGGACAUGGAAAAUAUGUCUUUUAUCCUAAACUGGGGAAGAAAUUUGUGAGGAUUCCUCAAAAAUUUCACCAUGAUGGAGUGCAACUACAACAGUACAUGAAAUAAAAACAAUGGCAAGGAUUCAAAUCGAGCAAUGCAAGAAUUAACAUUACUUUUUGAUUCCUCCACUAACGGCUCUCUCUCUCUCUCUCCCUCCCCUCUCUCUCUCUCUCUCUCAUCCCGGUCCCGACCCGACCCGACCUCCGGCCCUGACCUCCGGUCCCCGGCGCCGCUCCCCGCUGCUCGCUCGGUCUCCAGCCGCUGAUUCGGUCUCCAACAUCCGAAGAUCGAUCUCCAGCCGCAGCUCCGCCUGCACCCGCCGCUCGGUCGCCAGCAGUCGCAGCACCCAAACGACGACCAGUUCCCUCGGUCUCCAGCUACCGCAACUCCAUCUCAGCACCGGAAUCCCCCGAAACCCGAUCAACACUGGGCUUUGGUUUUCGGCUUGGUUUACAAGCGUAACCCGGUGACUUCUAACCUUUGUUAUUUCAUUCUUCGUAUUAUGCUAGUAGUAGCCCCUGUACCUUGACUUGCGUUGGAUUUGUUGAUAUUGUCUGUUGUCUGUUGUUGCUGUUGCUGUGGUCGUUUCUUGCACUGCUUUGGAUUGGGUUAUCGGCUUGGGAAUCUGUUUUGGGGGCUGUGGGUGUUGAGUCCAGUGGUGUUUGCUCUCUAGUUGAGUUUAGUUUUGUUCCUGGAUUAUUCCUUUGAAUUUGUGUGAGCCUUGUAUUUCUUGCUGCUGCUUUGCUACUACCAUCAUUUAUAUCAUUAUAUUUUCUUAUACUUUUGUGUAGUGGCUGUGGGUGGUAAUGGUUGGAUAGGGUCAUGUCAGAGGGGGUUGGGGCGUGGGGCCGUGGUGGGGGCGAGGGAUAAGAAAAGGGCGGGAGUGGAAGGGAGGCCAAGGUUUGGCCAUGGGAGGGGUAGUGGAGGGCGUGUGGAUUGUGAUGGUAGACUGAGGGUUGGAUCUUGGAAUAUAGGAACCCUUCAGGGUAAGUCCAUAGAGCUUGUGAAGAUUCUUAGGAAGAGGAGGAUCAAUAUUGCGUGUGUUCAAGAGACCAAGUGGGUAGGGUCUAAGGCGAGGGAGGUGGAUGGUUACAAGCUGUGGUACUCUGGGAGCGAGAGGCAUAGGAAUGGAGUUGGCAUCUUAGUAGAUGAAGAGCUUAGAGGUCAGGUAGUAGAGGUGAAGAGGAUCAAUGAUAGGUUGAUGACUAUUAAGUUGGUCAUUCGGGGGUUUACCCUGAACGUGUGUAGUGCCUAUGCACCGCAAGUGGGAUCGGAGGGGNNNNNNNNNNNNNNNNNNNNNNNNNNNNNNNNNNNNNNNNNNNNNNNNNNNNNNNNNNNNNNNNNNNNNNNNNNNNNNNNNNNNNNNNNNNNNNNNNNNNNNNNNNNNNNNNNNNNNNNNNNNNNNNNNNNNNNNNNNNNNNNNNNNNNNNNNNNNNNNNNNNNNNNNNNNNNNNNNNNNNNNNNNNNNNNNNNNNNNNNNNNNNNNNNNNNNNNNNNNNNNNNNNNNNNNNNNNNNNNNNNNNNNNNNNNNNNNNNNNNNNNNNNNNNNNNNNNNNNNNNNNNNNNNNNNNNNNNNNNNNNNNNNNNNNNNNNNNNNNNNNNNNNNNNNNNNNNNNNNNNNNNNNNNNNNNNNNNNNNNNNNNNNNNNNNNNNNNNNNNNNNNNNNNNNNNNNNNNNNNNNNNNNNNNNNNNNNNNNNNNNNNNNNNNNNNNNNNNNNNNNNNNNNNNNNNNNNNNNNNNNNNNNNNNNNNNNNNNNNNNNNNNNNNNNNNNNNNNNNNNNNNNNNNNNNNNNNNNNNNNNNNNNNNNNNNNNNNNNNNNNNNNNNNNNNNNNNNNNNNNNNNNNNNNNNNNNNNNNNNNNNNNNNNNNNNNNNNNNNNNNNNNNNNNNNNNNNNNNNNNNNNNNNNNNNNNNNNNNNNNNNNNNNNNNNNNNNNNNNNNNNNNNNNNNNNNNNNNNNNNNNNNNNNNNNNNNNNNNNNNNNNNNNNNNNNNNNNNNNNNNNNNNNNNNNNNNNNNNNNNNNNNNNNNNNNNNNNNNNNNNNNNNNNNNNNNNNNNNNNNNNNNNNNNNNNNNNNNNNNNNNNNNNNNNNNNNNNNNNNNNNNNNNNNNNNNNNNNNNNNNNNNNNNNNNNNNNNNNNNNNNNNNNNNNNNNNNNNNNNNNNNNNNNNNNNNNNNNNNNNNNNNNNNNNNNNNNNNNNNNNNNNNNNNNNNNNNNNNNNNNNNNNNNNNNNNNNNNNNNNNNNNNNNNNNNNNNNNNNNNNNNNNNNNNNNNNNNNNNNNNNNNNNNNNNNNNNNNNNNNNNNNNNNNNNNNNNNNNNNNNNNNNNNNNNNNNNNNNNNNNNNNNNNNNNNNNNNNNNNNNNNNNNNNNNNNNNNNNNNNNNNNNNNNNNNNNNNNNNNNNNNNNNNNNNNNNNNNNNNNNNNNNNNNNNNNNNNNNNNNNNNNNNNNNNNNNNNNNNNNNNNNNNNNNNNNNNNNNNNNNNNNNNNNNNNNNNNNNNNNNNNNNNNNNNNNNNNNNNNNNNNNNNNNNNNNNNNNNNNNNNNNNNNNNNNNNNNNNNNNNNNNNNNNNNNNNNNNNNNNNNNNNNNNNNNNNNNNNNNNNNNNNNNNNNNNNNNNNNNNNNNNNNNNNNNNNNNNNNNNNNNNNNNNNNNNNNNNNNNNNNNNNNNNNNNNNNNNNNNNNNNNNNNNNNNNNNNNNNNNNNNNNNNNNNNNNNNNNNNNNNNNNNNNNNNNNNNNNNNNNNNNNNNNNNNNNNNNNNNNNNNNNNNNNNNNNNNNNNNNNNNNNNNNNNNNNNNNNNNNNNNNNNNNNNNNNNNNNNNNNNNNNNNNNNNNNNNNNNNNNNNNNNNNNNNNNNNNNNNNNNNNNNNNNNNNNNNNNNNNNNNNNNNNNNNNNNNNNNNNNNNNNNNNNNNNNNNNNNNNNNNNNNNNNNNNNNNNNNNNNNNNNNNNNNNNNNNNNNNNNNNNNNNNNNNNNNNNNNNNNNNNNNNNNNNNNNNNNNNNNNNNNNNNNNNNNNNNNNNNNNNNNNNNNNNNNNNNNNNNNNNNNNNNNNNNNNNNNNNNNNNNNNNNNNNNNNNNNNNNNNNNNNNNNNNNNNNNNNNNNNNNNNNNNNNNNNNNNNNNNNNNNNNNNNNNNNNNNNNNNNNNNNNNNNNNNNNNNNNNNNNNNNNNNNNNNNNNNNNNNNNNNNNNNNNNNNNNNNNNNNNNNNNNNNNNNNNNNNNNNNNNNNNNNNNNNNNNNNNNNNNNNNNNNNNNNNNNNNNNNNNNNNNNNNNNNNNNNNNNNNNNNNNNNNNNNNNNNNNNNNNNNNNNNNNNNNNNNNNNNNNNNNNNNNNNNNNNNNNNNNNNNNNNNNNNNNNNNNNNNNNNNNNNNNNNNNNNNNNNNNNNNNNNNNNNNNNNNNNNNNNNNNNNNNNNNNNNNNNNNNNNNNNNNNNNNNNNNNNNNNNNNNNNNNNNNNNNNNNNNNNNNNNNNNNNNNNNNNNNNNNNNNNNNNNNNNNNNNNNNNNNNNNNNNNNNNNNNNNNNNNNNNNNNNNNNNNNNNNNNNNNNNNNNNNNNNNNNNNNNNNNNNNNNNNNNNNNNNNNNNNNNNNNNNNNNNNNNNNNNNNNNNNNNNNNNNNNNNNNNNNNNNNNNNNNNNNNNNNNNNNNNNNNNNNNNNNNNNNNNNNNNNNNNNNNNNNNNNNNNNNNNNNNNNNNNNNNNNNNNNNNNNNNNNNNNNNNNNNNNNNNNNNNNNNNNNNNNNNNNNNNNNNNNNNNNNNNNNNNNNNNNNNNNNNNNNNNNNNNNNNNNNNNNNNNNNNNNNNNNNNNNNNNNNNNNNNNNNNNNNNNNNNNNNNNNNNNNNNNNNNNNNNNNNNNNNNNNNNNNNNNNNNNNNNNNNNNNNNNNNNNNNNNNNNNNNNNNNNNNNNNNNNNNNNNNNNNNNNNNNNNNNNNNNNNNNNNNNNNNNNNNNNNNNNNNNNNNNNNNNNNNNNNNNNNNNNNNNNNNNNNNNNNNNNNNNNNNNNNNNNNNNNNNNNNNNNNNNNNNNNNNNNNNNNNNNNNNNNNNNNNNNNNNNNNNNNNNNNNNNNNNNNNNNNNNNNNNNNNNNNNNNNNNNNNNNNNNNNNNNNNNNNNNNNNNNNNNNNNNCCCCCCAGACCCCACUAGGCGGGAAUACACUGGGUUUGUUGUUGUUGUUGUUGUAGAGAACAAGUACCAAAUGCAACAACCUUACGAUUUUAUCAAAGAAGCCCAAACUACAUCUCUAAUAGGGGAAAUAAGUUAAGUUAUUCUAUCUUUUAACUCUGGCUACAUUAAAAUUGACCUUACAUUGUGUUAACAACAUUGGGUUUCAUUUAUAGCCCUAAAAAAUAACAUUGAAUUUCUUGUAGAACCUUAAAAACAAUAUUGGAUUCCUUGUAGAACCUUAAAAACAACAUUGGGUUCCUUGUAGAAUCUUAAAAAAACUUGAGUUCCUUGUAGAACCUUAAUACAACGUUGGGUUCCUUGUAGAACCUUAAAAACAAUAUUGGGUACCUUGUAAAACUCUAAAAAUGACAUUGGAUUCCUUGUAAAACCCUAAUAACAACAUUGAGUUCCUUGUAAAACCCUAAAAAUUAUAUCAGGUUCCUUGUAGAACCCUAAAAACAAUAUUGGGUUCCUUGCAUAACCCUAAAAAAUAACAUUAGGUUCCUUGUAGAAUCCUAAAAAAACAACAUUGGGUUCCUUGUAGAACCCUAAAAUCAACAUUCGGUUCCUUGCAAAAUCCUAAUAAUGACAUUGGGUUCCUCGUAGAACCGCAAAACCCUAAUAAUGACAUUGGGUUCCUCGUAGAACCCUACAAACAACAUUGGAUUCCUUGUAAAAUCCUAAAAACGAUAUUGGGUUCCUUGUAGAACCCUAAAAAUAACAUUGGGUUCCUCUUAGAACUCUAAAAACAACAAUGUGUUCCUUGUAGAACUCUAAAAACAACAUUGGGUUCUUGGUAGAACCCUAGAAACAACAUUGGGUUCCUUGUAGAACCCUAAAAACAACAUUGGGUUCCUUGUAGAACCCUAAAAAUAAAAUUGGGUUUCUUGUAAAAUUCUAAAAAAAACAUUGGGUUCCUUGUAGAACCUUAAAAACAACAAUGGGUUUCUAUAGAACCGUAAAACAACAUUGGGUUCCUUGUAGAACCGAAACACCAUAUUGGGUUUCUUGUAGAACCUUAAAAAUAACAUUAGGUUCGUUGUAGAAUCUUAACAUGAUCUUAGAUUGCUUGUCAAGCCUUAUUAAAUAUCUCUCCUGCUUUCGAAACAUAAUUCUUUCCCCUUUGUUUUUAAUGUCCUAAAUCGUAUUCACAUUUCAAAACAACUCUAAUCUUGUCUAUAUAUGCUAUCAUUAUUCAUCUUACAUUCGCCAAUUUUCCUUUAGGAAUCUCAUUCGUUCAUAAAUCUAGAACUACACACGGCCUGAUUAAUGUAAAAUCGGAGAUAUAUAGGCGACAUAAAAUCGAAGGAGCGACCACCCUAUUUUAAAACUACCCUCCCCCCGUUGCUUUCGUUCCAACAAACUCUCUUAUCGGGCAAAAAAAAUUAGCUACUAUAUCAAUUUUCGUUGCUCAACAAUUCCUCUAUCAUUCUCAAGCAACGAAGGGGCAGCUAUUAACACCCAAUUUUGACCUCUUGAUACCCCUCUUAGGUUGUUAUUUCAUCAAAAUUAUUAAUUUAAAAUAUUAUUUUUUACACAUUUAUUGUUGUAUCAAAUAAAUCUUGGCAUAUCACGUUCAUAAUUUAGAAAUAUACAAAUUAUUUUUAUUAUUAUUUUAUAAUUUAUUAACUUAAAUAUAACAUUUUUAUAUAAAAUUUAUUAAUAUUUAUUGAGAUAAUUUAAUUUUCACAAACACCUUAUUUUAUUACUAGUUUUUUAUUUUUGNNNNNNNNNNNNNNNNNNNNNNNNNNNNNNNNNNNNNNNNNUGUUUAUUAUUAUUAUUAUUAUUAUUAUUAUUAUUAUUAUUAUUAUUAUUAUUAUUAUUAUUAUUAUUAUUAUGUCAACCAACUUUAUUCAAUUUUUCUAUGUAUUUAAUUUUUAACCUUUUUUAUAUACUCAAUUAAUGUCAAUUUUAGUAAAAAAUGAUAUUCCCUCCGUCCCAUUUUAUCCGUCUCAAAUUUUUUAAUUUAAUGUCCUACUUUAGUUAUUCUUUUCUACUUAUCAAGAAAAGACAAAAAAAAAAUUCCAUUAUACCCUUAGUGUAACUGAUUACUCCUUGUUAUUAGUCAUUCAUCAAUAUUGAAACUAAUAACAAGACACAAUUAAGAAGGAUAAAAUAGUAAAAUUAUAUUACUAAUUAUUAUUUUCUUAAUAGGUAUGUCAUCCCAAUUUAAAACGGGUAAAAUGGAACGGAGGAGUAUCAAUUAUAAAUUUCAAAUUAAGGUGCAAUUUUCGAUCCAUUCUUAAAUCUUUUAAAUCUCAACCGUGAAUCAAAAUUGAUCCAAUGACUAAAUUAAAUCUCAACCGUGAAUUAAAAUUGAUCCAACGACAAAGAUGACAUCACUCAUUCAUUUCUUUAACAAAAAAUCAAACACUAAUUCCGACUUCAGCAAAAACAGUCGCCUUCUCUCCUUUCUCUCUCUCUCAACCUCUCCCAUCGCUGCUGCACUAUCGGCGAACCCAUCGUCGGUAAAUCUGCCAUCGCCGCUGCCCAUCCAUCAGUGACGCCGCCGUCAGUAGAUCACUGUGCUCGAUGAUCCAACCGCCUCUCUCCCCUCUUAAAACUUUUCUCCGGCAAACCCUGUUGCAUCACCGCUGCAUAAUAGACAUGCAACCGGCUGGCGCACACCGCACCAUCGCCUAGAACAAGCCACCGAUAAUAGCCAAAUGUUGGACUUCAUCGGUGAAAGCCAGCCACCAAAUGUCGUUCAACCGGCGAAGUCGUCGCUGCCCAGCCGACAAACGCCCCUCUCCUCUUCACUCCAGCUGACGUAACGACCAGUGCCGCUGCCACCGUUCCUCCAGCCUCCAAAACCCUCAACACCACCGCUGUCUCUGACCCAUUUUCGCCGAAAAUUAAUGGGUUCUCAAAAACCCAUCCACAGGUUUGAUUAUGUUUUGCAUUUUUAUGCCUAAUGUCAUUUCUUUGAGAGUUUAGAUUUCAAAUUAACGAAACAUGAUUGAGAGUUUUUUAUUUGAUUCUUUUUCAUUUGUGGUUGUUUAUUAACUUAGACGAUCGUAUGCUAAAAGCCCAAAUUUCUACCAAUUGGGGCUAAUCCUAAUUUUAUGAACGAAGAUUCACUUGUGAAAAGUCUGAGAUUUGUAUGUAGUUUAUUUGUGGACAAAUGAGUUGAUUUUGUGACAAAUAUAUGGUGAAUUUGGGUAAUUUGAUUCAUUGAUAAUUUGGGAGGAUAUUCGCUCCAAUCGUUUUGACAGAUUUGUGUGAUUUUCUGCGUAGUAAAAUUGGGGAACAUCGGAUUUGAUGUUUUGUCUUUAUUGAGUUGUGACACACGUAACAAUUUAAUUUUGUGACAUUUUACCAUGAGUUCGAUUUCCUUUUAAUUGACUUGAUAUGUUUUCCUUCUGUCAUUAAAUGUGAUUCCAUUGUAUAGUGUCCUUGUUUUGUUAAUUUAAAAAGAAAGAUUUUCGGUUACUGUUUUUUUUAUGGAAAUUCAGAUUUCAACUUAUUUUAGUUUCUUAUUUAUGGUAAUCAUGGCUUGAUUGAUGCAGUAAUUGACUUACCCCUUUCAUUUAAGGAAAAUCUCCUCAUUAAUUGAUUUGUCAAAGUUUUUAUUUAGUGACCCCUUUUACAAUAUAAACCCCUUCUCUUCCUUUUAACAGGGACCUUUUUCAUCCAUCUUUUCAUCGACUAUUACGGCUCACAUAAAACUUCUAGCUAUUCUAUAUACAAAAAUAAUUUACUUCUCCAGCUUUUUGACACUUUCGGAUUUCGAAGAACUAUUUGAUUUUGUCAUUGCUUCAACUGCUUUGUUUAAAGUUUUAUUAUUAUUGCUUUGCGGCCUAUCUGGUUAGAGUCUCUAAUCAAUGUACUUCUUUUUCUUAUGUGCGAGAUAGUGAAGCAUAGGAAGCAUGCCAUAGGAGCUAAUUCAAAACAAUUACUCACUGCUUGCUUGCUAUUCUUUGUUUCAUUGCUUCCAUGUUUGAGAUCGUGUGUUGGUGUAUCCGAUUUUAUGCUUGCUCUACUAUUUUGUUAUAUCUAACAGGUAUCAUUAAGGUGUAGGAAUGGCAAUGGGGCGGUGCGGUGUGGUGUGGGUAUUUUCAUAACGCGCAAAUCUGAUAACCGCACCGCACCACAUGUCUUUUAAACCCACAUAAACCCGCACCGCAUAGUACCCGUGCAAACCCGCACCGCACCGCACUACAUUUUUUAAAAAAGAUUGUGUCAGACGGAAUACGUAUUAACGAAGGUCAAUACUACUUCUAAGAGUUCUAUUUCGUUUUUAAUAAACUCAUCAGCUAAAUUAGGUGUAUGUUGCUAUCUGUAGCUACAUUGGACAUAUCUAUCUAAUUUAUGAAUUAAAUUGACAUUUGACAGUAUGUGACAGUACUAACAACUGGAAAGACCACACUAGUUGAGUGUUGACAGUAUGAAACUAAAAUGCACACCAAAUUGUUAACAGCUUCAAUUGCCUCCACAUCGACGGAGCAGUAUGCAAUGCCAAACAUGGAUAGUACCACAACUACAAGCAUGUUUCAUCAACACCUUCUUCAGAAGAAGUUGUUCCACAAAGCAAUAAUUCGCAAAAGACAAAACAUAAAAGUACUUAUAAUCGAACUAAUAAUAACUUUAACACUGUCAAGCUUGUGAACCUAAAACAAAAAAUGGCAGAGCAACUCUAAUCCAAUUGAAGCUUAUAGAUCACAGCAAACUCUUAGUUCAAUCUCUGGGCAGCUUCCUUGGCAAGAACUCUUUGUUUGGCCUUAUUUUUUAUCCCAAACUCUGCCCGGCUGCUGGAAAGUGAUAUUUGAUUACCGUUUGUCUAAUGUUUAAUGUGUUGAAUUCCGUCUUUGAAAUUUAGAGUGAGAGUGAGAGCUGAGAGUGUCUAUGAAAUUGAUGAGUGACGCCAGUGUGCUGUGUGCCCUAAAUCCUAAUUGUAAUUUGUAAGAGGAAAGAGUCGGAUGUUUUUUAUUUUUAAUACCCUAACCCGACCUGCACCGCACCGCAAAUUUUUAAUUUUUUUUUAAGUUUGACCCGCACCGCAACCGUGUUUACACACACGUAAACCCGCACCGCACCACCCCAUUGCCAUUCCUAUUAAGGUGGUGUUCUGAGAUCGAAGAGUCGUCUGGGAAUGGGAUUUAAAGGAUUUCGUCAUCAAAUUUUGUGUUUGUAUUUUCAUCUCUAUUUAUUUUGGUCUGUAAUAAUCUAUUGGACGAACGUUUUUUUAUUUAAUAAUAAAAUUAGGGGAUUGCUUGGGGGCCGGGGGUUUAUGUGAUUACGUGUAUCACUUAGGCAAAUCUUUUAUUUAGCAUCAAUAAGAAAUCCUAUUUUUAGGAGUUUUAAUUAACAUUCCAACAUGUUAAAUUGAGUUCAAGCAUUUUAAUUUAACCCACAUGUGAUGUUCAACGUUUGUAUUUGUUUGACUGCAUAUUGAUCUUAAUUUUCAGCAUAUAAAACCAUGUUCCAGCAUAUUAAUAUCAAAUUUCUGCACAAAAAUUAUUUUCCAGCAUUGAAAAAUCAAUUUCAAGCAAUUGGAAAACAGUUUUCAGCAUAUUGAAAUUGGGUUUUCAAUAUUAAAAAAAUAACUAGGAUUAGUACCUACGCGGUCGACGGUCGAUAUUAAAUGAAAUUAAUUAUAGAAAUUAUUAUUUUAUUGAUUUUAUAUAAUAAAAAAAUUUGUUCAAUUUCAUUCAUGUAUUUAAAAUUAAUAAAGUUAUGCAAUACGAAAAAUAACUAUUAAAAUAUUAAACUUAAUAUCAUUAAUUUCAUAAAACUUAAACAUUUCUUUUCGAAAGUUAGUAUUCACAUGCAAAAAUAUUAUAUUGUAAUAUAAUUAUUUGUGGAUAUUAGAUAAUAUUGUGAUCUAUAUUGAUUUAUUUAGUAAGAAAUCAUAGAAUUACAAAAGAAAAUGCAUAUUUAACAUAAUUAUGAUUAGUUAAGUGACUUCUAAAUUUGGUUAGAAAAACAAAGAACUAAUGAAAGAAAUGUUUUAGAGUUAUGCACAUAAGGUUUCUCUGUAAAAUUUUAACUUGAAAUUUAAAUUUUUUUAUAUUAAAUAUUUUAGUUUGCACCUCUUAUUAAAAGGAAGAAAGGAGUUUCCCUUUCUCUUUUCUUGUCUUAAUAGAUUUUUUUUUUCAAAGUAAAUUUUGUAUUCCUUUGCACGAUCUUAGUCAUAGUAUAUUUUUUUAUAAAUUUAAAAUAUUUUUGCGUCAAGUCAAAUAUUUUGAGCAAAGUUUCAAUAAUAGUCAAUUUUUCCUCUCAUAUUUUUUUAUUACCAUUUUUUCAACAAGUAACUUAUAACAUUAUCUAUAGUCCUAACCUGUUUGCACGAUUUCACAAUAUUCACUUAUAUAUUUUUUUAUUAUCAUUUUUUCAACAAGUAACUUAUAACAUUAUCUAUAGUCCUAACCUGUUUGCACGAUUUCACAAUAUUCACUUAUUCUCUUAUGAUAAUGGACCAACAAAUAUUAAUGAAUGUUAUUGUAUAUUAUUUUUUUGAAUAAAUGGUUUAGUUUUUUAUAGGUUUGAAUACUCACUCUUCAACUCUAUUUUCGAUCAAUCCUAUCAUACUUUUUCAAUUUACUCAAUUUGAAUGAAAUUAUAAAUAUUAAUCACUAUCGAAAUUGAAUUUCCUUCCAUCUUAGAACAUUCAACUAAUACUUGACCCCUCAUGUUCAUCAGUACAAUAAGAUAUUAAUCUUAUUCAUCUUUAUCCUUCAUAUUGCACCAAAAGAUUUACAAUAUUCUAAAAUUGGAGUUACAAAUAUAAAUAUAAACAUGAUUAAAGUUAUUGCCUGUUUAUAUCAAGUAAAACAAAAAAAAAAUAAGAAAGUUUGUAGCAUAAUGUUUAUAAAUAACAAAUGAUAAAUGACCUUUAUUUUCACAUUAGUACAAUAAUAUUUGCAGUAAGAAUUUAAAUAUAAUGAAUUUGAAAAAAUCAAUAUUCAUAAGUAUUUGAUCUAUUGAAUUUGAGCAUUGCCCAUUGAGCAUCAGCCACGAGAUACUCACCCAAAUUUUGAUCUUCGAGAUAUAGCUUCUGAGAUAGUAAUUCUAGUGUCGGGUAAAUUUCAUAGAUAGUUAUACAGCUUUCAUUUUUUUACUAAGGUCACUUAACUAUCGUUCCUAAUACAAUAUCACAAGACUUUUAAUAUACUAUUAAAAUCACACAAAUUAAUUGUUAAUCUUACCAGUUUGAAAUAUAGUAUAGACAAAUCAAGUGUUAAUCCUAAUAUAUAGAAAUAUAAUGCAUUAGUAAUUUAGUAUCAUAGUUUAUUCAUUUUUGAAAUCAUAUUAUUACCUCACUAAAAUCUAAAGCAACAAUCUUUGAAAUGCAAGAAAACCAACUAUCUAAUAUCAAUAUUAGUUUCUUCAUAUUUAAUGUAUAACUUGUAAAUUUUUAUGUUAUUGCUAAAAUUCUCAUUGCACAUUUCGACCAAGAUAAAUUUUUAUAAGUCUUUAAGAAUGUAUGACAUAUUAAAAGAUCACUAACUUAAAUCUUCAAAGAGUACAGGUUAUAUUUUUUUAUAAAACAUAAAGUACAUGAAUACUGGCUCAUAAAAUUUUCACCAAACAUGUAGAAAAUAAAAUGAAUAUACAACAUAACAUGUAUCUUUAGUUGACUUGAUAAAUCAAGAAAAAUUUAUUCUAAAACAAUACUCACAGUAAAUUGAGAUUCUAACGAUUAUCACGACAAGAUAAGUUAUGGCAUAAAUCACUUGUACAAUUCAUCUUUUCCAACAUGUUAUGGUAGAAAUUAAUUAGCUUUUACUGAGUGUAAUCCUCUUAUAUAGUGGUAAAUUGUUAUGCCAUUAGAAUUUCUAGAUUAAUUACAGUAUAUUCUUUUUCAUAUAUAUGUAUAUAAUUAUUAAUUGAUUAUUCAUUUUCUAUUUAUAUUUCUUAAUCAAUUUUAUCAUGUUUCCUCAUUUCAUUUACAUUGAAUUGAAAUUAUAAAUACUUUUUGUCAUAUAAAUAUUCAAUUUAUGAUAAUACUUCAAUUGCAUAUAUUCUAAUUUAUUAGUAACUCACACCUACAUUCCAUCAUUUAAAAA
rnacentral:lncRNA from 1 species